rnacentral:lncRNA from 1 species
GCAUCAGUGGCUUCGCAAUAUACAAGCCUACUUAGUGGAGGCGAAAUGGUACCAUGGUAAGUACACGCCAACACUGGGAGAAUUCUUGGAAAAUGGAUUGGUAUCAAUAGGAGGCCCUAUGGUUACAAUGACUGCAUACCUUUCUGGGACAAAUCCAAUCAUUGAGAAAGAACUAGAAUUUUUAGAAAGUAAUCAAGAUAUAGUUCACUGGUCAUUCAAGAUUCUUCGUCUUCAAAAUGAUUUGGGAACUUCAUCGGUAUUUUUUCUUUUUUAUUUUUUUAACAAGACAGAAAUUGAAUUAAUCCUUUAUUUAUGAAUUGACUGUACCUUUUUUUUUACCCAAUAAUUCAUCAGGAUGAGAUACGGAGAGGGGAUGUUCCGAAAUCGAUCCAGUGUUACAUGCAUGAAACUGGUGCCUCGGAGGAAGUUGCCCGUGAACACAUCAAGGAUAUGAUGAGACAGAUGUGGAAGAAGGUGAAUGCAUACAGAGCUGAUAAAGAUUCUCCCUUAUCGCAAACUACAGUCGAGUUCAUAUUAAAUGUUGUGAGAGUGUCCCAUUUUAUGUAUCUACAUGGAGAUGGGCAUGGUGCUCAAAACCAAGAGACUAUGGAUGUAGUUUUCACAUUGCUUUUUCAGCCAAUUCCCUUGGACGACAAACACGUGGUUGCCACAUCAUCACCUGGCACCAAAGGAUGAUGAAUUAUAGUGCAUGAUGCGUUACGAAUCCCAAGAGUGCAGUUUCAAUUGAUGUUGGCCUCAACUUUUCCUGUCAGUUUCUAUUUCUUUCCGAUGAUGAGGUCUCUUUUCGAUGAUUCUAAUAAAUUCCCUCACUCGUCGAGGUUUAUAAAUGAAACAAAAAUGUCAUAUAUGUUACUUUUGUUGGAUCAUAAACUUGAUCCAAGAUGAUGAUGAUGAUGAUGAUGAUGAUAAUAAUAAAAAAUUCAAACCCAAAUUAAUAAGCUCAACCUAUGGAAGGUUCCAUGAGUAAGUAUGAUUGGUGAUGUUUGAAUUAUUUGUGAUAGGUGUGGUAGGUUUGGUAGGUGAAGAUAAAUAGUUAUUAAUUUUUUGUAAUUUCUUAUAGUUUAGAUUUUUUCUCAUGUACUAUAAAUACCCCCUUGUGUCAUUUGGUUAUGCAUCAAGUAAAGUAACAAAAUCUCUAAGUUGUAGAGAGUGAAAAAUAAGAGUUGUAAUUGGUGAUGACUGUUUUGAAGAAAUAAAAUAGUGUGUUUUUUAGUGUUUAAUUUGUUAAUUCUCCAAUAAAAUGGUAUCAGAGCUAGUGUUCAAUGCUAUAUAUAGUCGUAUAACAUAUCAAAUCGAAUAUCUCAACGAGAGGAACGUGAAACCGCAAAUAUCAGCCCGAUCAGAGACCGCGUACUCCCACACUCGCUGCCGGAAAUUUUCUGUCCUAAAGCUGAGUCGACUCACCGACUUGAACCAAGCUGAACCGAACAGAACCAAGUCGAACCGAGCUGACCAGAUCCGAACCGAGCCACAGAGCCGGACCGAGCCAAGUCAACUAAGCAGAAACGUUGACCGUUAAUCGACAUUGACCAUUGACCGCACAUUGACCGUUGACCGAAAGUUGACUCGAGUCCCUCCCAGGGUUUUUUGACGUUCCGGAUUCAUCCGUACAUUUAAAAUCUCCAUAUUCUUGCUCAAUUUGUGAAUUAUGAAAAAUGGUGGCAUGAUGUCAUUCCAAGUUCCACAAUUAAAGGGAAGUAAGUUCGACAACUGGAGUAUUAAAAUGAAGGCUCUAUUGAGUGCACAUGACACAUGGAUGUCGUAGAGAAAGACUUUAUUGUGCCAGAAAAUGAAGUCACUUUAACUACGGCGCAAAAGGAGAAUUUAAAAGACUUGAAGAAGAAAGAGAAUAAAACAAAAUAUCUCAUCUUUCCAUCAUUAGAUAAAGAUGCUUUUGAAAAUGUUAGUGGUGCAACCUCCUCAAAAGAAGCAUAAGAGAAGUUAAAGAUCUUUUACAAAGGAGCGGAGCAAGUUAAGAAGGUUUGUCUCCAAACAUUACGAGGAGAAUUUGAGUCCUUACACAUGAAGGCAUCGGAGUUAAUUUUUGACUACUUUACUCAGGUUGCAACCGUUUCCAAUGAAUUAAAAAGAAAUGGCGAGGAGUUAAAAGAUGUAAGGAUUAUUGAAAAGAUACUUCAAUUAGUAGACUCAAAGUUUGACCAUAUUGUUGUGACAAUUAAGGAAACAAAAGAUUUAGAGGAUAUGACGAUCGAGCAACUUCAAGGAAAAUUGUAAACCUAUUAACAAAAACUAAAAAAGAAACAAGGAAUCGAAGAACAACUUCUCAAGAUAGAAGUCAAUCCAAAGAAAAGAGAAGAAAGCUUCGACAACGAGAGAAUGCAUUAUAUUUAAGGUUGAGGUCAAGGAUGAGGUAGAGGUCGUAGUUAUCGACGAUGUUGGAAUUUUAACAACAACAACUCCAAUUAUGCCAAAGAAGAAAGCUUAACCAAAGGACGAGGCAGAGGCAGAGGCAAUCUAAGAUCAAGGUAUGACAAAUCCCAAGUACAGUGCUAUAAUUGUCAAAAGUUUGGGCAUUAUGCUUCAGAAUGUAGAGCUCCAAGUACCAGAAUUAAUGAGAGAGUGAAUUAUGCUGAAGAGAAAAAUGGUGAAGAUGUCACCCUUUUACUAGUACGCAAUGACACAAAUGGAGGUCAAGAAAAUAUAUGGUAUCUUGACAAAGGUGCUAGCAAUCAUGUGAGCGGAAACAGAAACAUGUUCGUGGAACUAAAUGAAUCUGUGAAUGAUAGUGCCGCUUUUGAAGAUGAUUCAAAAGUACCAGUAAAGGACAAAGGUAAUAAUCUGUUUUGUGCAAAAGAUGGUAGCCACCAAAUAAUUUCGAAUGUUUACUAUGUGCCUAAUAUGAAAAGCAACAUCUUUAGUUUUGGUCAACUCUUGGAAAAAAACUAUGAUAUUCAUUUAAAAGAUUGUAGUCUUUUCCUAAGAGAUGACAAAGGAAAGGUUGGUACCGAUUUAAAGCUUGAGAGACGAGCAACGUAUCCAUACUGUCCUUGCUGCCGGAAAUCGAUCGGAAAGCCACCGAUCGAAGCUUUGAAGUUCCGCGGAAUUGCCGCCUCAAUUCGCCGUGAUUUCACCGGUUUCUGGUAAAGCCAUCACUUGGGUUUUGUUCCUUACCGUUCCCUCUACCAUUUCCGACUAACCACUGACGCCGGGACGUCGUUUUGCCGUUGAUCGGCCGUUGAAGGAUUCACGACUUCGGGAGCUCGAUCCGGAGCCAGCACCGCACGUGGGAGGUCACCACCGCCAUCAUUGGACUCAGCGUGGCUUGAACUUUCAGUUCUGAGCUUCCCGUCGCCGUCGAUUGAAUUCCGGUGACCGUUGACCGGCAAGGGUAUUUCGGUAAUUUCACAGUAUAAGGGCAAUUUUGUAAUUUCAGAUUUUGUGGGUAUUUUAGUAAUUGCUGAAAUUGAGGAUAAAGUUGGUAAUUUAUGAUUUUGAGGUUAAUUUGGUAAUUUUGAUAUGAGGGUAUUUUGGUAAUAUUGAAUUCAAGGGCAUUUUGGUAAUUUUGAUAUUUGAGGGUAAUUUCGUAAUUUCAAGAAUUAUGAGUAUUUUGAUGAUUUAUGAUUUAAAUUAAGAUUAUUUGAGGUUACGUAUGGAAUGUGAUUAUAUUGAGGAAUUUGAGAAUAUUGGAGUUUAUGAUUAUGGUUUAAUUUUAUUCUUAUGAGAGUAUUUUUAUUGGUUUUUAAGCCGAUGAUAUCGAUGUGCAUUUGUUACUCGAGGAUACCAGGAGGUAAGUAAAUUAGAUUUCCAAACGAAUCACAAUAAACAAUAUAUAUGUUUGACAUGUUUGAAAAGUCUAUUUUGAUAUAUAUACGUAUAUUGAUUAUAUGCUUUGCCCAUGUAUUUAUGUGAUGUGUUGGUAAGAUGUGUUGUUAUGUGUUAUGUGUAUUUAUGGACAUGGGCAUAUGUAUGUGUGAAUAUUUUAUUGGCAUGAGCACGAAAAUGCAUUAUGUUUUCUGUAAAAUGAGAAAGUUGAUUUUAGCAAACGAAAUUUGAAGAAAGAAAGAUUGUUUUACAGUUUUAGCUUGGAUGCUUAAAUUCGUUACUGGCUUAGUGGAGGAUACUCUAGAUGUUUAUAUAGUUAUGAGAUAAGUGGGCGAAGGACGCAUUGGCAAGAAGCCCAAAGAGUAUGAAAGUUAUGAAAGUUAAGAGUGUCCUACUAAGCGGUAAUCGAAUGAAGUUAGCUCAAGUAAGUGGUUUGAAAGAGAAUGUGAAAGUUUGAGAAAGACAGACUGAGAUUUCGAUGAUUUGUUUUACGAUGUUUUCGAAUACCAUGGCACGUCAUUCAUUUGCACUAUAUAUAUGUAUGUAUGUAUUUUGGUAUAUGCAAAACCGGUUUACUUACUGAGUUUCGUACUCAUUAUAGUUUAUUGUGAUUCAGUUUUCGUAAAUCAGAAUUAAUUCGUGAUGAGCAUCGAGAAGGACUUGAAUGGAGGAAUUAGAUGGUUUGGCAUGAAUUUUAAAUUAUUCUGCUGUAGUUUGUGUUUUAUAUUUGUAUUUUCAAGGAUAUAAUUUUUAUGGAUUGUAAAAGGAUUAUUAUUAUUAUUUAUUAUUUAUUAUUAUUUUAUUGUUAAGCAUCUAUCAGUAAGAUUCGCCCUGUGGAGGUCGGGGCGGGUCGUUACAGAGAUAGUUGAUCCUAUCUCAUAUGUAUAUUGGUGCACUAUUUGAACAAAUUGGACAUUGGCAUUCUAACGUGUACCGCAUUUUUAUGAAUACAAUAUUUUUUAACUAUAUAUUAGGCUGUUUUUGAGAGCUUCGAUAAAUUGUGGGAUUCAAUUAGAUUUUGAAACUAACAAAAUAAUUUAAUCUAAGGUAUGUUUGGUUGUCAUGGACUAUUAGAGUAAACUUAAAUUUAGUCUAAACCUAAUAGUAUUAUUAACCCUUAUUUUUUUAGGCAUUUAGGUGAGGUAAGAUUAAAUAAAAACUUUGUGUCAUCUUUAUCACUUUUUUCUUUUUCAUUUAACCUAAUAUUUUAAUAUAAAUUAAACAUAGAAGUGAAUUUCACGAAUUUUUAACCAAGUAAUUUUAUAUUAUUGUAUAGAAUAUCAGAAUUUUAUUUAAUAAUUUAUUAAAUUAAAUUAACAAGUUCAGUCCACUAUUAUACCAAACAAAGAUCGUACUAUAUAUAAGCUUUUAGGUUUAACCACCAAUUUUGUUUCCCUCAUGCAAAUGACUAUGCCCACAGUAUCAUGAUUUCAGCAUUCUGCCGGGGUGGGUGUUUUGAAGAGGCAAAUUGGCUGGGUAUUUUGAAGUCAAGUAUGACAAAUAUGAUUUAAAUUGCAUGCUUUAUGCCUACUGCAGAGCUGGUGCUAUGGAGAGCGCAAUGCAUGUUAUGAAGAAAUUGGGCGAAUUAGUCCGGAUAACAAUACCCAUCAUAUUGUAAUCAAACAUUUCUCCAAUAAGAAGUUUUAUAUGCUUGCUUAUUGGACUAUUAUGGACGAUGCAUAAAUUAACAAGUGUACUAGUCAACACAAAUAAUAUAAUGAAGAGUAGAAUAUUAUCCUACAAAGAUUGUAUAUCCUCUUAGCUACUGAAAUUAUUCUAACCCUAAUUUCUUUGAACAAUCGAAUAGACAGAUUUAGAAAAAAAAAUUAAAAUAGAGUAAAAUAACUAAAAAUUAAAUAAAUAUGCAAGCAGUAAUAGAAAUCACGUAGAGAUUAUGACACUAUGACAUCCGAUUUUAUCAUAAUCAAUUCAAUUUUAAUUCUCUAUUUAUGCUAUUAAAAUUUAUUACUCAUGUUGACAGUGAAUUUUCCUAAUCUAUUCAAUAUCCUUUCUUGAGUAAUAUAAAAAAUAUCUUCACAUAUUAACCCACUAUAUUUCUAUGUGAAUUUAAAUAUGCAAAGAUUCAUUAAGUUCUAUGAAAAUUCUUCGAAAAAUUACAUGAAUCAUGUUGGCACAUCUCUGUCUUUCGUUCAACUCAUGGCAUCCAUUACAUAGAGCAAAAAUACAUAAAUCUCCUCUUGGUCUUAUUAUGUAUCCUUAAAUCAUUUAAAUAUUGACCAAAUAUUUAAAAGCAUUAAGCACAAUAAUGAACACUCAACCAUGGAAUAAUAAACUAAAAAUAACAUAUAUUUAUGAAAUUAAAUAUUUAUAGUUAGGCUACAUCAUAGCCCUAACAAAAUAAAUUAGUUCAUGAGAAUAUAAAGAGAAUCAAUAAAUUUAAUUGGAAACAUUCAAGUAAGAUAAUAGAAAAAGAGAAAAGAAAGAAUAAACUCAAAAAGUUCUCUCUUCAAUCUCUGCAAUCGACUUCUCCAAAUUAUUGCUUCUCCAAAUUUGCAGCGGCGGCUUCUCUCUCUCUUUUUUCUUUUUUCUUGCUCUCGGUUAUUUGUUUUUUCUCUUGGCUUCCAAUUUGUGCGGCUUCCCGCCUCUCUUGUGGCUUCCACUCGUGCCCUUUUAUAUUGUUUCAAUUGUGGCCUUUAACUCCUUAUAUGGAAAGAAUUAAAAACAAAAGCCAAGCCGCUUCUUUUCUUUCAUGCAUGCACGUGACUUGUUCAAUUAAUAAGCCAAUAAUGAUUUGGCCAAAGCCCAUCACCAGAAUGCUUUCUUUUUUUACUCUAUUCUUCACAUGAUUUACCUUAUUAAUUAACUUAUUUCCAAUACUAAUUCUUCUCAUCUUCACGUGAACUACAAUUAUGCCUUGGCUGCUUCGAUUUUCUUCCAUUUUAACUCCCAUUACUUUCCUUAAAUUUCCAAUCAAUUUCUUUUUUAAGCUCUUUCUAUUUGAAUAUUGUAAUUUAAUGCUUCUUCAUUCCCAAAAUGUACCUAAAAUAAAAAAAAAAUAAAAAUUAAGAUAAAAUUAAUAUAAUAAAAUAUAAUUUAACAUAAGAUUAAAUUAAGAAAAUAUAUAAAUAAUAUAUAAAUUAUUAUCACAUCAAUGGACAUGCACAUUAAAAGCCACCAGCUAGAGGAGGUAUGAAAGUGGUCAUAGACAAAUGAACUUUUACUUCGGGAUUGCAACACGAAAGACUUAUCGCAACUAUGCUAUUUUACAGGAACUCUACUCCUCCCUAAUUUUUCAUCUUGGUAAAAUGAGAGCGACACUUAGAAGCACUCUUUGUUCACAACAUGUUAAGAGGCAACAAAAGAACGAUGUGCAAGGCCCAUCAUGAGAAAAUUCUUCAUAUUUUAAUAUCUGGAAAACUUCCCAUGUCUUACCAUUUUAGUUCAAUUCUUUAACUGUCAUUUUUAUGCUUUUUUUAAUUAAAAAACCCAAAGUUGGUGGGGUUAGGCGGGACCCCCUUACCUAUAGAUUAUUGAAAUAUAAACAAAAUUACAUAUGGAGGGGGAUGUAGACCAAAAUCUCCAAGCAAAGGAACAAAAAUAACCAACUAAUGAAAAAAAAAACGAAAACAAUAAUAGAAUAAAUAAGAAGCUAAAGAUAAUUAAUUAAUGCAAACGCCGAGAAAAAUACUUACAAUACUUACGACCAUUAACUAAUUUGAAACCUUUCUUAAAACUAGAGGAAUGCAUGCCACCAAUACUGAGGUCGAAGUCAAGAUCAUGGCCAGUUAUACCCUCAGUCUUAGACGCAAAAUAAUCAUCGACUAUAGGAUUUCCGUCAGAGCUAAACUCCUCAUCCGACUGAUUAGGGAUAUCUUUAGAUGGUAAUUAAAAUCACAACCAUGGAGUGAAUAUCAUCCACUGUAGACUUGAAAAAUGUAAAGCUUGUGGAAGCCCUUAGAGCACUCAGAUUAUCCAAAACAAGAGAAUUAGCAACCUUAGUGCAUCCAUCAGUAUCUCUCAGAGCAACAGUAUAUUGCAAACCAUCAUCAUCUGGAACUCACAGAGUAGAAAUCGAAUUAGAUGCCGCGUCUAUAGUAUCCUGAGGAAAAAGAGCAGAUGGCCAAGCAACAUCAUCGAGGGGGCUAGGCCCAAAGACUGACCUUGGACGAGAGUAGGCCUCUGUAGUCAAUUAUUCUUAGUAACCACAUAUGUAGCACAAUUCCUAGUAGGCUAGACAACAACAUUAGUAAUAGGUACCGUACUUGUAUCAUGAGCAAAUACAUCCUUCACCUAACCAAUAGGUUAUUAGGGUUUAUGGAGCCCAUGAUUUGUAGUAAAAUAAGCAUCAUCAAAGCGACCAAGAUGCUUAGACGUGGCAUAAUAUAACAGAACAUGCUCAUAGAUGAUAUCUUGCCAAACCCCAUUAUCACAUUUACCAAUCCAAAGUCUUAGCAACAAUAGUUGUGAAACAUCAUACUCAAUGAGUACAUGAGCCACCAAGGGCCUAUUAAUAGCAGUAGUGGCAUGGUCCACCCGUAAAGGCUUUUUAAUAGCAUUCACAAUAAAAAAUAAAGCAUCUCUACAAUGAAUGAAAUGCACAAGUAAAUAAGGCAAAGACACCUAGACAAGAACAACUGAGACUCUUUAGAGCAUAAAUGUAGACUACUUAAAAGUACGUGUGGACCUGCUGAUAACUCUAGGAAAUGAGAUUUAUUACAUCUAUUCUAGACUUGAAUAAAGGCCAUUUAGAAAGCAAAUAAUGUAUUUUGAUUACAUUUUGGUGAACUUUUGCAUAAACAUUCAUUUUAGUUGAGUCUUAACAAGUUUUGCGUGAAUCAUAGUAAUUUGUGCUAAAAACAAGUUUUUAUUUGUAGGUUUUAAAUUCAUAAAAGGAUGCGGAGACAUUAGAUGAGAAAGAGGAGGAAAGAAGAUGAUCGCAAAAGAAGGAAAGCACAAUCGGAAAUGACACAAGUGCUGUGGCGGAUGUUAGAGCAACCAAUGCUGCAACAAUCUGGGAGAAACGCGGGAGAAAAUAUAGGCGCGGGUCAGGAAUUAAAUUACAAGCUGCAUGUUUCCUAAUUUAAACACAAGCAUGUGCAGGGGUGUUGGUUCAGAAAACCUAAUUUGCAAGUAUAUAAAGGAGGCAUGCACCACAAAGAACGGCGGAGAGUGGAAUAAACAUUCAAAAGCAAUUACAACAAGCGAGAAGAAGAUCAAGGUUAAGGAGGGCUGUUCGGCAUCAUUGAAGAAGAGGAUCCUUAAACUUUCAUCGUGCUCAACUCAUAUUAUCUUUCUUCCUUUGAUUGAUUGGAUGUAUUCUGUGAUCAGUAUAUUUAUGUUUAUUUUUCUCAUUCAGAAUAUGAACUGAAUUUACUUGUAGUUGAUUGACAAAUAAUCCAAUGGGUUUUUGACUGUUCUUAUAUGAUGUUAUGAUAAUGUUGUAGCAUUAUACUCUAAUAGUUUUUAUGACAUAAUUGUUAUUUCGGUUGACCACCCAUUUUAUAAUUUCAGUUAAGAUAGAGCAGCAAAAGGGCAUAUCUUAGCGGACAUUAUUAGAGUAUUACUUGUUCUUGAAUUGAGUUUCCUGGAUUAGGUUAUCUUAAAUCUCAUAAGGGCAAUGCUUGAUAUUAAGAUUUGUGAUAUCCUAGACAUAGGAGUUCACCUUGUAGGGUAGAGAGAUUAAAGUUCGUAAAGCCAUACAUUAACUUUAUGAGCAAUUGGUCAUUGUUAGUAGAUUUAAAGGUAUGAGAUUUCCAACAUGCGACAGCUGCGGAUGCAGAUUUGUUCUACCCAGUGCUGCAGCACUUAUCAUAACAACUGGUGCUAAUUCGGUAAACAACAGUCACCCCAUUAGGAGAGUUUGAUCAUUCAACUACUAUCUUCUCAAUUGAACUUUGGAUACAUUUAGUUAAGUUUAUUUUAUUACGAUAUUGCUUCAAUUCUCAUCUCUCACAAUUGUUAUUUACGAUAGAAUUAUUUAGUAAUUGUUUGUUUCGGUCUUUAGUUGACGUGCAUUAUUGUGAUUGCUUUAACAUUUUGAGUAACAUCAAUCCCUGUGGAGACGAUCUUGAACACUCAUCACUUUAUUACUUGUUGUGUAUACUUGCACAUUGGUAUUGAUAAUAAUUGAUUAUAUAAAUCAAUCAACAAGUUUUUGGCGCCGUUGCCGGGGAUUGAUUGUUUAUUUUUGGAGUGUGAAGUAAAUUGCGAUAGCACCAAACUUAAUUCAAUUUAUUCUUUUGAUUGGCAGAUCAGAGCGUGCAUGCGCAAAGAAAGAUCUGAGAUAUUCCAAUUCGAUCCUGAGAUUGAAAGGACUAUCAGGAGAUUGCGAAGAGAACAAAGAAAUUCAAAGACUACUUCAGACAUGAAUAACUUACAAGAUGAGGGAAAUUUGAACCCUCACGGACCUUUACAACCAGCCAACAUUCAAGAAGAGCAAAAUGAAUAUGCUAACGGGAGACAGCCAGGAAAUAAUAAUAUUAUUUACAUGGCAGACGACAGAGACAGAGCUAUACGAGAUUAUGCUGUGCUAACUCCUCAAGUCGUCCAUUAUGGCAUCAUUAGACCUGAAGUAGAUGCUGCCAACUUUGAAUUAAAACCAGUGAUGUUUCAAAUGUUGCAAACAGUUGGGUAAUUCAAUGGAUUUCCAAAUGAAGAUCCUCAUCUCCAUCUUAAAUUGUUCUUGGAAGUGAGUGAUGCUUUCAAAAUUGCUGGAGCAACGCAAGAUGCCCUAAGGCUGAGGCUUUUUCCUUAUUCCUUAAGGGAUCGAGCAAGAGCAUGGUUAAAUUCAUUACCAUCUGAUUCCAUCACUACAUGGAAUGAAUUGGCCGAUAAAUUCCUAAUGAAAUAUUUCCCACUAACAAAGAAUGCAAAAUUACGGAAUGAAAUUACCUCUUUCCAUCAAAUUGAAGAUGAGAGUUUGUACGAGGCUUGGGAAACUUUCUACAAUGGGUUCCUUGUUGCUUCUGAAAUUACCUCUUCUGAAAUUACCUCAGAAGAUGUCCUCAUCAUGGUAUUCCUUGUUGUUUUCAAUUGGAAACUUUCUACAAUGGGUUGAAUCCGAGUACAAAGUUAAUGGUGGAUGCUUCAGCAAAUGGAGCUCUGUUAUCAAAAUCCUACACUGAAGCUUAUGAAAUUUUGGAGAGAAUUGCCAACAAUAAUUACUAGUGGCCAUCAGCUAGGCAACCAGUAGCAAGAGGAUCAGCAGGGGUACAUAGCAUUGAUGCGAUUACAACCUUAUCAGCUCAAGUAACUUCAUUGACUAACAUGGUAAAAGCCAUGACAGCUGUUCCAGCAACAGUAAAGCAAGUGACUGAACUUUCUUGUGUCUACUGUGGUGAAGAUCAUGAUUUUGAUAAUUGCCCUGGAAAUCCAGCCUCAGUAAAUUAUGUGGGUAACUUCAAUCGACAACCUCAGAACAACCCAUACUCAAAUACUUAUAACCCAGACUGGAAACAACACCCAAAUUUCUCAUGGAGCAAUCAGAAUCGAAAUGCUCCAGCAUUGAAUAGACUAAGUAGAAACACACAACCACAACCACCUGAUUUUCAUCAACAAAGUCAAGGGCAAAAGCCUAUCAGUCAGGAUCCAAUCACUUCAUUGGAAGUAUUAAUCAAGGAGUAUAUUGCAAAGAAUGAAGCAAUUGUGCAGAGUCAAGCUGUAUCCUUGAGAAACCUUGAGAACCAAAUGGGACAGUUAGCUACAACAAUGAGCAGCAGAACUCAAGGAAGCUUACCUAGCAACACAGAAGAUCAUAGGAGAGAGAGCAAAGAACACUGCAAAGUGAUUAGUCUGAGAUCUCGGAAGCAUAUUGAUAUCCCAGUUGAGGUGACCAAAAAUGGGAUGGAAGGCAUUUCAGCUCAAAAACCAACUCAAAAGGGAAGCAUGUUACAGCAGACUCCCCAUCAAGACACGGAUGCAAGGGACCCAGCUACAGCAACUGCAAAAGAAAAUCAACCAGAUCUUGCUGAAAAAGAAGUUACAACACCAGUAGCCACAACCUGCACCAACUUAAACAAACAAAGUUUGGUACAUCCUGAAUCUCACCAGCAGUUUAGACAUCUACCACAUUUCCCUCAAAGGUUCCAGAAGCUAAAACAAGACAAGCAGUUCAACAAAUUCCUGGAAGUGUUGAAGCAACUGCACAUAAACAUACCUUUUGUGGAAGCUUUGGAGCAAAUGCCAAAUUAUGUAAAAUUUCUAAAAGAUAUUUUGGCACGAAAAAGAAGGCUGGGAGAGUUUGAAACUAUAGCUCUAACACAAGAAAGCAGCCAUAUGCUUCAGAGUAAAAUUCCCACAAAAUUAAAAGAUCCAGGGAGUUUUACAAUACCCUGCUCUAUAGAGAAUAAGUAUGCUGGCAGAGCACUUUGUGAUUUGGGAGCCAGUAUCAACUUUAUGCCAGUAUCUGUAUUUAAGCAGCUUGGAGUAGGGGAGUGCAGACCAACAACUGUCACUCUGCAAUUAGCUGACAGAUCCCAUGCAUACCCCGAAGGAAAGAUAGAGGAUGUACUGGUGAAGGUUGACAAAUUCAUUUUUCUAGUGGAUUUCAUUGUGCUAGAUUUUGAAGCUGAAAAAGAGUUACCCAUUAUACUUGGCAGACCUUUUUUAGCAACUGGAAAAACGUUGAUAGAUGUGCAGAAAGGAGAGCUGACUAUGAGAGUGAAUGAUCAGCAAGUCACAUUUAAUGUACUUGAAGCUAUGAGAAACCCUGAUGAAAUAGAAGAUUGCAAUUUCUUAAGUGUAAUGGAUCUUGUUGUAACAGACAGACUAGACAGAUGCUGCAGUAAUGUACUUAACAAAGUCACCACCUUUGAGGAGGUUGAAGAGGAAGAUGUUGCAGAAAUUCAAAUAGAUUGGAUGAACAAACAACAAUCUAAUAGGCACAGCAGAGUUAUUGAACACCUGAAUCUUUCAGACAGGGAAGUACCAACAACUUUACCAUCUAUUGAAUCACCCCCUAGUUUUGAAUUAAAACUGUUACCUUCACAUUUAAAGUAUGCAUACCUUGGUCAAAACAACACACUCCCUGUAAUCAUUUCUUCUACUUUGGAUGCAGGUCAAGAACAAAGCCUAGUGGAUUUGCUGGGAAAAUACAAAAGAGUAAUUGGAUGGACCAUGGCAGAUAUAAAGGGUAUCGGCCCAUCAAUAUGUAUGCAUAAGAUCCUUUUAGAAGACUGUUCCAGCAAUUCGGUGGAGCACUAGAGAAGGUUGAAUCCUAUUAUGAAAGAAGUGGUGAAGAAAGAAAUCAUCAAAUGGUUAGAUGCUGGAAUCAUAUACCCAAUAUCAGACAGUUCAUGGGUAAGCCCAGUUCAGUGUGUUCCAAAGAAAGGAGGGAUAACAGUAAUGGCUAAUGAGAAGAAUGAACUUAUUCCUACAAGGACAAUGACUGGAUGGAGAGUGUGUAUGGAUUACAGAAAGCUCAAAAAAGCAACAAGGAAAGACCAUUUCCCACUUCCCUUCAUAGAUCAGAUGCUGGACAAACUUGCUGGAAAAUAAUUCUACUAUUUCUUAGAUGGGUAUUCAGGCUACAACCAGAUUGCUAGAGCACCAGAGGAUCAAGAGAAGACUGCAUUUACUUGUCCUUAUGGAACAUUUGCCUUCAGAAGAAUGCCAUUUAGGCUGUGCAAUGCUCCAGCAACUUUUCAGAGAUGCAUGAUGUCUAUAUUUUCUGAUAUGGUAGAAUAGACCUUGGAAAUUUUCAUGGAUGAUUUUUCAGUUUUUGGAGAGACAUAUGGUAAUUGUUUACACAACUUGGAAGAAGUUCUUAAAAGAUGUGAGAUGACUAACUUAGUACUUAAUUGGGAGAAAUGCCAUUUCAUGGCGCAAGAAGGAAUAGUGCUGGGUCACAAGAUAUCCAAGGAUGAUAUUGAGGUAGAUAAAGCCAAGAUAGAGGUAAUAGAUAAACUGCCACCCCCAACUUCAGUAAAGGGUAUUAGAAGUUUUCUGGGUCAUGCUGGAUUCUACAGAAGAUUCAUCAAGGAUUUUUCCAGAAUAGCCAAGCCUCUAUGUUCAUUGCUGGAGCAUGAUAAACCAUUUCACUUUGACAAAGAAUGCCUUCAAGCAUUUAAUGAAUUAAAGAAAGCCUUGAUCACUGCUCUAGUAGUUAUAUCUCCAUAUUAGAAUUCACCAUUUGAAUUGAUGUGUGAUGCUAGUGAUCAUUCUGUGGGAGCAGUAUUAGGGCAAAGAAAGGAUAAGGUUUUUCAUUCCAUAUAUUAUGCAAGCAAAACUCUUACUCCAACUCAGAUCAAUUACACCACUACAGAGAAGGAGUUGCUAGCAGUAGUUUUUACUUUCGAUAAAUUCAGAGCUUACCUGGUAGGUACUAAAGUCACUAUUUACACAGACCAUGCAGCCAUUAAAUAUUUAAUUUCAAAUAAGGAUGCCAAACCAAGACUAAUCAGAUGGAUCUUAUUGCUUCAAGAAUUUGAUCUGGAAAUUAAAGAUAGAAAGGGGACUGAGAAUCAAGUGGCAGACCACUUGUCACGGUUGGAAGCAGACACUAGUACAUUAACAAGGAAGGGCAUCACUGAAACUUUUCCUGAUGAACAGCUGUUGGCAAUACAGCAAGCACAGAUGCUGCAGCAGUCAGAAUCUCCAUGGUAUGCAGACUUUGCUAACUAUCUAGUAAGUGGGUUACUACCAUCUGAGUUGAAGUUUCAAGAGAAAAAGAAAUUUCUUCAUGAUGUUAGAAGCUACCAGUGGGAUGACCCACAUUUAUAUAAGCUAUGCUCAGAUCAGGUAAUAAGACGAUGUGUUGCAGCAGAAGAAAUACCUCAUAUACUAGAGUCAUGUCAUGCUGCAGCAUAUGGAGGACAUUUUGGUGGUCACAGAACAGCUGCAAAAGUUAUGCAAUCAGGUUAUUAUUGGCCCACUAUUUUUAAAGAUGCUUAUGAAUUUGUUAAAUGUUGUGACAGGUGUCAAAGGACAGGGAACAUAACCAGCCGACAUGAGAUGCCAUUGACCAACAUACUGGAAGUAGAAGUUUUUUAUGUUUGGGGAAUAGAUUUUAUGAGACCUUUUCCCCCAUCCUUUGGCAACUUAUAUAUCCUUGUUGUUGUAGACUAUGUCUCCAAGUGGGUGGAAGCAAUAGCAUUACCUACCAAUGAUGCUAAACCUGUGGUGACUUUUCUUCAAAAAAAUGUUUUCUCCAGGUUCGGUACUCCUCGAGCAAUUAUUAGUGAUGAAUGAGCACAUUUUUGCAACAAGAUCUUUGUUGCAGCAAUGAUGAAAUAUGGAGUCAGACACAAGAUAACAACAGCAUAUCACCCACAAUCAAAUGGUCAGGCUGAAGUGUCCAACAGAGAAAUUAAAAAGAUCUUAGAAAAAGUGGUGAACCCAACAAGGAAGGAUUGGUCUUUACAUUUGCAUGACUCUUUAUGGGCCUACAGAACAGCAUACAAAACCCUACUUGGCAUGUCUCCUUACCGAAUUGUUUAUGGCAAGGCUUGUCCUUUGCCCCUAGAGCUAGAGCAUAAAGCACACUGGGCACUGAAGAAACUAAAUUGGGACAUGCAUGUUGCAGCAGAACAAAGGAAGCUUCAACUUUGUGAGCUUGAUGAAUUAAGGCUGUUUUCAUAUGAAAAUGCAAAAAUUUAUAAAGAGAGAACAAAACAUUGGCAUGACAAGCAUAUUCAACACAGGAAGUUCAUCCCUAGUCAAUUAGUGUUGCUUCACAAUACAAGACUAAGGUUGUUUUCGGGAAAGCUCAAGUCACGAUGGUCAAGCCCGUUUAAGCUAUUAAAAUCUUAUCCUCAUGGAGUUGUUGAUCUUUUAGAUGAACAAAUAGGUCACGAAUUCAAGGUUAAUGGGCACAGGACUAAGCAUUACAUACACCCAGCAGCAGAAGGGUCACAGGAGGUGUUAUCCCUUUAAGAACCAGACUAUUGAGCAAAGACAGAAGGUCAGGCUGAAGGACCUUAAAUCAACCGCUUCAUGGGAGGCAACCCAUUGAGGAAGCAGCAACUUCAAACCAAUCUCGAUAUCCUUUGGUUUCAAUAAACAACUCUCCCUCUUCACCAUUUAAUCUAAUCUUGUUUUACCAUAUUCACCAUUUAAUUUUUUUCCUUUUUUUUUUUUACAUUAUUGCAUUCCUUAUUUUCGAUUUAAGUUCAUCUAUUUUAUUUUAAUAAGUUUAGACUUAAUUUUUGUUUGAAGUAAAUGUGACAAUUGAAUUUCAUAUUGACAAAUGCAAAUAUCUGGUGGCAGAAUUUAGAGGACAAGAACAACCACGUGUUAGACGCUUGGGUAUAGAUACCGUGGCCGUUGUUGGAAUAAGUGAAUGGGGGCUGUAGCAACAAAUUUUUUCGUUACAGUACAUUAAAGGCUGGAGCUUUCACUUACCGUUGGAGAUGAAAUCGUGACAGAUGGACGCUCGGAUACGGAUAGAAAUUGCGGAAACAAAUCUCUGAAAUCACAACUUUAAUUUUAAUAACUGAUAAUUUUGGGAUAUGCACAUUUAAUUCAAAUAUUUUAUUCCCUCAAUUAUCUCUAAUUACUGUCGUUAUCUUCAAAUUACAGCCCACUAUAAAAUGGAGUCACUGUGCUGAGUGCCCAAGCCACUAUUCUCUAUCUCCUUCGCAAGUCCAACUCUCCUAAUUCAUUAACACUUCUUCCCUUUUGGCUCUCAGGAACAGUAGCCUACCUUUGUUACUGCUACAGUAAUGCCGCGAUAUAAGCAAACAGCGAAACGCCUCAAAGAUCCAUCACGAUUCCAGAGUUACCAUGCCGAAGAAAAAUACGAAGAAUUCAUAGAGCCACGCAGGAUUCUGGAAGAAAAAGGGUUUCAAUUUCCAGACCAACUCAUUGGAAUUGUGAAAUCAAUUCAUAAUGCUGCAGCAAAGCGAGGAUGGCUAGAGUUUUGCAAACACCCUCGCAAUCCGGUACUACCGGUGGUAAAAGAAUUUUACGCCAAUUUGGUAAGCCCUGAUCAGCACAACAUCUGGGUAAGAAAUACACUUGUUCCAUUAGACUCUCGUGUUAUCAAUGCUUUUUAUAACCUACCUGUUGGGAUUACUUGUGAGUAUGCUAAAUUGCAUGAUAAGUUAACCCCGAAAAAGUGGACCACCAUCUUUACAACUCUUACCAUCGAAGGGGCAUCAUGGGUCAACGAGGAAGGGCGUGUAGUUCACAGGAUAGAUUUGAAACCUAUUGCUAAGGUAUUGGUGAAAUUUUUGAAAUCUAGACUUAUGCCCACCACUCACACUACUACGGUUUCACAAAAUAGAUUGGUUUUGAUAUAUGCCCUUGUUAAAGGGCUCCCCAUAGAUGUGGGUAGCAUCAUUGCAAAAGAAAUCCGAGAAUGUGCAGCCAAAACUCAUCGAACUGCUGCUUUGCUAUUUCCUUCACUUGUCACUAGUAUUUUUGUAGUUUCAGGUGUUCGUCUUGCAGCCAGCGAUGAUCACGUCAAGAAUGAGGGUGCCUUUACGGCUCGAACAAUUGAAAGAGUUGCUGGCGAGAGUGCUGGAGCAACCACUAAACCAGCUGUUGUAGCAGGAGCACGACGAACUCUUGGCUUGGAACAGACCAUCCAAGCACUCAGCACCAGUAUCAAUCAAUGUGUGGAAGCUCAGCAGAGAGAAAAUGGUCGGUUUUGGAGCUAUUUACAGCACCUGGAUAGACAGCUACACAAAUUUGCUGAGUACAUGCAACGCAAUCAUCGGAACUUCCCUACUUCUCUGCUCCAGCAAUACAAUUUUGACAUCAGCACCACAGGUGCUCCAGCAGAAACCAGUGAAGAAGCCACUACUUCAGAUGAACCAGCAGAGCAAGCUGCAACUGAACCACCAGCAGAAGUUGACUCAGAAGAUGUUGAACCAUCUGCACCACCUAAGGAGGAAGGUGACAAAUCUGAGACGGAUAGCUCACCCUCAGAGGCAGAGGAUAAUUCGGAGCAAGCACGUGAGGCAACACCAAUCCCCACCCAGUCCAAAACUAGGAAGCAGCACAUUAUUCAAGAAGAGGAGGAAGAAGACCUUGAUGUGGAACCUCCUAUUCCAGUCUUUGUAGGCAAAGGAAAGGCCAAGGGAAAAGCCAAAAUGGCCACACCUCCAGCCUUUGAAGAUGAAAUGGAGCAAGUUGAUGCUGAGUUAGCUGCUGCAGCAGCUAGAGCCAUGCCUACAUCUGAGCAAGCCAAGCAACUACUUGAGGUAAUAGCUGCCAUCACAGCGGAGGGCCAGGCAGCUGACGCAUUGACUCAAAAGACUCCACAGCCAAGUCCAAGCCAGCCUAUCCGCACCAGUCCAAGAUAACCCAGCAAACGAAAAGGCAGUACAUCUGCGGGUACUGCUGCAGCAACCCCAACCACAACUCCUCUUACCAGCCCUGCAGCGGAAAAGACAAAGACAUUGCCAGCUACCUCCCCAAAGGCUUCACCAAAGGAUAAGUUGCGCAGUGCAUCCAAGAAGCGCUGAUAACAUCACAUCCUGGGCUGCAGUCCCCACCACAGGGGAGUACUUUUCUCUCACUAGUUUCUUUCUUGUUCUUAUAAUAAAAAAAGAAAAAAAAAAGAGAUUUGUUUGUCCAUUUGUGUUUUUGUAUUUUGUUUGCUUGUGAGGACACAUCAUCUCUCAAGUUUGGGGGGGUUGUUUCCGAAUGCAUGUGUUUUAUGUAUGUGUUUAUGUUUGUGUUGUGUGAAGCUCUAUUAUCUGUUAUUUGUGUAUGGAUUUGAGAAUCUAAUGAAGAUAAAUUGAGUGCUAUUCAGUAUUUAUGAGAAUGCCAAGUAGAGAUAGUUAUAGAUAGAAGUGAAAUUAUGUCCCAACACUUAGCCGGUGAUUGAGUUUUAUGGACUGCUAGAGCAAACCAGAAGAAUAGAAAAUGUCUUAAGAUUUGAAAGGAGAAGCAUGUUGAUUGACUGUGGUGUUUAUGAAAUAAAACUCUGCUCCAAUGGCUUAAGUUGCUGAGUAACCAGAUCUGAGUAUGCACCCCAUAUGUAGAAUUGUGUAAAAAAGUAGCGAGAGUUAUGAGCAGUGUUGUAGCAUAUAUUGUUCUUAUAAAAAAAAAAAGAAGCAAAGAAAAGAAAAAGUCCUCUGUCUAAGGCAUUGAGUAGCCAGGUCUGUUCAUGACCCCUAUGUUCAGCCUUAAGUCAAAAAUACCUCGAGAUAAGAUUAGACUAUAGAUAUUGCUGCAGCAACUCUGAUCUGGACAUGGCUUGAGUAAUUGGGUGUCAUCAUUACAAGUGAUUGACAUUCACAUGAAAAAUAAAUGUUACAGUGAGGAGGUUGAUUAUCCCCCAGGUUAUCAAUGUCAAAGCUAUCACAGUUUGAAUAUGUGAAAAAAAUGCUACCCCUUGUAAGAAUGAAGUAUAUCAAUGCUAAAAUUUCUGCAGCCCUUGGGUAAUGUGACAGCAUCUCUGGAAAUCAAUCAUAAAGGCAGCACACACACAAUAUAGAUAGAAAGAAGCUUACGUCUAGAACUGAUUUACUAUGGGAAUUUUGUAUGAUUGGGAUUAUGAUCUGAAGGUGGAAGAAUCUUUGCAAAUUUGAUAAAAGAGCUGAAAUUGUGUGCAUGUUUGUUUACGAGAAAUGUUAGUAUAUGUCAUUACUUGAGGACAAGUAAUAAUUUAAGUUUGGGGGUGUGAUAACUCUAGUAAAUGAGAGUUAUUACAUCUAUUCUAGACUUGAAUAAAGGCCAUUUAGAAAGCAAAUAAUAUAUUUUGAUUACAUUUUGGCGAACUUUUGCAUAAACAUUCAUUUUAGUUGAGUCUUAACAAGUUUUGCGUGAAUCAUAGUAAUUUGUGCUAAAAACAGGUUUUAAUUUAUAGGUUUUAAAUUCAUAAAAGGAUGCAGAGACAUUAGAUGAGAAAGAGGAGGAAAGAAGAUGAUCGCAAAAGAAGGAAAGCACAAUCGGAAAUGACACAUGUGCUGUGGCGGAUGUUAGAGCAACCAAUGCUGCAACAAUCUGGGAGAAACGCGGGAGCAAAAUAUAGGCGCGGGUCAGCAAUUAAAUUACAAGCUGCAUGUUUCCUAAUUUAAACACAAGCACGCGCAUGGGUGUUGGUUCAGAAAACCUAAUUUGCAAGUAUAUAAAGGAGGCAUGCACCACAAAGAACGGCGGAGAGUGGAAUAAACAUUCAAAAGCAAUUACAAAAAGCGAGAAGAAGAUCAAGGUUAAGGAGGGUUGUUCGGCAUCAUUGAAGAAAAGGAUCCUUAAACUUUCAUCGUGCUCAACUCAUAUUAUCUUUCUUCCUUUGAUUGAUUGGAUGUAUUCUGUGAUCAGUAUAUUUAUGUUUAUUUUUCUCAUUCAGAAUAUGAGCUGAAUUUACUUGUAGUUGAUUGACAAAUAAUCCAAUGGGUUCUUGACUGUUCUUAUAUGAUGUUAUGAUAAUGCUGUAGCAUUAUACUCUAAUAGUUUUUAUGACAUAAUUGUUAUUUCGGUUGACCACCCAUUUUAUAAUUUCAGUUAAGAUAGAGCAGCAAAAGGGUAUGUCUUAGCGGACAUUAUUAGAGUAUUACUUGUUCUUGAAUUAAGUUUCCUGGAUUAGGUUAUCUUAAAUCCCAUAAGGGCAAUGCUUGAUAUUAAGAUUUGUGAUAUCCUAGACAUAGGAGUUCACCUUGUAGGGUAGAGAGAUUAAAGUUCGUAAAGCCAUACAUUAACUUUAUGAGCAACUGGUCAUUGUUAGUAGAUUUAAAGGUAUGAGAUUUCCAACAUGCGACAGCUGCGGAUGCAGAUUUGUUCUACCCAGUGCUGCAGCACUUAUCAUAACAACUGGUGCUAAUUCGGUAAACAACAGUCACCCCAUUAGGAGAGUUUGAUCAUUCAACUACUAUCUUCUCAAUUGAACUUUGGAUACAUUUAGUUAAGUUUAUUUUAUUACGAUAUUGCUUCAAUUCUCAUCUCUCACAAUUGUUAUUUACGAUAGAAUUAUUUAGUAAUUGUUUGUUUCGGUCUUUAGUUGACGUGCAUUAUUGUGAUUGCUUUAACAUUUUGAGUAACAUCAAUCCCUGUGGAGACGAUCUUGAACACUCAUCACUUUAUUACUUGUUGUGUAUACUUGCACAUUGGUAUUGAUAAUAAUUGAUUAUAUAAAUCAAUCAACACUUGCCACUAACAUACCAUGUCUGCUUAACCCAAAUACAUGAGUAAUCUUCUCUAAGUUAAAGCUUGAUCAAUUAUCUAGCAAAUAAACCUGUGUACUACCUUUAAAGCUUAAGAAACAAAGAAUUUGAAAAAUCACAUUUACAAGAGGGCGGUUAAACAAAAACUUACUAAUAAGGGAAAGUUUGAAUGGUUGUGCUAUGGACUGAAUUUCUAGAGCUAAAAAGCAGAUAAUAGGUUUACCAUGAAAUAAUAAAACUAGCUUUUUCCAAAUUGAAGAUUCAAGGGGGCCAAAAAUAGCAUUAAUAAAAGACUUAGCAUUAGGGUUGAUGAUAACUUCAGAAUUUGUAAUAGAUGCAUAAGAGGCCUUUGAGAGUGGUUGGAUGUACGACCAAGAGUGAAGGGUGGAAAAGGGUCACGGGUUUGGGCUUGAUUUUUGGUUUAGUUUUGUGUUUGGAAAGCUGGAUGUUAGCUAGGGUUUCUUUAUUAUAGCUAAGGUUUUUUGCAUUUAGCAGCUGGUCUCGGUUUUCAACAGCAAAAUGGGUUUGAGUGGGCAAAAGUGGCUGAUCUGAGGUGGCUGGCAGAUUGAUGGUGCCACUAGCAGUAGCCAAAAUAGAGAUAGUGAGUUGUUGGUGAGAUAUAUUGCAGUUAAAAAAUAUUUGUCUCAGUAAAAGAAGUUAGAAAUAAUGGCCAAUAAGUAGUGCCUGAGUUUUGAUUGUGCUAGUGCAAACUAGUGCCUGAGGGGGUUGGUGGUAACUAGAGAGUGAGAGGUAGUUGUUAGGAGUACAUAAGGUUCAACAGUGGUUCCGUUAGUAAAUAAUCGCCACCAACAGAGGUAGGCAAGGUGGCAACAGUAUGAAGCAUAUUUUGAAAGGUUUGUUGCAAUCUAGGGUUUAUGGUUUGAAGUGUUAAUCGUUGUUGUGAGGGUUGUUGAUCAGUUGGGAUGUCGCCAGCAAUUAGAGAAGGUUCUGACAGUGGAGAAUCACCACCACUGGUGGACAAUAUGGUCAUAGGAAUUAUCGCAUUCCAUAAUACAAUACUUGAUGCUUUUCAAUCAUAGUUAUUCUCUUUUUAGGAAAAUUUAGAGUCAAUUUCUCAUCGUGCUAUUAAGAAGUUUGCACCUGCAUUUGUGAAGUUGGGCAUCAUUAACUGGGUUAAUGAUGUGCUAAAGGCAGUCCAUGCAACUGCCUAUAUGAUUGAUCAAGGAAGCAAUCAAGAAUUUAUAAAGCAAAUAUAAUCUCACAUGCGUGCAGACACAGACACAUACAAACGAGUACUAGAAGUAAUAAUUUAGAAAUGUCUUUUAAUUCCUUUUCUUUUAUUAUCUCAGGGAAUAUUUCAUAUAGCAAUACCAUGCUAUAUAGUGAAACCUGAGAAGAAAAGAUUGCUACUCAAAUUGCUAUAAUAGAUGACAGGUUAAGGUUAUUUUGAUGAAUCAACAGAAAACCUGAUACUAAAAAAUUCACGGUUAUUCGAAUGGCAACUUAUUGCUGAUGUAUUGUCCAAGCAACAUAAGAUGUAAAAAUCGUUAAGAACUGUGAAAGAAUGAGCAAUAUAGAGUAUGAUUUACCAUAUCAUGACAUAAUGUUGCAGACCACCCAAGUUGUUAGCCCAAGUGUCCACAAAUUCAGGCCAAGAGUGCUAGCUUGGCCCGAUUCUAGAAUUUUCUAGCUAACUCUAGCACAACUCAGGCUUGUACAUAUCUAGAAUUCUCUACACAUUUCUAGCACAUGUAAAUAUCUAGAUAUCUAGGUAAGUCGGUAGAAUUCUCUAGAGCUUGGCAAGCCUCCCUAUUAAUAGGGCAUGGCAUUUGGCAUUUGAGCAUCAAACUUUAAACAAGCAACUCAAGUACUCUUGUAAGCUCUCUUGUAAUAUCUCGUGCGAGUAAUAUAAUUUUCCUUAUUCAGCACCAUUGCCCUCUUCUCUCUAAUUCUUUCAAAAACCUCCAGGCUUAGCUAGUCGAGAAAUUCAAAUGCCUACUAAGCAACUUUCGACAAGAGUUGUCUAAGUGUCGCACGCGUUCGUUGCACAAAACACUAAUCCUGUGACAAGUGGUAUCAGAGUUAAGGUUUACACCCAUGCAAGUUAGCUCAAGAGCAAUGGCCAACCCUCCAAACCCGGCACAAGAGGGCGUUGUUAGUGUUGUGUUCCACUGGAGCCAUCCCGCGGCUACAAAGACGGAUGCACUCAAGGCAAGCCUCGCGGCAAGUCCAAGGCCCCAUCCGUUGAUGCCUUCGAGCCUCGUAUGGCUACGCUCGAAAUGGCUAUGACCGCCGCUCAAGACACCCUUGAAGGAUUAGAGGAAAGAGAAGAUGGUCUCGAGGUCACUAUGGCAAUCAAUACCCUUAUCCAAGACCAAGCCAACACCCUCUAAGGGGAAUUUUGAGCCUUUCACGAAGAGUUGCUGAAACUCCGCAAUUUCGUCCAAGAGGAACUACGAGCAGUCCAUGCAGAAGGGGAAGAAGUUCGCUCGGAUUGGGCAUGGCACAAGCGCACACUCUCCGCUAGCCCGGCAUCCACAAGAACGAGUGAUGCAAGACGCAUCAACGUACCGAAGCCCGACGCCUAUAAUGGCACACGCAAUGCCACUAUCGUGGACAACUUUCUCUUUAGGCUAGACCAAUACUUCGAUGCCAUAAGUGUACGAGAUAAGGCAUCGAAAGUGGGCACAACACCCACUUAUCUUUGAGGCGUCGUACAACUAUGGUGGCGUCGAAAGCAUGGCGAGAUGGGCAAAGGCAUUUGCACCAUCGACACUUGGGCUGACUUCAAGUAAGAACUUCGAAAGCAAUUUUCCCCAAGCAAUAUGGAUAAGGAAGUGUGAGCGUGCCUACGUCGCCUCAAACAAACAGGUAGUGUUCUACAUCAACAAGUUCACUACCCUCAUGCUCAAGAUAAGUGACAUGUUUGACAAGGACUCCAUCUUCUAUUUCUAAGUUGGCCUCAAGGAUUGGGCCAAGACCAAGUGUGAUAGGAAUGGCGUUCAAACACUUGACAACGCCAUCGCCAUUGCGGAGUCGCUCAUCAAAUACUCCACCCAAUCAAAAGAUAAAAGGCCCAACCAAGGCAAAGGUGAGGGAGAGAGUCACAAGGACAAGGGCAAUAACUGCAAGGAUUAGGGCUAGAAAAAGUCUCCUAGCAACAAAAGCGGGCAUGGAAAAUCAAAGGGCAAGAAGGAGCCAUCAAAGCCUCGAAGCAUAUGCUUUAUAUGCAACGACCCUCAUUGGGUACGUGACUAUCCCGGAAAGAAGUCGCUUAAUGCUCUCGUAACCCAACUUAAGAGCAACCUCACAAUGUUCGUGGAAGAACCCCAACUCAGCAUGGGUUCUUUCCAAUAUCUUGGCGCACUCAAGACCUAACAAACCGUAUUCAAUAAGAAAGGGCUCACGUACGUGAGUGCGAAAAUAAACAGUCAGUCCAUUCGCGCACUGCUAGACACGGGAGCUACUCACAACUUCAUGUUCGUAGAUGAGGCCAAGUGUUUAGGCCUCAAGACCACCAGGGAAGAAAGCACCAUGAAGGCGGUAACCUCACCCGCCAAGCCCAUUGUAGGUAUCGCACAAGGUGUGCACACAACACUUAGGAUAUGAAGCGGAAAUCUUGACUUCUCCGUCGUGCCCAUGGAUGACUUCAAGAUGGUCCUUGGCAUGGAAUUCUUCGAUCAAGUUCAUACCUUCCCACUGCCCAUUACAAACUCUCUAAGCAUCCUCGAUGGGAGUAAAACAUGCAUGGUUCCCACAGAAAGUGGCAAGUUCGAGGAGAAGAUGCUCUCGGCCAUGCAAUUCAAAAGGGCUUUUAAGAAAUACCCAAGUUUCUUGGUGUUCAUUUGGGACUUAAACGAAGAAGUAGAUUGUGGAAAUUUGUCAAGCCAAGUCCCUCCACAAAUACAAAAUGUCAUCAACGAGUUCAAGGACGUGAGGCCUCUCGAACUUCCGAAGAAGCUCCCACCUCGAUGAGAGGUAGAUCAUGCGAUCGAGUUGGAACAAAGCAUGAAGUCACUAGCUUUGGCGCCCUACUACAUGGUGCCACCUGAACUUGAGGAGUUGUAGUGACAACUGAAAGACUUGCUGGACGCAGGCUAUAUUUGCUCCUUAAAGGCUCUAUUCGGUGCACCGGUCAUUUUUUAAAAGAAAAAUAAUGAAUCGCUGUGGAUGUGCAUAUACUAUAGAACGCUUAAUAAGAUCUUGUAUUUGAUUCCCUUGAUAGCGGAUCUUUUCGACCAGCUUGGCAAGGCGCAGUACUUCACCAAACUUGACUUGCGCUCCAGGUACUACCAAGGGAGACGAACCCAAGACAGCGAGCACAAUAAGUUACAGGUCCUUUGAAUUCCUUGUCAUGCCAUUUGGCCUUACCAAUGCACCCGCUACUUUUUGCACACUUAUGAACAAGGUGCUCCAAUCGUUUCUCGAUCAAUUUGUGGUCGUGUACUUAGACGACAUCAUGGUCUAUAGUACCACGCUCGAGGAACAUGCCCAACAUUUGCGACAAGUCCCCCAAGUACUACGAGACAACGAGCUCUUCCUCAAAAUGGAGAAAUGUUCAUUCGCUCAACAAGAAGUGGAGUUCCUUGGCCACAAGAUUGUGGGCAGAAAACUCAUGACGGAAAAUGCUAAGGUGAAGGCGAUCCUCGAAUGGGAACCUCCCACGAAAAUGCCUAACCUUCGCUCAUUUCUUAGAUUUGUGAACUACUACCGAUGCUUCAUCAAGGGCUACUCAACCAAGGCGGUACCCUUGACAAAUUUACUCAAGAAAAAUCGAAUGUGGCAUUGGUUCGUAGAAUGCCAACGCAUAUUCGAAGACUUGAAUAAGGUAUUUCCUGAGGAACCUGUCCUUGCUCUUCUGAACCACACUAAGCCCUUCGAAGUCCAAACGGAUGCCUCGGAUUUUGCCAUAGGUGGAGUUCUUAUGCAAGAAGGCCACCCAAUGGCGUUUGAGAGUCGAAAGUUAAAUGAUACAGAACGCUGCUAUAAAUACCCCCUAACCCUUUUCAUUUUCAAUCCAACCUAGAAAUUUCAUUCUCUUCUAUUAUAAGUCAUAAUAUCAAGUGCAGAGAAAUCCUUAAUUUAGAAAGGUCUAGAGAAGUCAAUGCCAAGAGGUAAGUAACACUUCAACUGCAAUGUAAGGACAAAAUUCUUUUCGUACUUAACUUCAGUUUUAAUGAUUUCCUUAUGUUGUGAUGGCUAUUAUGAUGUUAUUAAAAUAAAUCCUUAAUUUAUGUUGUGAUGGCUAUUAACAAAAUUCUUUUCAUACUUAACUAUGUUUUAAAUAUUUUUAAAAUAGAUAUGGACGGUCUUCAGAAUCGCUUUAAACCUGGCUCUAAUACCAAUUUGUAACACUCCACUUAAAUAUCUAUUAUGAUGUUAUUAAAAUAAAUCCUUAAUUUAUGUUGUGAUGGCUAUUAACAAAAUUCUUUUCAUACUUAACUAUGUUUUAAACAUUUUUAAAAUAGAUAUUUAAGUGGAGUGUUACAAAUUGGUAUUAGAGCCAGGUUUAAAGCGUUUCUGAAGACCGUCCAUAUGCAGAAGUCAAGGGGAAGGACAAGGCUCAACUUUUUAGUAAAAACUUGGAAUUAGGUAAGUUAGAGAUUUUCAUUUGAUUUGUUUGACACGCAGAAAUUAGAUUAAAAACUUGUUGAGAUGUCAAGCAUUAGGGGUAACAGAAGGAGAAGGGCGGAAGGAAGUGCAAGGGAGUAAUCUGCAAUUGAUCGACUUACAAAUAUUGUGGCACGACUUUUGGAAAGGGAAGUUAGAAGAGAUGAACAUGCUCAUGCAAUGAACAACGCAUGAAGCAAAUUUUAAAGAUUAAAUCCACCCAUGUUUGAAGGAGGUGUAGACCCUAUUGCAGUAGACUAAUGGUUGCGGACCAUGGAAAAAAUGAUUGAAAUAGCAAAAGUACCUGAAGAAGAAAAAGUCACUUAUGUCUCCUUUAUGCUACGGGGAGCGGCAGAAUAUUAGUGGGACUCUAUCAAACAAAUCCAUAAUGAAAGAACAAUGCAAUGGAGAGAAUUUAAAGAACACUUCUAUAACAAAUACUUUUCAAAGACUGUUCGCUCAGCCAAAAGAAGAGAGUUUGUUUAUCUACAACAAGGAAUGAUGUUUGUGCUAGAGUACAUCCAAAAAUUUGAUGAGCUCUCUCUAUAUGCCCCAUAUAUGCUUGCAAUGGAAGAUUUGAAAAAUGACUAUUUUAUGCAAGGAUUGUGAAAAGAUCUCGCAAAAGAUUUAAAGGUGGCGGGAGUUCGUGAUGCUUCCUUCAAUGAACUCAUCGAUUGAUCUUUGGUAAUUGAGCAAGCAAAUGAAGAAAAAAAAAAGGAAGAAAAACAAAAGAAUAAAGGAAGUAUGGACCAGAGAAAUUUUCAAGCUAACCACGAAGGACAACGCUUAAAUAAUAAUAAGAGAAAGGGAAUGCCAGCGAUCCAAGAUCAUAGUAAAAGCAAGCGCCCUAAGAAUCAUCAGUGGGAAGUCCCACAGAAACCAAUGUGCAACUAGUGCGAUAGAACUCAUCCUCGGGAAUGUCGAGCAAAUACCAGAACAUGUUUCAAAUGUGGAAAAGAAGGACACUUUAUCAGGGACUACCCAGAAAAUGGUAUGCAACAAGAAAAGACUAAUGCUCGAGUAUUCACACUCACCAAGAUGGAUGCAGAAGGAAACCCCUCAAUAAUAUUAGGUGAACUAUCUAUUUUAAAAAAUCCUACAUAUGUAAUAAUAGACUCAGGAGCUACACAUUUAUUUGCCUCACCAACAUUUAUUAGGAAAAUGUAAAAUGCCCCUGAUAUAAUAAAUAGGCCUUUUAGUGUCAUGGUACCAUCAGGUGAAACAUUAAACUUGGGACAAUUAAUUAAGGCAUGUGAGGUUAGCAUUUGUGAUAAUACACUAUGUGUUGACUUAAUAAUCCUUGAGAUGCAUGACUAUGACGUAAUUCUUGGCAUGGAUUGGCUAUCAAUGCACUAUGCCAUGAUAGAUUGCAAGAAAAAGGAGGUAACAUUUUGACCAACACAAAAAGAAUCAUUUACAUUUAAAGGAGAAUGCAAAAAGAAUAGAAUGCCUAUCAUCAAAAUAGAUAGGCAUUAAAUAGAAGGUGUGAGGGGUACUUGGCAAGUGUGGUCAUCGAAAUAGAAGAGCAAAGACCAAAGUUGGAAGAUAUUCUAGUGAUGAACGAAUUUCAUGAGGUCUUCCCUAAAGAACUUCCAGGAUUGCCACCAGAUCGAGAAAUUGAAUUCAAAAUUGAUUUGUUACCAGGAACUGCUCCAAUUUCAAAGGUGCCCUAUAAGAUGGCCCCAUCAGAAUUAAGGGAGUUAAAGAGUCAAUUACAGGAGUUACUAGACAAAGGCUAUAUACGUCCAAGUCAUUCACCAUGGGAAGCACCAGUACUAUUCCUAAUAAAGAAGGAAGGAUAAAUGCAAUUGUUCAUUGACUAUCGAGAGCUAAAUAAGGUAACUAUCAAGAACAAAUACCCACUUAUGCGCAUCGAUGACUUGUUUGAUCAGUUGAAGGAGUAUCAGUAUUUUCAAAGAUUGAUCUACGAUCAGGAUAUCACUAGUUGAGAAUUAGGGAAGAAGAUAUUCAUAAAACAACAUUCAGAACACGUUAUGGACAUUAUGAGUUUGUUGUCAUGCCAUUUGGACUAACUAAUGCCCCAGCAGCGUUCAUAGACCUCAUGAAUAGAGUAUUUAAAGACUACCUAGAUAGAUUCAUAGUGGUGUUCAUUGAUGACAUUUUAAUCUAUUCAUAAAUAAAGGAGGAGCAUGCUAAGCAUCUAUGGAUCACUCUUCAGACCUUGAAGGAGAAGCAACUUUAUGCAAAACUCAAGAAAUGUGAAUUUUGGCUUGAAAAAGUUACAUUCCUUGGACACGUCAUGUCUAAAGAUGGAAUUUCAGUAGACCUCUCGAAGGUAGAAGUUGUAAGUCAAUGGUCCAGACCGACUAAUCCCAAAGAAGUCAGAAGCUUCUUGGGUUUGGCUGGAUACUACCGAAGAUUUGUGAAAGGUUUCUCUAAAAUCACGAUACCAUUGACCCAGUUGACAAAGAAAAAUGCCAAGUUUGCAUGUGAUAAACCCUGAACUGAAAUGGUUAGAUAAACAACACAGUAGAGAGCAUAAUGUUGUUGGAUGUAGGAAAAAUGAUAUUUAUCUGCAGAAAUAAACCAAAACACCUAAGCAUUCGAGAGGCUUGGUAUCUCUCCCAAAAAUGAGCAAGCUCACUAAAAAAUAAUUCUCUGGAUCUGUUUCCCAAAAACCAGCUCCUCUCCAUAUAACCUCCUCACUUCUACGCCCAAAUAGAAUAACAGAAAAAUCUAACAAAUUAUCAAAACCGAAUACCAUCAACUUAUUACUAACAAAAAUGCAUAACAAACUCUUCUCUAUAUACUACUUGAUGACACGUCAGCCACGAUUGGUAUUUCCGAAAUUACCCUUGCGCCUUGCAUAUGUGAAACGCACUUGUGGCCUAACAUUACCAUCCGCCCAAACUUUCACCUUGUCCUCAAGGUGGAAAUCGGGAAAUUGUUGUUGGAUCAGAUGAAAAUCCUCCUAAGUUGCCUCAAACUCAGGCAAGGAUUUCCAUUUGAGCAGCACCUCCACUUCACCGUAUUGACCAUUAACCUUAGGACGAACUCCCAACAAUUUUUUAGGUUCCACCACGAGUUCAAGCUUAGGAGUCAACUGUGGGGGGAUAGUGGGGGAAAACGAUGACACACCAAAUGCUGCCCUCAACUGCGAAACAUGAAAGACAUGGUGGAGUUUUGCUGUUUGAGGCAGUUCUAGUUUGUAUGCCACAUUCCCGAUACGCUGAAGAACCUUAAAUGGACCGUAGUAACGUGCAGCUAAUUUCUCAAACUUACGUUGAGCGAGGGAGCGCUGCCGGUAAGGUCUUAGUUUCAAAAAUACCAAAUCACCUGCAUUGAACUCUACAUGAUGGCGCUUUUGAUCAGCUUGCAGCUUCAUCCGCUGCUGGGCACGAAGCAAUUGCAUCCUCAGAUCGUCCAGUAUGGUAUCACGAUCCUUCAUUAACUGUUCCACCAAAGAUACCGAAGCAGCUCCUUACUCAUAUCGAAUAAGAAGGGGUGGAUCCCUUCCAUAGAGAGCACGAAAUGGAGUACAACGUGUAGAGGAGUGGAAGGAAGUAUUAUACCAAUACUCAGCCCAUGCCAACCAGCGAGCCCAACUUCAAGGUUUUCCAGAAGCAAAGCAUCGUAGAUACGUUUCCAGACAACGAUUGACAACUUCUGUUUGUUCAUCAGAUUGUGGAUGAUAGGCGGUGCUUCUUUUGAGAGUAGUUCCUUGCAGCUUGAACAAUUCACUCCAAAAAUAGCUCAAGAAUAUCCUAUCUCGAUCAGAGAUAAUUGACUGUGGUAUCCCAUGAAGCCUAACAAUUUCACGAACAAAGAUUCCAGCAACCGAAACAGCAGAAAAAGGAUGUUUCAAUCCUAUGAAGUGAGCAUACUUACUCACUUCAUAUUCUGCUGGCAGAUGGUGCAUUCCCGUACAAAUCUAGUGACAUCCUUGCGCAUACCUAUCCAAUACAAUUCUGCUGCUAAGCGUAGGUAAGUUUUUGUUUCUCCCGAAUGUCCCCCAAUCGGAGUGGUGUAAAACUCUCCUAUGAGAGCAGAAAGAAGCUUAGAAGUCUGAGGAAUAACCAGUCGACUCUUGUAGAACAAUACUCCAUGCUCAACUGAGAACCCCACGUGAGAUUGUGUACCCGAAGUUAUGUCUUCCCUUAGUUUCUUCAGAAAGGUAUCCUCUGCCAAUUCAACCUUUAAGGAAUCCCAAUGUUGCCACUGAGGAAUCGCCAAAGCUGAACACUCUGCUGGUUCUGUUAAGCGUGAGAGUGCAUCCGCUACUCGAUUACUUGCCCUACUACGAUAUUGAAUAUCAAAAUCAUAUCCCAUGAUUUUGGUGAUCCAUUUUUGAUAUUCAACUCCAACAAUCCUCUACUCCAAAAGAAAUUUUAAGCUCUGUUGGUCUGUUCGCACAAUGAAUCGCCUUCCCAGCAAGUACGGCUGCCAUUUCAGGAUUGCAAACACUAUGGCCAUUAGUUCUUUCUCAUAUAUGGACUUAAGGCGAGCCCGGGGCCCCAAAACUUGGCUGUAGUAAGCUACUGGUUGUUGCCCCUGUAGUAGAACAGCUCCUAACCCAAAACCAGAUGCAUUAGUCUCAACAAUAAAUGGCUUUGUGAAAUCAGGCAUUGCCAACACUGGGACCGAAGACAUAGCUUGUUUGAGUUCUUCAAAUGCCGCUGCAGCCUCUGGACUCCACCCAAACCUACUUUCUUGAGCUGAUCAGUCAAAGGCGAUGCGAUUCUAGCAUACCCAGCCACGAACAUUCUAUAAUACCCCGUCAAUCCCAGAAAUCCCCUUAACGCUUUCAGAUUAGUGGGCGUCGGCCACAAGUUCAUGGCUUGGAUUUUACUUGGAUCCGCUGCCACCCCUUGUCCAGAGAUGAUAUGGCCUAAGUAUGCCACUUGAGUCCUUCCAAACUCAUAUUUUUUUCGGUUGGCAUAAAGGCUGUUGGCCUGCAAUUUUCCCAAGACGAGAGCCAAGUGCUGCAGAUGGGAUUCCACUGAAGGGCGGUAAAUUAGAAUGUCAUCGAAGAACACUAGCACAAACUUCCAAAGAUAAGGCCGGAAGACAUCAUUCAUCAAGGAUUGGAAAGUCGUCGGGGCAUUCGUUAGUCCGAAAGGCAUGACGAGAAACUCGUAGUGUCCAUCAUGCGCUCGAAAAGCAGUCUUAUGAACAUCCUGACUACUGACUAUGAUUUGAUGGUAGCCCGACUUUAACUCUAGCUUGGAAAAAAUUCUGGCACCAUGUAAUUCAUCUAGGAGUUCAUCAAUGACAGGGAUAGGAUACUUAUCUGGUACCGUCGCUUUGUUGAGAGCCCUAUAAUCCACACAAAAACACCACGAUCCAUCUUUCUUCUUAACCAACAAAACUGGGCUCGAGAAUGGACUAUUGCUGACUUGGAUUAUUCCUGCAUCUAACAUCUCCUGAAUCAGUCUUUCAAUCUCAUCCUUCUGAGCAUGAGGAUAGCGAUAUGGUCUGACGCUAACAGGUUCACUGCCGUCUUUGAGCAAAAUGGAAUGCUCAUGUCCCCUGGUAGGUGGUGAGCCCAUGGGCAUGUUAAAAACCAAUUCGUAUUCUGCUAGGACUUGGUUUAGAUUCGUUGGCACCUCAGGGCUCACUUCGCACAGACCUUCAAAUUGAUUACAUUCCACCAUAAUUCCAGCCCCCUCGUGCUUAAUGGUGCGCAUCAUUGCCUUCAAUGAAACCAAAGUCUUGCCAAGGGAAGGAUCCCUUCGUAGAGUAACAGAUUCAUUUCCGAGCAUGAACUUCAUCACCUGUGUCUUCCAAUUUGUGUGUGUCAUCCCCAAAGUUUCAAGCCACUGAACUCCUAAUAUAGCAUCCGAGCUCCCCAACCCAAGCGGCAAGAAUUCCUCUACAAUAUCUAUUCCCUGUAGAUGAAUAGUCACUCCCCGACAUAAACCUUCUCCCCUUACAGCCGCUCCAGUACCCAUAGUCACCCCAUAAGCCCCAGUUUUAACAAUGGGUAUCUGCAUUUUACUAACCAAAUCUAGAGAAAUAAAAUUGUGGGUUGCACCUGAAUCAAUCAGUACCACCACCUCUUGCUCCCCGAUAGUCCCCUUAAGCUUCAUCGUCUUUGCUGUAGUCAGACCAACCACCGAGUUAAGAGAGACCUCUACCACUUGAUUAAUUUCGGCCGUUUCCAGUUCGGGAUCGCCUUCACCCGAACCUUCUUCCUCUUCCUGCUCUGCUUCGUCCAUGUCGUAGGUGAGAAGGAUAGUCAAUUCUUUCUUCUUGCAGCGAUACCCAGGUGCCCACUUUUCAUCACAUCGAUAACAUAGUCCCUUAUCUCUUUUCUUCUGUAAUUAUGAAUCGGAAAACCUCCUAACCUCUCCCAAAAAUCGAGCCGUGUUAUGAUUUGUCCCAAACGAAGAUCGCGAAGCUUCAGAAUGGAAGUUCACACCUCGCGUUGACCCUUUUGCUCGAUGAAACCCACCGCCUGCUUUGUGGGCCUUGGUCACCCACAGUUUCUCCUUAAUCUUUUGGGCUAAGUCCAUGGCCCGGCCCAAAUUACUGGGUUCCAUGAUCCGAACCUCGACCCGAAUUUCAGGCUUCAACCCGUUGAUAAAAUUUCCCAGAGCUAGUUCGUCUGUAAUGUUCUCCAACGGCACCGAAAGUUCGAUGAAUUUCCGGUGGUAUUCUCGCACACUGCUAUCUUGAGUAAGGGCUAGCCAUUGUUCAUAGAGAGAACCGGCUUGGAUUACUCGGAGUUGUUUCAAGAUUAGUACCCUCAUCUCUUCCCAAACCACUAUGGAUCUCUUCAUAUUCUCCCAUUAAUACCACAACAGGGCAUCUCCCUCGAAAGCUAGUAUCGCCGCCUCAAGUUUUUCUUCAUUGGAUAACCGAUUUACGGAAAAAUAUCGUUCAGCCUUCAUAAUCCAGCCAUCCGGAUUUAAGCCAUCGAACAGUGGCAUCUCAAGUUUCCGGAAUCAGAAAUCAGGGCGAGUUCCGCCUGAGCUCGACCCACCGCCGAAGUUGGGGCUGAGCAUCUUUUCCCCUUUAUACGAAUUCGAACCUCCCGUAUCCUCCUGAAGUUUGAUGAACUGUUCGAAUCGUUUGUUCAUCGUCUGUAUUUCAUCCUUCAACGAUCCCAUUUCCCGUUGAAACUCCUCCUACGCAGCAACCAUCGCCUCCUCUAUGGAAUCCAUUCGUUGAGCAACAUUUUUGCCGGUCAUUUUCCAAGUACGUGACUUCUCUGAUACCAAUUUGAUAAACCCUGAACUGAAAUGGUUAGAUAAACAACACAGUAGAGAGCAGAAUGUUGUUGGAUGUAGGAAAACUGGUAUUUAUCUGCAGAAAUAAACCAAAACACCCAAGCAUUCGAAAGGCUUGGUAUCUCUCCCAAAAAUGAGCAAGCUCACUACAAAAUAAUUCUCUAGAUCUGCUUUCCAAAAACCAGCUCCUCUCCAUAUAACCUCCUCACUUCUACGCCCAAAUAGAAUAAUAGAAAAAUCUAACAAAUUAUCAAAAUUGAAUACCAUCAACUUAUUACUAACAGAAAUGCAUAACAAACUCUUCUCUCUAUACUACUUGAUGACACGUCAACCACGAUUGGUAUUUUCAGAAUUACCCUUGCGCCUUGCAUAUGUGAAACGUACUUGUGGCCUAACAGCAUGGACACUAGAAUGCGAGAAAAGCUUUAAAGAACUAAAACGACGGCUGGUCACUGCUCCAAUCCUAGCCAUUCCUAACAGCUCUGAGGAUUUUGUCAUCUAUAGUAAUGCCUCCAAAAAUGGUAUUGGAUGUGUCCUCAUGCAAAAUGGAAAAGUCAUUGCAUAUGCUUCCAGACAAUUAAAUGAAUAUGAGAAAAACUAUCCAACGCAUGAUUUGGAGUUGGCAGCAGUGGUGCACGCAUUAAAAUUAUGGCGUCACUGUUUAAUAGGGGCGCAUUGUAAGAUUUACACUGAUCACAAGAGCCUCGAAUAUUUCUUUACCUAAAAGGAGCUGAAUAUGUGACAAUGGUGUUGGCUAGAGCUUGUCAAGGACUACAACUGCGAAAUAAACUAUUAUCCUGGAAAAGUAAAUACGGUAGCAGAUGCACUAAGUAGAAAGUCAAGCUUGUCAGCUUUACGGAUUCUACCUAAGCCAUUACAAAAUGAUAUAUGCAAGGCAGAGAUCGAGCUAGUAAUAGGAAAAUUAGCCAAUAUGAAGCUUUGCUCAACCUUAUUAAAAAAGAUUAAGAAAGGGCAGGAAAGUGAUUCUUACUUGAAGAACCUAAAGAUAGAGGCCAACUCAAAGGAGACGUUGUUUAAGAAGUCAGAGAAGGGAAUCAUCUUGUUCAAGGAUAGAAUAUGUGUACCAGAUAAUGCAAAUAUAAAGAAAUAUAUUAUACUUGAAGAUCAUAUAACCCCAUAGUCACUUCAUCCUGGCACAACAAAGAUGUACAAAGACUUAAAGAAGCAUUAUUAGUGGCCUGGAAUGAAGAAGGAUGUAGUUGAGUUCGUGGCAAAAUGUCUCACUUGUCAACAAAUCAAAGUAGAACACCAGAGACCAGCAAGACUUUUGGAAUCCAAUUAAGUUACUCAAUGGAAGUGGGAAGAAAUCACAAUGGAUUUCGUCAUUAGUCUUCCAAGGACUACCAAAAUACAUGAUGUUAUUUGGGUGAUCAUUGAUCAACUCACAAAGUCUGCUCACUUCUUGCCUAUUUGAAUGACGUACACCAUAGACCAGCUUGCAGAAAUAUAUGUAAAAGAGAUAGUAAAACUGCAUGGUGUACCCAUUUCUAUUAUUUCUGACCGAGAUGCAAGGUUUACUUCGACAUUUUGGGAAAAGUUACAUAAGGCUAUGGGGACAAGAUUGAAGUUUAGUAAAACAUUUCACCCUCAAACAGACGGCCAAUCAGAAAGAACAAUUCAAACGCUUGAAGAUAUGUUGCGAGGAUGUGCUAUCAACUUUCAAAGAUCAUGGAGCAAGUAUUUACCAUUGGUUGAAUUUGCCUACAACAAGAGUUACCAAGCAACAAUCAGCAUGGCACUACACGAAGCUCUAUAUGGUAGAAAAUGUAGAUCGCCUAUUCAUUGGGAUGAGAUGGGCGAAUGAAGGCAUCUAGGACCCAACUUAAUUACUGCCUCAUCUGAAGCAAUCGAGAAAAUACCUCAAAGAAUGCUGGCAGCUCAAAAUCGACAAAAAAGUUAUGCGGAUAAGAGGUGAAGGCCUUUGGAAUUCCAAGUUGGUGAUAAAGUAUUUAUAAAAGUUGCCCCAGUAAAAGGAUUGAUGAGAUUUAGAAACAAAUGAAAAUUAAGUCCGAGGUUUAUUGGGCCAUUUGAAAUACUCGAUCGCGUCGGGAAUGUUUUCUACCGACUUGCCCUCUCACCAUCGUUAUCAAGAAUACAUAAUGUCUUUCAUGUAUCCAUGUUAAAGAAAUACGUCCCCGACUCCUCUCAUGUGCUAGAUUAUAAGCCCCUACAACUAGAAGGAGACCUAACCUACGAAAAAUGUGUAAUUCAAAUUCUUGAUAGAAAGAUAAAAGAGUUAAAGAAUAAGAAGAUUCCUUUAGUUAAAGUACUAUGGCGAAAUAGCUCAGUGGAGGAGGCAACAUGGGAACGUGAGGAAGAAAUGAAGAAUAAGUAUACUGAGCUAUUCAGUAAGUAAAUUUCGAGGACGAAAUUAUUUUAAAGAGGGGAGGAAUUGUGAGGUACAAUUUUCUCACUUAAAUAUAAUAUUAUUUAUUUUAAGGUAACAAGCCCCCUUAAGUAUUAUUAUUAUUAUUAUAUAAAAUAUUAAAUUAUAAGUUAUGAUAACAUAAUCAAUGACAUAAGUAAUGAUGACAUAAGCAACGACAUAAGUGAUGAUGUAAGAGAAGUGUGUAGAGAAAGUUAAGAAUUCUAGAAUUUAAUAAGGUAUUUAUGAAGGUUAAUCUCAACCAUUGAUCAAGAGUUAUGGUAGCAAAAUCCUAAUCAUUUAUUGGCCUUAAAAAAUCCUAUAAAUACCCCCUAACCCCUUUCAUUUUCAAUCCAACCUAGAAAUUUCAUUCUCUUCUAUUUUAAGUCAUAAUAUCAAGUAUAUAGAAAUCCUUAAUUUAGAAAGGUCUAGAUAAGUCAAGGCCAAGAGGUAAGUAACACUUCAACUGCAAUGUAAGGACAAAAUUCUUUUCAUACUUAACUUCAGUUUUAACAAUUUCCUUAUGUUGUGAUGGCUAUGGAUAACUCUAGGAAAUGAGAGUUAUCAAGACACUUUUAUACUUAAAUCGAUAUUAUUUAGAGAGUGAAUGUUGUGUUUCUAUUGCAUUUUUGUUAUACUUCGCAUAAACAUUCAUUUUAGUUUAGUCGUAAUAAAUUUUGUUUGAUUUAGAAUAAUUUGUGCCUAGAUUGUGUGUGUAAUUAUAGAUGUUCGGAAGCUCAUGUUUUAAGAAAGGAAUGCUGAUGCAAUCAACUUGCAAAAGAUGGAAAAGAACUUAGUCACAAAAGUCUUAAAACAAAUCUGGAACAGUGCAAUUGUUUUAGCCGUUGCUGUAGCAGCCAUUGUUGUAGCAAUCCUAGAACAAUGAUAGAGAAAAUUCCACGCAGGAUACUUGGAGAAUCGUGAUCUGCAGUUUUCUAAUAUGACUCAUGCGUGCCCUAGGCUUCCGUUUACCCUAAUUUUCAAUUAUAAAAAGAGCACGCAUCAUAUGGAAGGGGGCGGUGAAUUAACAUCGAAGAAAUCAAGAGAAAAUAAGGAAAGAGCAGAAUUCAAGAGAGACAAGUCUGGUCCAUUGAAGAAAUCUACAGAACUAUUUGGAUUCAAUUUUCAUCAUUCUUUACUUGUCCCCUUACUUACUCCUAGAUUAAAAUGAUGUAUUUCAUGGCUGAUACUUUGCUGUUUGUUUUUCUUUUACAAGUUAUGAGUUGAAAACGAUCUAAAUGGGUUCUUGGCUAUUCUUAUGAGUUGUUGCAACAUUGCUGUAGCAUUUUACUUUAAUAGCUUGUAUUACAAUCAUUAUUUCGAUUGACCUCUCAUCUAAUGGUUCAAGUUAAGAGAGAGCUGCAAAAGGGUCUGUCUUAGUGGAAAUUAUUAGAGUAAUACUUGAUCUUAAUUUAAGUUUUCUGGAUUGAGUUUAACUUGAGUCUCAAGAGCGCCACACUUGAAUUAAGAUUUGUGAUGACAUAGAUAUAGGGAUUCACCUUGUAAGGUAGAGAGAGUAUAUGUUUGUAAUAUAAUAAUUGGUCAUUGUUAGGUUGCGUAAGCAACAGUUGAGGAAGCAAAAUAAGUCUGCUCAGUGCUAUAGGAGUUGCUGCACCAACUGGUGUUAGUUUGAACAAAACAGUCAGCCCAUGAAGAGAGUUUGAUCAUUCAACUACUUUAUCUUUAUUGAAUUUUAUUUUUGCAAGCUAUUCAGUUUACUUCAUUAUUGCAGUUACUUUAUUACGUUGUUAAUUUUAUUAGUCAAUCAACUUUAUUUGUAUUCCUUUUAGAUAGAAGGAAGUUUGCACUAUCGUGAUUACUGUAGCAUUUCUAGUAACAACAAUCCAUGUGGAGACGAUCUUGAAUAUUCAUCAAUUUAUUACUUGUUGUGUACACUUGCACAUUAACAUCAAUAACAAUCGAGUUAAAUUAACCAACAACUAUUCCGCCUAAUCUAUGAUGCUUAGUUAUGUUAUGGUCAGCUCUGCCGCCUAAUCUGCAAUGCUAAGUUAUGUUAUGGUCGACUCUGCCGCCUAUUUACGAUGCUUAGUUAUGUUAUGGUUGGCUCUGCCGCCUAAUCUGUGAUACUUAUAAUUAAUUAUGCUAUGUCGGGUGUGCCGCCUGUAUUCAAGAAUAUUGUUCUUAAAUACUGUUGUGUGUUGAUUCUUUUAUGCAUUUAGGAACUUCAAAUAUUAUGACAUAAUUUGCAUUGAAUGCAUGCAUAUCAUGGAUUACAUUAUAAAGAAGACGUUUCAGAAAAUGAAUUUAUGAAAAAUAAGUGGUUGUACCACCAAGUGGCAAAAUUUCUAAGGAGGGCAAGCCCUUAAAGCUAACUUUAAAAAAAUCUUUUGGGGACGGCGAUACAUAACGCCUAAAAGAUCAACUAAUGAGGCCUAAAGGCAUAUUGUUUAAAAUAGUAAAAGUGCCAACCUUGUAGUGCAACAUACCUAGGGCCUUAAUGAAGUUGUUUUGUAUUUUUUAAGUUUCUUUUAAAAGCUUAAGAUGGUCAUCCAUAUGCAUCAUAAUUUAUACAUUCAUAAAAGUAUUAUCUUAUUGGGCAUUAGCUCAUAAAGUCCUUACAUUGCAGAUAAUGAUGAGUAAGGCAAGCUGGCGCCAAGUCUUAACCAAGAAAAAAUGCAUAUGGACAUAACAGACCUUGGGAUUUUAAGAUGGGCUCAGCUUUGUUUAAAUAAAAAUUAAACAUCUUAGCUUUAUGUAAUAAUCAAGUUUUGAAAUAAACUAUGAAAUCUCUGUAUGACUUUUACUUUAUGAAGAAAUUUUUGUUUGUUGUGUUAAGCUUUUAGAAAUCGUAUUUAACUAUGUUUUAAACAUUUUUAAAAUAGAUAUUUAAGUGCAGUGUUACAACAUCAGUCUCCUCCUCUUCGAAAAAAAAAACUCAUCCUCGAGUUUUGCUGAAAAUAAAGGACAAUCUGGAGGAUAAAUCUUUUAAUUAAGGAGUAAUUGAUCUUGCACUGCAAAAGUGUAGCACUUUGCAUCAACUUUUCUUAAAACUCGAAAGUACUAAAACUUCAAUUUCUUCUUGUUUUUUAGUAUGGUUCUUCUAAAAACUGUAGACUUGUAAGGGCAAACCAUUAGAAGUUCUCUUUUAAUUUGAGUCACAGGUAAUCCUCAUAGGAGGUAACUUGUUAAGAAGCUCUUUAGGCACGAUAUCCUGAAAUUAUGAGAGUAGUGAUUGGACUUAUUCAGGCAUCGAUUCUUCUUCAGCUAUCUCUUUUGUAGUAAAAGAUAAGUUCCCUUGACAUUUGACUUUAUCGGAGCAAGGAUAACUUUCAAGUUGUCUUUAUAGAACCUGUAUGUGUUAUCUUUCCCAUAAUGUACCAUAUUAAGAUCAAAUUGCCAAGGUCUCCCGAAAAGCAAAUGGCAAGCAUUCAUGUCAACAAGAUCGCAAGUAACUUCAUCUUUAUGUCUUCUGAUGGAAAAACUGAAUACAACAUUGUUGAGUAACCUUUAUCUCUCCAACAUCUUUUAUCCAUCUAAUGCAAUAAGGGGAAGGAUGUUUGUGAGUUUUAAGCUGUAACUUGUCAACUAUAAUCUUCGAAACUAUAUUCUUGCUACUAUCACUGUCAAUAAUCAUCACAUACCCUCUCAUUGAUUGUGCACCUUGUUUUGAAGAUAUUAUGUCUCUGAGUCUCUUCGUCUUUCUUUUGUGUGUAUAACGAAUGUUGUGUUACUAGUGAUACUCCUAUGUCUCAAUAUGUCCACUCUUCCUCCUUUUCUAUGUCGACAUUGUCUUCAUAUAGUUCAUCCUUAGGCUUUCCAUUUUCCUCUGCAUUAGUUUCCAAAUUGACUAUUUGAUGUCUUCGUUCUGGACAUUGGUUUGAUGUAUGGCCUAGCUUUGAAUAACGAAAACAUUCGUCACCUCGAGGAAAUUCAUAAGGAUUGCUACUACAUAGUGUAAAACUUUCUUUCUUUCAAUUCCGUUUGGCUGAAAUUCGUUUUCUCAUUUCACAAAAAACAUAAUACAUUUUUGUGCUAAUGCCAUUGAAACAUUCACACUGACAUAUGUCCAUGUCCAUAAACACACAUAACACAUAACAAUACAUUCUAUUAACACAUCAUAUAAACACAUGGGCAGAGCAUAUAAAUCCAUAUCCGUAUAUAUUAAAAUAAGUUUUUCAAACAUGUCAAACAUGUACAUAUUAUUUAUUAUGACUCAUUUAGAAAUCUAGUUUACUUACCUUCUAGCAUCCUCGAGUAACAAAUAUGUGUCGAUAUCACCGACCUAAAGUCAAUAAAAAAUACUCCUAUAAGAUAAAAUCAUAUCAAAUCAUAAACUCUAUUGUUCUCAAAUUCCUCAAUAUAACACCCUCUAAACUUAACCUCAAUUAAUCUUAAUUUGAAUAAUUAAUUACAAAAAAUACCAAAAUUUAAAUUACUAGAAUGCCCCUUAAAUCUCAAAAUCACAAGUUGCCAAAUUAUCCUCAAAAUCAUAAUUUAUCGGACCACCCUUAGAUUCUUAUUCUCCAAAUCAUAAAUCACUGAAAUAUUCACGAAAUAAAAAAUUUAAGAAAUUACCCACAAAUUCUAAAAAAUUACUAAAAUGCUCUCAUCGAUCAACAGUGAUCUAAAUUCAUACGGUGGUGAUGGGAAAGGUCGGGAUAGAAGCUUCAUGUCGCAUUGAAUCCAACGGUGGCGACGGAGGCACCAGAUUGAGCUCCCAAAGCUGUGAACACUUUGGAGGUCGAUUGGCAGCAAAUCAACUAUUUGUGGUGAUGUGGGUGGUAAAACAAUGCAAGUAGUGACCUAAGGAACGAAACCCAGUCGGUGGCGUCACCCAAAACCAGUGAAAUCACAGUGAAUGGAGGUGGCAAAUACUGCAAGUUUUGCGGGCCCAAAUGACGGCUGUCUGGUCGUUAUUCAACAGUAAUGAUGGCGGGGAAGUGACCAUUGGUUCUAAAGCUUCUAAUCGGUACCUCCCGUUGCUGGUGGGGUGGUCGGGAACGAGAAAUGGUGACCAGGUUGGUUCAUGGGUCAGGUUUUCCGAGUUGGUUUUGGCAGCUUUCUCUCUUUCUCACGUGUGAAUAUGCUUCCUCUUCUUUAAACAAUUUCCAGCUUCCUUUUUUUAUAUAAUCAAAUAUCGAGUCAAAAUUAGUCAAAGCAGCGGGGUGGGGUAUUACAAAGUAUCACUACUACAAAAAUGUAAACCAAUAACCCAUACAUUAUGACGGUUUAUUUAAAAAAUCAUCAUUAAAAAUAUUUAAUGACAGUUAUUAUAUGAACGGUCAUAAUAUAUCAUAUUUAUAAUGACGGUUCUAUUAUAAAACCGUCAUUAAAUAUCAUGCCAAAAUGUAAUUUUACUUUUAACGAUGGCUACUUGUAAAAACAGUCAUUAUAAAUUUCAAACUUUUAAUGACGAUUUUAUUAUAUAACCGUCAUUAAAUAUCAAGUUAUUAUUUUUAAUGACGGUUUAUAAAAAAACCGUCAUUAAAAGUCAUUACAUAUUAAACUAUUAUUUUUAUAACGAUUCUAUUAUAUAACCGUCAUUAAAUAUCAAGUUAUUAUUUUUAAUGACGGUUUAUAAAAAAAGGUCAUUAAAAAUCAUUACAUAUUAAGUUAAUACUUUUUAUGACGGUUCUAUUAUAUAACCGUCAUUAAAUAUAAAAUUAUUACUUUUAAUGACGGUUUUUAAACAAAACCGUUAUUAACAAUCAUUAAUGACAUUAUAUAUAUAAACUGUCAUUAACUAUAAAAUUUUAUUUUUAAUGACGGUUUUGUUUAAAAACCGUCAUUAAAAAGCUACAAUAUUUUUAAUGACGGUGUUUAAUAGGCUUGGCAAAAUCCGGAUCAUGUCCGGGUUUUGGUGUUGCCCGGGACCGGACCGGAUGAGAGAAAUGUAAGUCCGGAACCGGGUUAAAACCCGGUUUUUCCAGGUGCGGUCUGGGCUUGAGCCCGGUACCUUCCGGGUCCGGGUUUUGAUCCGGGCUUUUAAAACCCGCAUGUGAUAAAUUUAAUUUUUUUUUCAAUUUUUUUUUUCAUUUCUCUAACAAUGCAAAUUUUAAAAAAGAAAAUAAUCAAAUAAACUCAUUCAAUCUCAAACUUUAAAAAAGAAAAUAGUCAAAUACAAAUAUAUAACACAUUAACAAUGCAAAUUUUGCACAAAUGAUAAAUAAAAAUUAUUUCAAUCUACUUUCUAAUACCUAAAUUCAUCUAAUUUCUAACUUAAACUCAUUCAAUCUAUAUUAAAAUAAGUAAAUUAAAUUCAACAACACAAUAAUUACACAAUAAAUUUAAAUAACAUCCAAUAUAUCAUAAAUUCAUAAUUAUAUAUUUAUAUAUAAUAUAUUUAUUUUUUAAAAUUUAUUUAAAAAACCGGGUCCGGUCUAGGUUCCGGGUUUUUUGUGUUGAACCCGGACUCGGGACCGGAAAUGUCCGGGUUUGAGAAUUUCAAACCCGAAUUCGAUUUUUAUAUGCAUGCGGUCCAAAUUUUGCCCGAACCGAAUUGGCCGGAUCCGGGCCGGGUCCGGUCCGGGCAGGCUUUUUUGACACCCCUAGUGUUUAAUGACCGUCAUCGAAUAUAAAGAAUCGUUUUUAAUACAUUUCAUGACCGUUUUAUAAUAACCGUCGUUAUAUGUUAUUUGCCUUAAAAAAUUAAAAAAAAAAAAGCCGAUAAAAGGAAUCAAGGUAACGCGCAAUCCCUAACCACUCACAUUCCUUAUCUUCUUCUUCAAUUUUCACGAAUUACAAUCACAACGACUCACUCAGUCACACACACCAGCCCUAACCCUACCUAAGCUAUCAAACGCCAAUGACGCUGCCGCUGUCAAAUCGAUUCAAGUGCUCCGGCGCUGAGUCUAGCCGUCCUUGAGCCGAUUUGCUUCCUUUUUCUACCGCCGCUGUCAAUCUCUGCCAUUCUUGAGCCGAUUCACUUCCGCAAAACAGCUGCUGUCAUCUCUGCCGACAUUGCCUCUGUGUUCGUUCACCGUCAGAUGCAGGGUUAUUGUGGUGACACUGCCUCCGCUGUCAAGUCAGUUCAAAUUUUCUGGGUGCUAUCUUGAAAAUGUUGGUGAGAUUGUUGCCAAUGAUUUUCUAAAAUUUUGAAUUCAGGGUUAUUGUUUCACCACUGUGAGUUGCUUUCUCCAUUUUUGCAAUUCUUUCCUCUUAAUUUGCUUUGAAAUAUUUGCUCGUUGGAUUUAUUUCCUCUUCAUUUAUAAUCGAUUAGGUGAUUUUGUGAUGUGUAGCUUGUACCUUAGUCUCUUCUUUUCCUUUCAUAAUAUUAUAAAAUAUGUCGUGCACUUUGGCCUUUCGUUUCUUGAUUUUCUUGGUUAAUGAAUUUGGAAAAAGAGUGAAUUAUGGGUAAGAGGAUAGAAAAUCACAUUGACAGAAAAGAGGACUGAAACGCCCUGAUUUUUACUAAGUGGAGUUUACUUAUUUGUUAAAAAAAUAAAUUUUAAAUUAUUAAUGAUUUAAUUGUCUUAUGCUUAUUAUAUUGUUCGUAAAAUUUUUGUUACAAGUCCAGCCCAUGAACCUCUUUAUAUUUUAGCAUUUCUUUAUUUAUUUACGAAACGAAAACCAGCGUUCGGAUUCAAAAGGAACAAAACAGAAAAAGGAAGAAAGGAAACAAGAGGAUAACAGGACGUGAGAGAGGAGAAGAGGGAGAAAGAAGAGAAAGACAAGAGAGGCUAGGUGAAGGAUCUGGAUUUAAAGAAAGAGAAUUCAAUUUCAGAGCAAAAUAUUAAAUAUCUGGCUUUUUGAAUUUGUAAGCCUUCUUUCUCAGUUCACUUUAUUCUUUUAUUUUUCUUCAAAAUUCUUGUUUAAAUUGGCAUGCCUGUUGAUGUUGUUAAGUCAUUUCUAAAUUAACUUGCAUGCAUGAUUAAAAUUCUGUUUAUUUAGGUAUUAUGUCAUUGAAAUUAGUCUCUUUUCCCAUGCUUGUUUCAAGUUCCAAUUCUUAUUUGAAAAAAAAAAAAAAAUUCGCUGUUUGUGCCAUAAUCUGUUUUGGGUAUUAAAGUUGAUACUACCUAGCAAAUUCUAAACUGUAAUGGCUGAUUUCUUCUCUUAUUUUUGUUUAAUCUAUUCAAAUUCAUGUAUAAAUUUUACAGGCGUUAGAUAUUUGUCUAAUUAUCAUGUAUGUGUUAAAUUCAUUUUGGGUGAAUUUUCAUACUAUUUAAUCAAGUUCAAAGUUACAUGGGUUUGGCCAAUUAUCACAUAAUCUCUUCUUUGACUAAUUGAUUAGAUUUUUGUUCAUGCGUGGCUUAAUUAAUUUCAAAAUCUUCUUACUUAUAAAGCAUUAAUAUCUUUUGCAAUUAAAUUCUCUAAAUUUUCCUGGCUGCUGUAUGAACAACUCUAGUUUUUUUUCCUUAAAUAAAUUUGUUUGAAUUCUAAUUAAUACUUUAAUUUAAUGGAUUAUAAUUUAAAUCUUGCAGCAGAUUAUAAUUUAUGGUGCUAAUGGUAUUUUUUUUAUUUAAUCCAUUGUUUUGUUCUUCAGGCUAUUGAUCCUAGGACUUGCAUGGUUUUAUUCAAAAUGCUAAAUUGGGUUGUAUUCCAGUGGCUGUAUUUUGACGGGAAAAGAAGUAUGUAGUGCUACUCUUCUUUUUUAUUUUUUUGAUUUUAUUGUCAUUAUUAUGUAGCUUAACGGCAACCCAAUUCUCUCCCUACCCUUGUGAGUGUGGUCAAACCCCAAACAAAUGAAGAAGUUUUCUGGUUUUAUGUCUUAAAUAGAGUGCCUGUAAAUAUAAAAUCGAGAUUGAGCUAAUGAGUGAAAAUGGUGAUACUUGGAUUUUUUGAGGCUCUGCUUUUUUUUCUUUACUUUAAAAGCUAAUUUGUUUAGCUUUACCUUUGAUUUGAAUUUUUUGUUUCUGUUCUUUGCAGCCAACCAAUGAAGAUGGUGAUAAUCGGGCUCCAAUAAAUAUUGAUUUAAUAGGAACCACAUUGGUAAGCCUAGUUGCAAGACAAGAACUACUUUGCAAAGCAUGCUAUGUGUAUAAUUCUGAGCAUUAAGGAUUCAGUUUCUGAAGGGCAAGCUUGCUGGCUGGGUAUAAAUGUUCCAAGUGCCAAUCCCACCUUAUGUAAGCACAAAAUAUAGUCUCCAUUUCCUUUUUGGAUUAUAUUUGUUUGUAUAGUUAUAUGAUACUGGAUUUUAAUUUAAGAAUUUGUGCAGUACAUUUUUUUACUGUUAGGAGUUAGUUUGAUCAAGGUUAUUUAAGUACUAAACUGUUAUAAUUGAGCUUGCAUGCAUUUAAAUUUUUUUAUAUGUAAAUGACAAUUAUAUCAAUGUGUAAUGUAAAUUGAAAUUUGCCAAUGUGGCUUCAAUUGGACAGUUUAGAAUGUGAAAACAACUAUCUAAAUUUUAAUUUAAAAAAACAAUUGAAGUAUAGUAAUUUUAAAUUGUUAUCUUUUUUUAUUUUUACUCGUGCAAAAGAUGACGGUUCUUAUAUAAGAACAAUCAUCAAAGAACGAUAUAAGAUGACUGUUAUGAUACAAAACCGUCAUUAAAAUUUGAUAUUUAAUGACGGUUAUUAAAAAACUUUCAUUGAAAAUAUAUAUGUAAUGACGAUUAUUAAAAAAAUCUGUCAUUAAAAAUAUAUAUUUAAUGACGGUUAUUAAAAGCCCGUCAUUAAAAGUAUAUAUUUAAUGACAGUUGUUGGCAAAAAACCGUCAUUAAAACUUAUGUACCUAUAGCAUAUAAUGACGGUUUAUUACAAUAACUGUCAUAAUAAGUAGACAUUUAAUGACGGUUUUUAAACCGUCAUAAAAAAUGUACCCCUUUAAAUGUUGCUGCCUAAGAUGACGGUUUUAAAACUGUCAUCUUAUGUCUUUUAAAAUUGUCAUUAAAGGCCAAUUUUGUAGUCCUGUAUGAUCUUGAAAAAAGAACACGUACAUACUGAUAUUGCCAUAGAUAAGCUUAAAGGUCUUAUUUCUUUCUUUGAAAGCCAUAGAAAAGAUGGAUUCAUGUUUGCUGUGAUUUCAGCAAGAGAACUUGCAAGUGAAAUGGAAAUAGAAUCUAAAUUUCAUGAAAAAAAGUAUAAUUUGUAGAAAAAGAAACAAAUUUAAUGAAAAUGUUAGUGAAGAGGAAAUGUUGUCUGUUGAAGAGUCCUUUAGAAUUAAUUAUUUUAUUUAUAUAGUAGAUCAAGUUAUUUCUACAAUAAGACUAUAUGUGAAUAAUUUCAAAUAUAUGAUAAUAUGGUUGGAUUUUUGUUUAAUUUCAAAAAAUUACAAUCGUUAAAUGACUACGUUUUAAAUAUUUAUUCUGUUAAUCUCGAAAAUACUUUAAAACAUGCUACACUUUCUGAUAUAGAUGGUGCAUAUUUAUUUUAAGAGUUGAGAUUUUAAAUGAAGUAUUUCAAGGUAAAAAAAAUACUAAUUAAUUAUUUGAAAACAAAUUGAUUUUUUCUCAAAUGCAUAUAUUGCAUAUAGAAUAUUAUUAAUAGUACUACUAACAGUUGUUUCUGUAGAAAGAAGUUUUUAAAAUUAAAAUUUAUAAAAACAUAUUUAGAAUUAACAAUCUCGCAAGAGAGAACAAAUGAAUUAGCUAUAUUGAUUAUUGAGAGAAAUAUAUUCAUGAAAUUAGAACAUAAAAAUUUAAUUAAUAAUUUUGCAUUUCAGAAAGCUAGAAUAAAUUGAUCUUAAAUAAAUAAAAAUUUUAGUACAAUUCACCUACGACUUUAAAAAUUGGUUGAGUGGUUCUUGCCUACAAGACUUGCGAUGAUAAAGACACUAAAAUGUACAUUGUUAGACACAUGUAUUUCUUUCUUUUUUUUUUAAUUUUUCAUCAGACUUAUCAAAUUGUAAUUUGAUGGUUAAUAAUUUUUUUCAUAUUGUGUCAAAAAAAAAAAAAAAUAGAGAGGCUCCUCGAACAAGCCUCGCACCACUAGUCUAAGUUUGUAUGCGCAUGUGCUUAUGUACUGCACACUGAUAUACUAUGUUAUCACUGUGUCAGAAAGGAAAGGCUCUGACUCCUCGACAUGCCCUAUACCAACCAGUCUAAAUUUUCAUAUGCAUGUGGCUCAUGUGCUACACUUUAGUGUAAUGCAGUAAAAUCAAGAAGAAAAAAAGUGAAAUAUGUUGUGUCUUUUCCGUGAGAAAUUCUAAAAUGCAUAAGAGAUAAAGAUUUUGCUAAGUUACUGCUGCUGUAACUUUCAAUUCCUUUAAUAAUCAUAUGGGUCCUACCACCUAUGACAACUAUUUACAUUAUUUUGAAAGGUUGUAAGUUACAGUAGUUGUAACUUAGUAGCACCCAAGACAUAAUAUAAUCAAUUAAUACAUAUAUGACAUAUGUAUUUAAAUUUUGUAUAACCACUAAUUACUUGUCGGUUCUUCAAAAUAAAUAUACUUAAUUAUUUACUUAUUGCAUAGAUGAUAUGGUACUUUAGAGGUAUUCUAAAAUAUCUCUUAUGCCCUUCUGUUCAUUUUCAACUACUAGUCAAUGAAGUGGCAUUUUACAUGUUGAUAUGGUGCCUCGCAAAAACUCUUCUGUUUCGAGAUUGAUGAUCCCAUGGAAAUGGUACAAGUAUCUCUUCUAAUGGUAUUUUACAGGUUGUUGAUGAAAAGUUGCAUGUGUUUUAGAAGACUAAUGGUAUUUGCAUUUUACUUGCACAUUCUAGUAAAAUCAGCUAUACAUGGAUUCUCUUUGGAUGAAUUUGGAUGAAAGCUCGUUUAAUUCCUCUAUUUUUAGGUUAGUAUCUUUUUAGUCACUAUAUAUUUAGAAAUACCUCAAAACAUCUCUAUUGUUAAAUUAUUGACACUCCUGCCGUUACUUUUUGUUCUUUUUAGCUUGCUUUUACAUAUUACUCUCUCGCAAUAAUGUUUAUUUUUUGGACAUUAAUAAAAAUAAAUAAAUUAUCAAUUUAAUCCCAAAAUAUUAAUGUAGAACAUUCUGCUGAGAAGUUAAUAUAUUUAUGUUUUUAUUAAUGUCCAAAAAAGUUUGUAAUUUAAUUUAUUUUACAAUAUUACUUUUUUUUACAUAUGUGAGCUUUUAGAAAAAUUAGUGUAUAUAUGUGUGUGUGUGUGUGUCAUUUUUAGGUUUAAAUUGAUAAUUUAUUUAUUUUUUAUUAAUGUCCAAAGAAAUUAUUGUAAAAGGGUAAUAUUAUAGAAGUUAAAAAGAAUAAAAAAUAAAAAGGCAGAUGUGUCAAUAGUUUAACUGGUAGUGUCGUUGAGGUGCACUAAAUUUAAAACCUUACCACUAAUAUAAAUAAUUAGUACAGAGCGAGUAAGGAUCGAUCCCACAGAGACUAUGCUAGUUGUAUUUAUUAUCAACUCUAAAGCAAGAUUUAAAAUAAAAUAAUAGUAGUAAUAAUAAUAGUAAUAAUAAUAUAAAUUAAUCUAACUAAAGAAAAUGCCAAUUAUAAAUAAAAGGGGGGAUUUAUGAAUUUUUAACUAAAUAGUAAGAAAUAAAAAAAACUAAAAUUACGAACAAAAAUUUAAUAAAAACUCUAAUUAAAGGAGAAAGAAAUAAUAAUGAUAAAAACUUUAGUUAAAGGAUCAUUCGCCACCACCAAACAUGCACAUAAUAUAUCAAUUCAAUCAUCAAUUUAUAUUGAAACUAUCAAUCGUAAACAACAAUAAGCUCUGUUAGUCUCAAUAUUUCCUUAGUGUGUCGUUAGGCAAAACAAGCUCUUCACCUAAUCUCUAACUAUUAAAUAAUUUAAAACAAGCUCUUUAAAUUUAAGUUAAUGGAAGCAUUAAACAAAGAAAGAUAUUAGGUUGAUCUAAACAAUAAACACACAAGCUCGGAUUAUUUAACCUAGGUUAUGUUCUCCAAUUGAAAUCACUGAUUCCAACCUGCUACUAAUGAUUAAAAUAUCAAGACAAUUACGGAUCAAGAAUUUUAAUCUAGCAAUAGAAUUUAUUCAAGUUCUAUCUAAUUGGCCACUCAAACAAGACAAGAAUAAACCAUGAACAUUAAUUAUAGAAGAACAUAAACAAUCUAAAUUAAAUAAAUUGAAUGAUAGAAAUUAAAAAUUAAUCAUGUGACAUAUUCGGGGUUUUGAAUUCACCCUCAACCAAAUAAAAAUCUAGCCUAACACAAUUGAAUUGAGAAUAAGAUAAUUGACAAAACCAAUCAUGGAGAUUAAUUCAAGCGACUGCCUUUGCUUUAAUUUAAUUCCGACUGCUGAUUUUUUUCUUCUCCUUGCGGCUGCUGAUUUUCCUCUGCCCGAAUUGCGUCUGCCCUCUUCUCUCUCGCUCUCUGGCAGCUCUCCUUUUAUAAUGCUAGUCGACCAAAUUCUUCUCCAACAAUUCUAAAGAAAUCCUUUUUCAAUUCUAAUUGAAAUCCUUUUCCAAUUUAACGCCACCAAAAGCCAUUAAUUCCAUCUUUUGAAAGUCAAUUGCGGGCCCAUUUAAAUUGCUUUCCACUUUUGCAAUGCCAUGCACGUGCACUCCAAUUGCCAAUUGGAAAAAUUAAAUCUUUUAAUUAUUCAACAUUUCUCAAUUGGAUUAAUUGCUUUGAUUUCUUCCACUCGGUUCUAUCAAUUCUUGACUAUAUUUUUGUCUUCCAAUUUAAUCUUUAUUCCUUUUCAAUUUGAAUUUCUUCAUGCCUUUUUUAUCCACAAUCUCCAAUUAAUUCCCUAUUCAAUAAAAUCAACUAAAAGAACUAGAAUAUUUAAGAUCAAAACAAGAAAAAGAUGGAGAAAUUAAUAACAAAAUAUAUGGAAAAUAUGCACUUAUCAUUAAUUGCAUGGAGUUUUGAUGUAUUCUUAAAAAUAUAAGUUACUAACCUCAAAAUAUAGGGAUUAAAAGAGUUUUUACGUAUUCUUUUCAAUACACUCUGACUUGUAUUCUGUAUGUUUCUGUUCACUGUAGGACCAUUAUAAAGAAAUAUCAACAUCGUUGAUUAUUCUAAACACAUGGAUUGGCAGGUUAGAAUUCCCUCAUGAAAAAUAUGACUACUUUUUGCGUUCUGGUUUGGGUUCAUGGUUCCUUUUCUUCAUUCUUAAUUUUUAUGACUUCCACAAUAAAUUUCGCUAGUUGAAAUAAUAUUAAAUUGUACAACAUACACACACACACACAUAUGUAUAUUGCUUAUUACUUCGGAGUACUUAGGAUAUUUUCUUGUAUGGGUUGAUCUUAACAUAAUUCUAAAGUGUUUUUAGUUACUGCAAGAAAUUGAACGAAUUAAACUAAAAAAAUAAAAGAAAUAAAUAUUAUGUAGUUUUCAUUUUGAGAUAUAUUAUAAUGAAAGGAUCAUCUACUUGUGUUAGCUUUGUUUAGUUUUAAAAAUCUCAUGUCACUUAAAGUCAUGUAUAUUAUUAGCCAUUUAUACUUUCUCUUGUUUUUAUAUUCAUAAUAAUCCUCCAAAUGCACAUUAUUGUAUUUGUCAACAUGCUUCAAGAAAAUAAGGUCAAGGCAACAUGAUUAUAACAAUGUGUUAGAGUGUUCUAUUUGCAACAUGAUUAUAACAACGUGCUAGAGUGUUCUAUUUAUUUAAUGUCAAGAAAAGUAGCUGCUAAAUUCUAGAAGCAGCCCAUUUUGGACAAAGAAAAAUCAAAGAGGGCUGCAGCAUCUUUGAAGAAGUAAAAUUGGCGGCACACGGUUUUGACGUUGAAGAAGCCAAAAUGUAAGAAAAAUGGUGGUGUUGUAGCAAAUUUUGACAAGAAAAAUAAAUAAAAUAAUAGCCAAUUUUGGCUAUAAAAAGAGAGCUCCCCAUUUGGUUUUGGCAUCUAAUUUCUUUAUCUCAUUUUCUUCUUCCUUAUAGAGAGCUAAGAAUUGAGAGUAUAGAGUUUUAAUAACUCUUGUGUUAGUAGUGAUUUGAGAGUUUGAGUUUAUUGGUGUUUGGGUAGUGAGUUAAAAUAUUACAAUACUUGUAAUUGCUUUUCACUAGUAAAAUAUUUUCCUUCUAUUUUCGCCCGUGGACGUGGGCUAAAACUGAACCACAUAAAUUUUUGUGUCCUCUGUGCGUGUUUGUUCUUCAUUUUCCUCCAAUUUCAUUUUAGUUGUGCCCCUGCUUCAACCAUAGAUUUUCUAACACUAAUAUCAAAGCUACUGGUUGUAUUUUUAGAGUCGCGGUAUUAUUUCACAUAUAUAGUAUUCUCGUGAAAUGGUGGGAGCCAAUCCUAACUAAAGUAGUUCAUUGUAAAAAGUGAUGACGGUAAAAUACGAAAUUAAGAAGUUCAGCGAAAAUAAUUUCUCGUUGUAGAAAAUGAAGAUGAAGGUUGUAUUGAGGAAAACUAAUUACUUGGUAGCAAUUAGAGAAAGACCCACGAAUAUAACUGAUGACAAGUGGAAUGAGAUGGACGGCAAUGUAAUUGCUUAUCUACACCUGGCACUUGCAGAUGGGAUGUUAUCUAGUAUGGCAGAGAAAAAGAUAGCUAAGGAAAGAUGGGAUACUCUUACAAAAUUGUACGAGGUCAAGUCACUGCACAACAUGAUCUUCUUAAAGUAGAGAUUUUAUCCUCUUCGAGUAGCGGAAUCUACAUCGGUGACCAACCAUAUCAACACAUUGAAGACUCUAUUUUCACAUAUCAACUCAUCAUUAAUCUGACAAACAACAACCAAGCAGACAGUCUAGCUUUCGAUGAUGUUGCAGCCUCCAUAUUAAAUGAAAGCAGGCGGAAAAAUAAGGAAGAUAGGCAAGCAAGUUCGCAACAAGCAGAAGUACUAUCGGUGACAAGAGAGAGACCAACGGAACGUGGUCCCAAUGGGAGUUACAAUCAUGGUAGAUCAAAAUCAAGAAGUAAGAAUAAUGUCAAAUGCUACAAUUGUGGUAAGAAAGGGCAUGUCAAAAAAGAUUAUUGGAACAACCAGAAGAGACGAGAGGGUAUAGUUCUUGUAUCAUCAAAUGCUCAGGGAUGUGUAGUAAGUACCUUAAAUGAUGGCGAAAUUCUCUACAGCAAGGCAACAACUAUUUCAAAAGACAGAAAACAACUAUAUAAUGUCUGGCUUAUAGAAUUGGGAGCUACCUAACAUAUGAACUCUUGGAGAGAGUUGUUCCACUGUUAAAAUAAAAAUGUUUGAUGGUACAGUUCGCGCAAUUAAGGAUGUACGACACGUCAAUGGCCUAAAUCAAAAUCUAUUAUCCUUAGUACAAAUAGAUAGUCAUGGGUACAAAACUCAUGUGGAAAAUAUGAUCAUGAAGAUAGUUAAGGGCGCACUUGUAUUAAUGAAGGCAGAAAUGAUUGGUGCUAAUCUAUUCAUGCUUAAAGGAAAAACACUACAGAAAGUUGAUGCGUGUGUCGCAUCAAAUGGAGAAGAGUGACGAUGAUGUGACAUUUCAAGCCUAGCCAAAUGUCAGAAUAAGGUUUGAAGAUUUUCUCUGAGCAAAAAUUGCUUCCAGGUCUCAAAUUGGUAAACUUACCAUUUUGCGAGCAUUGUGUUAGAAAUAAGCAGCAUAAAUUGAAGUUAAGCAGAUCUGUUGCUAGAAGUAAAUGCAUUCUAGACUUGGUUCAUUAUGAUAUUUAGGAAUCACCAGAUAUGUCCAUGGGAGGUGCAAAGUACUUGUUGACUUUUAUUGAUGAUUAUUUCAAGAGAUGUUGGGUGUAUGUAAUCAAGAAAACAUCAGAUGUGUUUCUGGUAUUCAAAUGGUACAAAGCGCUGGUAGAACUUGAAUUCAAAAAGAGGAUAAAGUGCUUGAUGACAAAUAACGGUGGAGCGUAUACAAAUGACAAGUUUAUUGCAUAAAAUAAGCAAAAAGAUUUUCAGAAGCAGUUCACAGUGGCAUACACUUCCCAACAUAAUAGAGUGGCAGAGCGGAUGAACAAACUUUUAUAGAAAUAAUAAGAGAUAUGUUGAGGACUGUUGGUCUACCCAUCUUAUUUUGGGCAGAAGCAGCCAAAACUGUUUGUUAUAUAGUAAAUUGGUCGACAUCCACAGCAAUUAGGUUAAAGACAUUGAUGGAGAUGUGGACAAGAAAGCUAGUUGAUUACUCUCACCUACAUAUAUUUGAAUGUCCUGUGUACAUGAUGUACAAUGCCCAAGAAAAAAUAAAGUUGGAUCUAAAAUUUAUAUGGUGUAUCUUCUUGGGGUAUGCUGAUGGAGUAAAUUGUAUUAUCUGUAGGACCCCACUGCCCACAAGAUAGUCAUCAGCAGAGAUGUUAUCUUUAUAGAUGAUCAACUACAAAGAGAGAUAAGGAUGAUAGCACUGUAAAAGAAAAGUCAAAGACUGUGCUGGUAUAUGUUGAAAAUAAUCUGGAAAAAAAGAUUCAGAUUCUUCUGAAGCAACACCAAAGCACGAUGAACAAUAACCAGUUGAGUCCGAGGCUCGAGAAGUUCGUUAGUUAACUCGUGAGAGACGAUCGCCAAUGUGGCACUCAAAUUAUGUCACAAAGAUCAAUGUUGCAUGCCGUCUUCUGAUAGAGGAUAGAGAACCAUAAACUUUCUAUGAAACUUUAAGUAACUCAGAUUUUGCUUUGUGGAUGACAGUAAUGGAGGAAGAAAUUGAGGCUCUACACAAGAAUAAAACAUGGCAACUUGUACUACUACCAUUUGGAAGAAAAACCAUUGGAAAUAAAUGGGUCUACAAGGUCAAGCGUGAUGACAAUGAAUAAAUGGAGCGGUAUUGUAAAAGAUUGGUCGUAAAAGAAAAUGCUCAUAAAGAAGGAAUUGACUUCAACGAGAUAUUUUCUCCGGUGGUUCAACUCACAACAGUCAGAUUAAUCUUGGUGAUGUGUGCUACAUUUGACCUAUAUCUAAAGCAGUUAGAUGUGAAAACUGCAUUUCUUCAUGGAGAACUUGAAAAAGAAAUUUAUAUGCUCCAACCCGAAGGUUUUGCUGAAAAGGGCGGAGAGAACUUGGUUUUCAGGUUGAAAAUUUUUCUAUACGGUCUCAAACAAGUGCCAAGGUGUUGGUAUAAGAGAUUUAAUUCCUUUAUCAUGAGCUUGGAUACAACAGACUUAGUUCAAACCAUUGUGCAUAUUACAAGAGGUUUGAAGAUAAUGAUUUCAUCAUUUUGCUAUUGUACGUAGAUGACAUGUUGGUAACAGGCCCCAACAAAGAUCAAGUCUAAGAAUUAAAAGCACAGUUGGCUAGGGAGUUUGAAAUGAAGGACCAGCAAAUAAGAUUCUAGAGAUGCAAAUUUACCGAGACAGAAAUAAUAAGAAGAUUUGGCUUUCUCAGAAGAAUUACUUGAGAAAAUCUUGUGGCACUUCAACAUACAAGAUUGUAAGCCAAUUUAUACCCCACUUCCUAUUACUUUCAAGUUAUCCUCAAAUAUAUGUCCAAGCAAUGAAGCAGAGAGUAAGGAAAUGUCUCGAGUACCAUAUGCAUCAGCAAUGGAAAGUUUAAUGUUCGCUAUGAUAUGUACAAGAAUGGACAUUGCACAAGCAAUAAAAGUAGUUAGUCGACACAUGGAGAAUGCUAGUGGAGAACAUUGGAAAAUUAUGAAGAGGAUUUUGAGAUAUAUCAGAGGAACCUCAGAUGUUGCAUUAUGUUACGGAGGAUCAGAGUUUAUUGUCAGGGGCUAAAUGAAUUCAGAUUUUACAAAAGACCUUGAUAAAAGGAAAUCCACUACUGGCUAUGUGUUUACACUUGCAGAAGGAGCUAUAAGUUGGGUUUCAAAACUACAGACCGUUGCGGUUUUAUCUACAACAGAAGUAGAAUACAUGGCAGCUACACAAGCUUGCAAGGAAACUAUUUGGAUACAAAGAUUAUUGGAGGAGCUCGGACACAAAUAAGAAAUUUUUUUUGUAUUUUGUGACAGUUAGAGUGCCUUGCAAAUUGCAAGAAAUCCAGCCUUUCAUUUCAGGACAAAGCACAAGGGGUACAAUACCACUUUGUUCGAUAAGUAGUGGAAGACGAAAGUGUGGAUUUGCAGAAAAUUCAUACUAAAGAGAACCUAGCAGAUGUUUUACCAAGCCAAUCAAUGUUGACAAGUUUGUAUGGAGUAGAUUCGCUUGUGACCUAGCAGAGACAUAAGCAAUAUGACAAUCGAAGUGGGAGAAUGUCAAGAAAAUUAGCUGCCAAAUUUUAGAAGCAGCUCAUUUUGAACAAAGAAAAAUCAAAGAGGGCUGCAACAUCUUUGAAGAAGUACAAUUGGUGGCACGCGACUUUGACAUUGAAGAAGCUGAAAUGUAAGAAAAAUGGUAGUGCUGCAGAAAAUUUUGAGAAGAAAAAUAAACAAAUCUUGUGUUAUUAGUGAUUUGAGAGUUUGGGGGUAUUGAGGUUUUGGGUAGUGAGUUAAAAUACCACAAUACUUGUAAUUUAUUUUCACUAGUAAAAUAUUUUUCUUCUGUCUUCGUCCAUCGAUGUAGGCUAAAAACCGAACCAUGUAAUUUUUUGUGUCCUCUAUGUGUGGUUGCUCUUUAUUUUAUUCCAAUUCAUUUUAGCUGUAGUCCUGCUUCAGCCAUCGAUUUUCUAACAUUUCAUUCAUUCAAUCUGUAAAAAUCAUUUCCAUAAAAAUCUAAUCCAUGGAUUGAUGGAUUUGAUUAGAUUAAAUUUUUUUUAAAAUCCACAUUCAAUGAAUUAGAAAUAGAUUUGCUUCUACAAAUUUAUAAAAAUCAGCAAAUUAUAUAUAUAUAUAAAAUUUAAAAAUGUUAUACUAUUAAUAAAUAAAUAGGUUAAAAUUUAGUUAGGGUGGACAUUGACAACAAUUAAUUAUGUAAGCUUUCAAUUUUCAACUUUUUUAUUGAUUUAAUUUUAAAAUUUAAGUUAGUUUUCAUUCAUUGAUCUAAAACAUCAAGAUUUUUUCUUUUGGUGGGCUAAAGUUCGAAACUUUGAAUGGCAUCCUUAAAAAACAAAUGGUUUUUCAGAAGUGGUCGUGACGUGUCAUCACGUCCCAUCUAUCCUACACGGAAGUUGAAACCAAUUACUCCAGCGUUUUCAUAAUUUUUUUAAAGAAAGAAUAGGGAGUAAAGAUGAAAUGGUAUAUGGCUUCAAAAUUAUGCUUCUUUAGGAACGUACGUUGAUUGAUUUAACAGAUGUUGGGUGAUAUAUCGCGUUCCUAAACAAGUACUUAAACUAUUGAUUUAUUUAAUCUUUUUAAAUUUGAAUUUGAUUGGUAAUAAAAUUAUUUUUGUAUUAAAAUAUUUAUUUAAUUAUUUUAUAAAUAGAUAGAAAGAAAUUUUUUUUAAUUGAUAUCGAAUUCACAAAAGUGCAAUGGGAUAUAAAUUAUGUCAAAUCCACAUUAAAUUCUUAGAGUUAUGAAUUAAAUUUGGAUUAAUUUCAUUAAUUCAUGAAUUGGGUGAGAUUGAAAAUUUAUAACGAUUUUACACCUAUUGUCAUUUAUUAGAAUUUUUUCACAACGCGCUUUUGUAGGACGUUGUGAAAUUGAAAGCCCAUUGAAGAGUUUAUAACAACAUUCUUUCGUUUGUUGUCAAAUAUUAAAAUUAUUUUACAACACACUUUCACCAACCGUUGUUAAAUGGAAGUUUUCUGAAAUUUGUACAAAUUAUCACAAUCUACCGAUACAUUAAAAUUCAUUAUCUAUUUAGACAGUAGAUACAUACAUUUGUACUAUAUAGCCCGGAAAUCUGCUCCCACUAACUUUUGAGUUGACAUCUACCUGCCCAGUCUACUUUUUGUUGAUAAUCAUUUUGUAAUUUAUUAAUUUGUUUUCCGCAAAAGUACUUUAUAACUGUAACAAAUAGAAUUUCGAUGUUAGUCCUCAACAUUAAGAUAUUGUUUGCAACUUUGUAUGCCUUUUUUUCCUUAAACUUAGUUUGUAUAUUCUUAUUUCUCCAUAAAACAAGAUUUUAAUGUAAUAAAUAGAACUUUUAUUAGUAGAAUUGAAUUUAUGAAUUUCUUGUUAUUUCUGCGUGCAUUUAUUGUGUAGUUUAUAGAAAGACUCUUUAAAAAAUUUGUAUGCAGGAAAAAAAAAGAUAAAUAAAAAAAGAUUAUACAACAUUCAUCCGAAUGUAUGGAUGAUGUAUGUGUCUUCUGGUUCAAUAUUGACCUCGUUCGCACAGUAUGAUGUACGCCCCCCCACCCAAAAAAAAAAAGAAUAAAAUAUCUUUGUACUAUUAAGACUUAAAAAUUAAACGCUUUCAAAACUCAGAAAAAAUGAGUAAGAAAAAUCAAUCACAUGAGCUUCUUCUCUGCCUAUAUAUAUAUAUAUAUAACCUCGUACAUCACCACAAACCAUAGAUUAAUUUGAGAAUCCUUGCCAAGUAUAACUGUAAGCUAGCUUACACUACAUCUAUAUAUCCAAUGUCUUCUUGCAUUAAUCCCUCAACCUUGGCUACCUCUGUAAAUGGUUUCAAAUGUCUUCCUCUUGCAACAAAUAGAGCAGCCAUCAGAAUCAUGGCAAAAAAUAAGCCAGUCCAAUGCCUUGUCAGCGCCAAAUAUGAUAAUUUGACAGUUGAUAGGAGAUCAGCAAACUACCAACCUUCAAUUUGGGACCAUGAUUUUUUGCAGUCACUGAAUAGCAACUAUACGGUAUUGAUUAUUAUUAUUAUUAUUACGUAUAAAUUUCCUUUGUUCAUUUCAAAUUAGGACCAUGAAUAACUAAAAACUAUAUGCUGUGCAUGUACAGGAUGAAACAUACAAAAGACGAGCAGAAGAGCUGAAGGGAAAAGUGAAGACAGCGAUUAAGGAUGUAACCGAGCCUCUGGAUCAGUUGGAGCUGAUUGAUAAUUUGCAAAGACUUGGAUUGGCUUAUCAUUUUGAGCCUGAGAUUCGGAACAUAUUGCGUAAUAUCCACAACCAUAAUAAAGAUUAUAAUUGGAGAAAAGAAAAUCUGUAUGCAACCUCCCUUGAAUUCAGACUACUUAGACAACAUGGCUAUCCUGUUUCUCAAGGUACCUUUCAUUAGUUCGCUUACUUUGUCAUGCACAUGCAAGAUCCGAAUAUUUGAAUCGAUCUCUCUGUUUAUCUUAUUCAUUCCUUUUAAAUGUAAAAAAGUGGACAAAACCCAAAUCAAUUUUUUAACUCUCUAUCUCCUGAGAAAUUCGAACUCGACAAGGCCGCUGGGGACACUUAAAUCAUUCUCUAAUUAACAUAUAUGUGCAAAAGUUUUGAUGAAUAUAAUUUUUUUUUUUCGGUUGAGCACUGCAGAGGUUUUCAGUGGUUUUAAAGACGACAAGGGAGGCUUCAUUUGUGAUGAUUUCAAGGGAAUACUGAGCUUGCAUGAAGCCUCGUAUUACAGCUUAGAAGGAGAAAGCAUCAUGGAGGAGGCCUGGCAAUUCACCAGUAAGCAUCUUAAAGAAAUGAUGAUCAUCAGCAACAGCAAGGAAGAGGAUGUAUUUGUAGCAGAACAAGCGAAGCGUGCGCUGGAGCUCCCUCUGCAUUGGAAAGUGCCUAUGUUAGAGGCAAGGUGGUUCAUACACGUUUAUGAGAAAAGAGAGGACAAGAACCACCUUUUACUUGAGCUCGCUAAGUUGGAGUUUAACACUUUGCAGGCAAUUUACCAGGAAGAACUUAAAGACAUUUCAGGGUAUCUAUGCCUUGAUUGCAUAACUCAUAUAUAUUCCAAAGAUUUGAUUUUAUCGAAUAGAUAACUUGUACUAUUUAAUCAUAUGUAUAUUAAAUUAUUCUCAAGUGCAGACUCCGCCUUUUACAACAGUAUAAAGGCGCCAGCCUACACUUUAUAUAAUUGUAUAUUAAAUUAUGCCAAACGUUUGCAUUAAAGAAUCUCGAACUAGAAGAUGACUCUAUAUGUAAAUGCAUUGUAAAGCCACAAGUCAUGUGCUUUAUAAAAUGAGAAUGCUUGUAUCAGAGAAAUAUUCUUCAGAAUUCCAGACAGAAAGCUGAUUCUAUAUAUACAGAUAUAUAAAACAUUUGUCGUAAUAUUCGUUUUAAUUUUCCUAUGAAGGUGGUGGAAGGAUACAGCCCUUGGAGAGAAAUUGAGCUUUGCGAGGAACAGGUUGGUAGCGUCCUUCUUAUGGAGCAUGGGGAUCGCGUUUGAGCCUCAAUUCGCCUACUGCAGGAGAGUGCUCACAAUCUCGAUAGCCCUAAUUACAGUGAUUGAUGACAUUUAUGAUGUCUAUGGAACAUUGGAUGAACUUGAGCUAUUCACUGAUGCUGUUGAGAGGUUUGUUGGCAAAUUAAUAAUUCAACUGCUACCUAGCUGCAUGGUACUUCUCAAUUUAUUAAUAGACCGUUUAUGUGAUUUUUUUUUUUCCUUGCAGGUGGGACAUCAAUUAUGGUUUGAAGCACCUUCCGGGCUAUAUGAAAAUGUGUUUUCUUGCGCUUUACAACUUUGUUAAUGAAUUUGCUUAUUACGUUCUCAAACAACAGGAUUUUGAUAUGCUUCUGAGCAUUAAAAAUGCAGUACGUGAAAUAUUAAUUUGAUCUCUCUCCCUGUUCCUUUCCUUUGAUUUAUCCUUUUUAAAUUACGAUGUUCUUUUUUUCUCAAAAAUUAUAAACCGUAACUAGAUGUAUAUUUUCUGUGCCAUGUGCAUCAGUGGCUUGGCUUAAUACAAGCCUACUUAGUGGAGGCGAAAUGGUACCAUAGCAAGUACACACCGAAACUGGAAGAAUACUUGGAAAAUGGAUUGGUAUCAAUAACGGGCCCUUUAAUUAUAACGAUUUCAUAUCUUUCUGGUACAAAUCCAAUCAUUAAGAAGGAACUGGAAUUUCUAGAAAGUAAUCCAGAUAUAGUUCACUGGUCAUCCAAGAUUUUCCGUCUGCAAGAUGAUUUGGGAACUUCAUCGGUAUGUCUUUUUUUUUUUUUUUUAAGACGACAGAAAUUGAAUUAAUCCUCUAUAUAUGAAUUGAUUGUAUUUUUUUCCCCGAUAAUCAUCAGGACGAGAUACAGAGAGGGGAUGUUCCAAAAUCAAUCCAGUGUUACAUGCAUGAAACUGGUGCCUCGGAGGAAGUUGCUCGUGAACACAUCAAGGAUAUGAUGAGACAGAUGUGGAAGAAGGUGAAUGCAUACACAGCCGAUAAAGACUCUCCCUUGACUCGAACAACUACUGAGUUCCUCUUGAAUCUUGUGAGAAUGUCCCAUUUUAUGUAUCUACAUGGCGAUGGGCAUGGUGUUCAAAACCAAGAGACUAUCGAUGUCGGUUUUACAUUGCUUUUUCAGCCCAUUCCCUUGGAGGACAAAGACAUGGCUUUCACAGCAUCUCCUGGCACCAAAGGCUGAUGAUGAAUUAUAAUGCACGAUGCGUUGCGAAUUCCCAGAGAGUGCAGUUUCAGUUGAUGUUGGCCUCCGCUUUUCUUUCUUCUGAGGGAUCUCUUUUCGAUAAUAAAAUAAAUUCCCUCAUUCAUCAAGGUUUAUAAAUGAAAAAGAAAUGAUAUAUACAUAUAUGUUACUUUUAUUGAGAAUAAAAGUCUUCAGGAUAUGCAAAUACUUAAGUCAGGCUCAUUCUAAUUCCUACAAGAUAAUUAUUUGCUAGCUAAAACAUGAGAACGACUGAAUUUGUUCUGCAUGCAGUUAUACUUGAUUAUUCAAGGAUGGUUCAUAGCAUUUUUAGCACAAGGGAUACUUUCAGUAUCCAUGCAUACGGCAAAUCAUACUCAUGAAAAAUGGCAUUGUGCAGCUAACAGUGACAAACGCAAUCCGCAGUCUGUUAAAUGAGGAUAGAAAUAAGAGCGGUGGCAUUUAAAGAAAAAAGUUACAAGAAUCAAAAAGUAAAAAUAACCAAUUAAAAAAAAAUGAGUUCCUAAUGUGAGGAAAGAUUGAAAUGGAGAAAAACCCUAAUCCACCUAUGGCUGACGACCGUUCCACAAAGAAAGCAGAUUUAAGGCUCAAGGGGAAGAUGGUGACAAUCCUCAGCCUCCUUCCUUUCGUGAUAAACCGAUGUCAACACAAAGGGUGGAUGAAGGAGUGUUUUUUGAUAGCGGGGAAUAUUUGGCAGUUGAACCGGAAGGUGUGGUUUUUGAGUGUGCAGACAAUUUUCACUCCAUUUCUUUUUCACAGAAAAGUACAUGCUCAACUAAUGAAGCCAUGGCAAUACACGGUGGUGGUCAAGCUUUUGGGUCUUCGCAUAGGUUACCGGACGCUGUGCAACCGCUUGGAAACUAUCUGGAGCUCGACCCAAGGGUUUUCUGUAAUUGACCUUGAGAAUGAUUAUUAUAUUGUUCGUUUCAGAACAGAGAGGGAUGUGGAGUUCGCUUUGACGCAAGGCCCUUAGGCUCCGUUUGGUACAACUUAUUAAAUAGAGCUUAUAACAGUAGAGUUUAUAGCAGUAGAGCUUAUACCAAUAGAGCUUUUGGACAAAAAGUCAUUGGGUGUUUGGUUGUCAAUAAAAAAAGUACUUUUGAAUCAUUAAAUUGUGUGAUAUUUUUUAUAUUAUAUAAUUUGUGGAAAAGCUCUCUAACUUCUACUCCCAAAAUCUCAAAUUUUGGGCUUUUGCUAGUAGAGGUAAAUUAGCUUAUUUAAGCUAAAAAAACUCUACUAAAAAAAUAACCAAACACCAUAAAAAUUUUAAAAAAGUGCUUAUGCGAUUAAAUAAGCACUUAUGCCUCUUAAAUAAGCCAUACCAAAUAGGCACUUAGACUAUUCUGGGGCACUAUCUAACAGUGAAGCCAUGGACUCCCCAUUUUGAUAGUUCGGCAGCAGUGAUUGAAUAUGUUAUAGCCUGGAUCUGCUUACCAGGCAUGGCCCUACAUUACUACAAUAAGAAAAUUCUUCGAAUGUUGGGACAAAUUUUCGGGAGAGUUUUUAAAACUGAUUACAACACUGAAUCCGCAUCCAGAGACAAAUUUGGUCGUCUUGCUAUUGAAAUUGAUCCAAACAAGCCCUUAAUUUCUCAAUUUUUUCUGGAUGGCAAGCUACAAAAGGUGGAAUAUGAAGGACUCCCUAAUACUUCCUUCCUAUGUGGUAAAUAUGGCCAUAGCAAGGACAUCUGCCCUAAUCGAACGGAAGAAGAUCAUGCCUUAGGAUUCCAGCCACAUUUGGACGGAGCUAAUGAAUCUGUUGAAAUGAACUCAAACUUGGUAAACGAUUUGUCGUUUAGAGGUUUAAAAAGUCAAGUGACAUGUUGUUUCAAUUGGUCAUGGAUCCAGAACCGACAACUUCGUGCUGUCGUCCAAGAUCAUUAAACUCUCACGUGAUUAACAUAAACUUGUUUUAAAGCUUAAACGACAUGCCUUAUCGUCGUUUAAGGCAGGCUUUAAGUUGCUUGUGGUCAAGAAGUUAAGUUUGUUAGUUUUGGAGGGAAUCUUUUGGAUCUGUAACGCCAGUAGCAGCUGAUAUAUAUGUUGGUUAUGAUUUCAUCUAGAUCUAUCGAAUUGAGAGUGAUAAGGAAGCCUUAGAGAGAGUGGAACUUUUCUGAGUGUUCUCUGUAUUGGGCUUAUCAUCUAUGUAACCUUUGAAGCUUAAUAAAGUGGCUCCCUGAGUUUAUUUUCCCCGAUGAAUGUAGGCAAUGUAACAAGUGCUGAAUCACUUAAAUUGUUUUGUGUUUUUGAUUCUUUGUGUUGUUAUUCUUUGAUCUGGUGAGUGUUACGACUUGUGUUGAUUUGUUUCUUAAUCUUGGAGUCCUAACUAGAUCUAGGGGGCAAGAUCAAUUCGAUAUCAAAGGGUUUGUUUCACAACAGAAUCAUCGGUGCAGGACGUCAGGGAGGGAUAUGGGAAUUUGCCUAGGUUUGGUGGAACACCCCAAAAAUUACCCAUGAAAACACAAGGGUAAAAUUGGAAUGAAACCUCAUAUCAUUUAUUUUUAUUAAUAAAUCUCAAGAUAGACAAUCAUUAUUCAUACUCCAACUGAAUCCUUAUAUAAAACAUCUGAAAUAAAGUCUCCAAAGAAAAAUCUCUAAUCCAAAAUAAAAAGUUCAGCCAAAUUUAAUAUUUAAAGCAACUCUAAAGAUCCACUAAGAAAAAUUCUUCAUCUAAGCACCUAAGCCACAUUUCUAAUCAAAUCUGCAAAAUAUUGGAGAUGAGGAGUGAGCUGUCAACUCGGUAAGCAAAUCCAUGCACAAUAUUUGAAAACCUUUGUCAUAUAUCUUUAAACAUUUUAUAACAACAUCUUCAUUUAGCAUAAGAGGUGGAUUCAUGUAAAGUAUUAAAAACAUUAAAACAUUCAUAAAAAAGAUUAAAACAUAAAUAUUUGGUAGCUCAUGCCUCGUAGUCAUCAUCAUUCAUCAUUCAUCAUUCGUCAGUUAGGGUGUUAUACCCCGUAUUGUUCCUCAUUCAGGGUACUAUACCCCGCAUUGUUCAUAAUAUCCUUGUGCACAAGAUCAUCACCAUACCAGCAAGCUGGCCAUAACAUUACAUAACAUCAUAACAUUUGUAUUGUAUACAUUACUACGGACUAUGAGCUAAAACAUUUUUGAAUCCACCUUACAUCCUUUCAUAAAUAGCAUUUAAAGUCUUCUAAAACAUUUAAGAACCUUUCUUUGAUCAUUUAAUUCUUUUAGAAAAUUCUUUAAGAAAACAUUUUGUUUAAGAAAACUAAUUUCUUAAGAAAAAUUUAUUUUAAAACACAUUUUUAUAAAUUCAUUUAAAAGUGUUUUUAUUUUACAAAAUUCAUUUAAAUAUUUUAGAAAUCAAUUUUUCUAAAAAUCUCCAUUUAAACAUAAUUCUUAUAACAUAAAUUGCAUUUAUUAUAAAGCACAUCAUGCGUGAAUCUACUUACCUCAAUCCGCAGCAAUCAACCCAAUACCUUAAGAACAAACCAACGAGCUCACCCACGUCCUAUAAUCAUAAUAAAAAUAUCUUUAUCAAUAUAAUCUCUAACCUUAAACAUAAUCUCAAUCAUCCUUAAUUCAUAGGCACUUAUACUAGCUCAAUACUUAUUCAUAUUCUAGACAUAAGUAUGAGUAUCUUGCACAUGCUGAUUUUUAAUAACCUAUACACAUGUCGGAAAAUCAUGAAAAUUUACAGAGGCACUGUGAACAUGCAUAACAUUGCAUACAAUAUUUCACAAAGAUCAGCACAAGUCAAAAUCAAGUCAGAAUAUUGACCUUUCACCAAAGUAACAAAAUUGUCCAGCAUUGACCAAAGCAAACCUUUACCACUUAGGAAAUUCAUAAAAUAUUCUUUAGUAAUUGAAAUAAUAUGUUUCUUUUUUUCUAAUUACAGAAGACACAUUCAGAAAGCAUAUAAUUAAAAUUCAUAAUUUUUGCAUAUAAUUAAAAUUCAUAAAAUUUGGACUCCUGAAACUAUUUUAAAAUGUUUUAUUUUCCGAGAACAUUUAACCCGUCCAGAAAAUUCCAGAUUUGAAAACAGAAUUUCAAAAAUUCGUAUCUUUUAUUUUACAUGCCCAAAAAUAGUGAUUCCAGUUUUUAAAGACAGAGGAAAGAUUGAAAUUUCAUUGUAAAAUCCUAACAUGGCAUGUAAUAUUCAUAAAUUAGCCCAACUGUUACACGUCUCAGCUUCUGCAAUUCUGGAAAACAGUUUCCAGAUUUGCAGCAGCCACAUGUUACGAUUUUUAAUAAUUUAACCAUAAAGAACAAAACUACGAAAUUAAACAUGUAAGCAUAGGAGACAUAGAUCUGUUGAUACAAAAAUCGACAUAAUUUUUAAGGAUGUGUAACCUUACAGAAAAAUUUCCAGAAUUGAGAACCACUGCUGAAAAUCGGAAUUUUCCAGCACCAGUAACCCAACUUCGAAAACCCAUAACAAUUUGCAUACUCAGACGAUUUCAACACAAAACCUAUCAAUGGAAAGCUUAGGAUGUCUAGUUCCAUGAUAUUUAAGCAUAUUCACGUGAUUCUAAGUGAAGAAAACAAUUUCAAGCAAGGAAUAGAGACUGUUCAUAUCAUCACAACAUUACAAAUACACAUAUAUUAUCCAAAUCAUACUACAAGUAAUUAAAGGCAAACAAUUCAUAAAAAUAAAUCAUAUAAGUCAAAGAAAUACUUAAUACCUUAAGGCAAACACUAAGAAAAGAAGUUAUAAAACUUUCUUUUCCUGCUCCAAAGACUUAUGUUUCUUUUUUUUUUUUAAGGGUUUGUAACGGUGUAAAAAAAUAAAAGACGGCUUCUUAGCACAGGAGAUUGGAGACCGAUCAAAUUGGCUUGCAAUGGUACCCCUCUGACACAUUUGUUUUUUUGCUGAUGAGCUAUUGUUGCUUGCUGAGGCGGCAUCUGGGCAAGCCAGGGUAAUUAACACAGUCUUUGAGAAUUUUUGUAAUAGCUCUGAGGCGAAGGUUAAUAAGACCAAAACUCAAGUAUUUUUUUCAAAGAACAUUAGUGAGAAGGAGAGGAACCGUAUUGGGAAAAUGCUUGGUUUCACUAUUACUAAAGAUCUUGGCAAGUAUCUUGGCAUGCCGCUUCUUCACUCCCGGGUUUCUAAGAGUACUUACUAAGAUAUUCUUGAUAAAAUGGAACAAAGGCUCUCUGGAUGGAAUGUUUCCCACUUAUCCUUGGCUCGCCGGAUUACGAUAGCCCAAUCUAUUUUGCAAGCUCUCCCUAUUUAUGCAAUGCAGUCAACCGACCUUCCUGCCGGGAUAAAACUGAAGAUAGACCAAGCAUGCAAGCGUUUCAUAUGGAGUGGUACUGUAACUUCUCAAAAACUAAGUAUGGUAAGUUGGAAUAAUAUUUGUCAGCAUAAAAUUAAUGGCGGUUUAGGCUUCAAAAGUCUGGAUGGGAUGAAUAAGUCCUUUCUCAUGAAGGUUGGUUGGGGUAUUCUUUCAUCUCCUUCAAGUCUAUGGUCCCAGGUUUUGUCAACUAAAUAUGGGGUGGAUUUAUCUGUCCUUCCUACUGAAUUGCCGUGUAGAAAUGGCUCCCACUUGUGGUAGUCGAUUGGGAAGGUUUGGACUGACGUUCUCUCAGGUGUUGCUUGGAAUAUAGGUGAUGGCACUAAAGUCUGAUUUUGGUUUGAUCGUUGGGUGAUAAAAGAAAAACCUCUGAUUUCUGAAGCUCUUUGUCCGAUACCCAAUGACAUAAUCUACAUUGUAGUGGCUAAUUUCAUAGAUAGUAAUAGUAGUUAGUGGUGGGAGCUGUUUCAACGUUAUCUACCUAAUAACAUUAUUCUGCAGAUAGCCUCUUGUGUUCUCCCUUUAGCUCAGUGUGGAAAUGACUGCUUUUAUUGGGUGAACUCUAAAAAUGGAGAUUUUUUCGGUUAAAUCCGCCUACCAUGCCAUUAGUUCCCAACGGUAUCAAGCGGAAGACAGAAUUUGGAACUUGGUGUGGCAUUGGCAGGGGCCCCAUAAUAUGAUCGCAGUGGUGUGGGAUAUCGUGAUGAUCGUUCUAGGAGUGUCCAGCAGACUUCUUGCCCUUUAUGUGGCAGGAAUCAUUAGAGCUAGUGUCGUGUUGGAGAUAGAGUUUGUUAUUUGUGUGGUCAGUUUGGACACAUCAGGAGAUUCUGCCCUACUUUAUCUAAGGGUGAUAGCUCUGCCGGAGGGACAGCCUCACGGUAUCGGCCUUAUUCUGGCCAGACUCAGGGUCAGAAAGGAGUUCAGAUAGGAGGUUCUACAUCUACCUUUAGGAGUCAGACGACUGCUCUAGGUCAGAGAGGUUAGCCUGGUCGACCUCAUACUCAGGCUCGAGUUUUUUCUUUGACGCAGCAGGAGGCACGUGCUGCACCAGAAGUUAUUAUAGGUAUAUUAUCUAUCCUUGGCCGCGAGGCUCAAAUUCUUGUUGAUCCUGGAUCCACACACUCUUUUAUUUCUCGUACUUUUGCUAUGCACAUAGCGCGAGAGCCCGAACUGCUAGAUUGUGGUUUAGUUGUUCGUACACCUACUGGAGAGUCAUUACUUACUGAGAGUGUUUAUCGAGAUUGUAUGAUGGAAUAGGUGAACAUGAAUUUGAGGCGAGUUUGAUUUCCUUAGACAUUCAUGACUUUGAUGCUAUUUUGGGCAUGGAUUGGCUUAAAUCUCAUUAUGCUACGGUGGAUUGUUUCAAAAAGGAAGUUGUGUUUAAAGAGUCAGGGAAAACUAAAGUGAAAUUCUGUGGAGAGCGCAAAGUUCUACCUUCAUGUGUUAUAUCUUCCAUUAGUGCAAGACGAUUGUUAAGAAAAGGAUGCUCAACUUAUUCAGCUAAUGUGAUAGAUACAGAAGCUCGAGAAUUGAGAUUAGAGGAUAUUGCAGUAGUCAAAGAAUUUCCAGAUGAACUUCUUGGGAUGCCACAUAACAGGGAAGUCGAGUUUUCUAUUGAUUUAGUCCCUGGAACAUCUCCUAUAUCUAUGGCACCAUACAUGAGGGCUCUAGCAGAAUUGAAGGAACUAAAGGUUCAAUUGCAAGAGUUGGUGGAGAAAGGGUUUAUUAGACCUAGUGUGUCCCCGUGGGGAGCUCCAGUCUUGUUUGUUAAGAAAAAGGAUGGGACUUUUAUACUCUGCAUCGACUAUAGGCAAUUGAAAAAAGUUACGGUACACAAUAAGUAUCCACUUCCGCAUAUUGAUGACUUGUUUGAUCAACUCCAGGAGGCGAAGGUAUUUUCUAAGAUCAAUUUGCGCUCGGGUUACCAUCAGCUUAGAAUUAAAGAUGUCGACGUUCCUAAAACAACAUUUAAAACCCGUUAUGGGCACUAUGAGUUCUUGGUGAUGCCAUUCAGAUUGACAAAUGCUCCAGCAGCCUUUAUGGAUAUCAUGAAUAGGGUAUUUCGUCCGUACUUGGAUCGGUUUGUGAUUGUAUUCAUUGAUGAUAUCUUGGUGUAUUCCUGAAGCGAGGAGGUGUAUGCAGAGCAUUUGCGGACUAUUUUGCAGACUUUGAGAGAGAAGCAAUUAUAUGCCAAGUUCAGCAAAUGCGAGUUCUGGUUGGAUAGAGUAGUAUUUUUUGGCCAUGUGAUAUCAGCAGAAGGUAUUUAUGUUGAUUCUCAAAAGAUUGAAGUAGCUGUGAAAUGGGAACGGCCUACAAAUGUCACAGAGGUUUGGAGUUUUCUUGGAUUGGCUGGUUAUUAUCGUCGAUUUGUGGAGGGAUUCUCUAAGAUUGCUACUCCUCUGACACAGUUAACCAAAAAGAAUGCUAAGCUCCAGUGGGAUGAUAACUGUGAGAAGAGUUUUCAAGAACUUAAGACAUGUUUAACCUCAGCACCAGUUCUUACACUUUCAUCUGGUAAUGAAGGAUUUGUGGUUUAAAGUGAUACCUCUAAGGAGGGAUUGGGUUGUGUGUUGAUGCAGCAUGUGAAAGUGGUGGCUUAUGCUUCUAGACAACUUAAAAAGCAUGACCUAGAACUAGCAGCAGUGGUGUUUGCACUCAAGACAUGGAGGCAUUACUUAUAUGGGGCAACAUGUUAGAUUUUCACUAAUCAUAAAAGUCUGAAGUAUUUGUUUACUCAGAAGGAAUUGAAUUUGAGACAGAGGAGAUGGAUUGAGCUAAUUAAGGACUACGAUGCACUAUUGAUUAUCAUCUGGGCAAAGCAAAUGUGGUAGCUGAUGCACUAAGUAGAAAGUCUUCUAGCUCUAUAGUUCACUUGCAAGUGAAAUAUAUGCCUCUGUUGAUCGAGUUCAGAUCUUUGGGAGUCGAGUUAAACGCUGACGAUUGUGGAACUUUGAUAGCUAAUUUUUUAGUUAGGCCGACUUUGAUUAAUAAAGUUCACCAGAUGCAAGCUCAGGACCUAUUGUUAAUGAAGUUGAAAGAGGAUGUGCAAAAAUGUUUACGAACUGAUUUUACGGUGAGAGGCGACAAAGUCUUAGUCAUGGGUAAUAGACUCGAUGUACCUAAUAUUAAAACUAUGAAAGAAGAGAUUAUGGAAGAAGCUCACUGUUCAGCAUUUGCGAUGCAUCUUGGUAGUACGAAGAUGUACCACACCCUGAGAGAUCAUUACUGGUGGCAGGGCAUGAAGAGAGAGAUAACAGAAUUUGUUUCUCGAUGUUUAGUCUGUCAGCAGAUUAAAGCUGAACACCAGAGGCCUGUAGGGUGUUAUUAGCCGCUUCCUAUUCCUUAGUGGAAGUAGGAGCACAUCACUAUGAAUUUUGUAGCAGGACUUCCACGUACUCUGAAAGGACAUGAUCAUGUUUGGGUGGUUGUUGAUCGACUUACAAAAUCUGCUCACUUCUUACCAUUCAAAAUCACCUACUCGAUGAACAAGUUGGGGAGUAUUUAUGUGGCUGAGAUAGUUUGACUUCACGGAGUACCUGUGUCCAUAGUCUCAAAUAGAGAUUCCUGGUUUACUUCUAAGUUUUCGACCAGUUUGCAAAAUACUUUAGGUACCAAGUUGAACUUCAGUACAACUUUUCAUUCACAGACUGAUGGACAGUCAGAGCGCACUAUUCAAACUCUGGAGGAUAUGUUGCGAGCUUGUGUUAUGGAGUUUAAAGGUAAUUGAGAUAAUUAUUUACUUCUGAUGGAGUUUGCUUACAACAAUAACUAUCAAGCUAGUAUCGAGAUGGCACCAUAUGAGGCUUUGUAUGGUAGAAAAUGCAGGACUCCAGUAUGUUAGGAUGAGGUUGGUGAGCGGAGGUUACUCGGUCCAGAACUUGUCCAGGAUACUAACGAGAAGAUACAAUUGAUCCGGGAUAGAUUAAAGGUGGCCCAAGAUAGACAAAAGAGCUAUGCAGACAAGCGUAGGGGGGAACUUGAAUUCCAAGUUUGUGAUAGAGUUUUCAUACGGAUAUCUCCUUGGAAAGGGGUGCUUUGAUUUGGGAAACGUGGGAAGCUAAGCCCAGGUUACAUUGGGCCAUAUGAGAUCAUUGAGCGCAUCGGUCCGUUAGUUUAUCGAUUAGCUCUACCACCCGAGUUAUCCAGAAUCCACGAUGUGUUUCACGUCUCAAUGCCCCAUAAGUACAUAUAUGACCCGAGUCAUGUGUUAUCAAAGCAACUAAUUCAGUUGAAGGAAGAUUUAACUUACGAAGAGGAACCAAUGGAGAUACUGGAAGAGAAACACCAAGUUCUACAUUCUAAGACCAUUCCUCUAGUAAAAGUACGGUGGAGGAAUCAUACAAAGGAAGAGGCUACCUGGAAACAUGAGGACUUAAUGCGAGCUCAAUAUCCCUAUAUUUUCUUAUUAGGUACAUAAAUUUCGAGGAUGAAAUUUUUAUAAGAGGGGAUGAUUGCAACAAAUGUGAAUUAAAAAUGAAUAAGUAUGAGGUGGUAAAGAAGUUAGUAAAAACAAAAGAAUAAGCUGGAAACAGAGGAAACAUAUGCACGUGUAACAGAGAGUGAGAGAGAAGGUGCCAAACCGACCCAACUACAGACCCACCUUGACCCGGUCACAUCUCCCAUUUCCGGCCACCGUUUCGGCCGAGUUUAGUACCAAUCUGAAAACCCGCGACUGUUUCAUUUUGUUCCGCCAGGAUUUUCGCCGGUUUUGGGUGACACGACCAGUUGAAUUUUGUUCCUCAUGACUCCCUCUUCCAUUUUCAACCGUCCAUAGCCACUGAAAGUCACUGUUUUGCCACUGGUCAAUUAUUGGAAUUCAGGGCUAUUGAGCUAGAUUCCGGCCUCGUUACCGUGCGUUGGAGCUCACUGCUGGUACCAUUGAACUCAACGUGAUUGGAACUUUCAGAAUUGAGCUUCCCGGCCAGCGUUGACCAAACUCCGGUGACCGUUGACCGGCAAGGGCAUUUCGGUAAUUUCACACGCCGAGGGAAAUUUUGUAAUUUCUGAGCCUAUGGAUAUUUUAGUAAUUCCUAGAAUUGAGGAUUUGGUGUAAUUACGAUUCCGAGGUUAAUUCGGUGAUUUACAAUUUCUGAGUAUUUUAAUGAUUUACGGACUCGAGGGCAUUUUAGUAAUUUUAUCGACACGGGAGUUGUAAAUUAUGGAUAGAUGUUCGUUUCGAGUUUAUUGCAUAAAUUUAGUCGUAAUUUCGAUUUACGAAAAAUAAUUAUGUCGUUUCCUUGAUUUAAGAGGAUCCGCGAGCGAUAAUCGGUCCACGGACAUUGACGAUAACCAAGCGCGAACACUGCACUGUGAGUGGAAUAUGCAAAACCUAUUUUCGUAGUUAAUUAUGAUAGUAAAAUAUGUUUACGAAAUAAGUAUUUUUAAUGUUCUGAUUUAAUGAUUUCCUCGAAAUGGAUUUUAUACAUGCAUUGAUAUUAUUUUAAAAUGUUUGGUCAAUGAUUUUCCGUGUCGACUUUGAAUGAAAUAUGAUAGUAUUUUAAAGAUGAGAAAAGUGGAUUUAGAUGUGAUAAUGAAAAGAAAUGUAUGAUUUAAAGUAUGAUUAGAAUAUACAUGAAUAUAAGUAUAGAGAUUGUUUUUAAAAUCAUUCGACAGUACCCUUCCCCUCCAGAUACAGUGAUACAGAUGAGAUAAGAUGAGAGGCCUUUAGAGCCCGUCUGAGCACACAUAGAGGCUUUGGGCUGUGUGUUUGGGUGUUUCUGCCUUUUGGGGGCAUAUGCAUACGGUAUGAUGAUUACAGAGAUACAAAUAUGAGAUACAGACAGAUAUUGAGAUACAGAUGAUAAAUAUGAGAUACAAGCCUUUGGGGCCCGUCUGAGUACACACAGAGGCUUUGGGCCGUGUGCUUGGCGCUUUUGUCCUUUAGGGACUGGAUUAUGCAUGCACAGAUAUGAUGAGUUAUGAGAUGAUACUUCCCUAUCUAUCCGUGUAGCUAAGGAGCGUGACGGUACCCAGAUACGUCAUUACCCGUCCGUUGAGGUCCGGAUAUGAUGAAAUUAUUUCCCUGGGCACUUGUUUGGUGAUGAUUUUCAUUCUUGUGUAUUCUAUAUGAUAUUGUGAUAUGAUUUCCAUGAUUAUUACUGUUGUAGAAUUUCUCAAGAUCCACUGUUGUUAAACAACCAAGCUGAGCUAUCGAACCCAAUCGAUCAAGAUCAACCUUUUUUUUACCAAGAAAGUUAACUAGCUCAUUGCAAGUAAUAACCAGAAAAGAAAGAAGAUGAACAAGAAAACAAUGCACACAGUAUAACGUGGUUCAGUACCAAAGUACCUACAUCCACGACCAAAUAAACCCUUCUGGGCUUGAAGCUUUUAUUUAACAAAGUGUUUACAAUGAGAGUAUUGAUGACAAAGAUUAAAUCUCUCAUACAGAGAAUUUUCUAUCUCUCACCCUAGCUCUCUCAAAAUCGUGACUUAACCAUCCAUCUGAUCAGCCCUGAACUAUGUAUAUAUGUAUAGCUCUAUUGUCCAGCUGUUAGCAGUAACAAAUUUAACUAACCCUGGCCCCACACAAAUGCUGAGUCAGCACGCCACUUAGUCACAUAACAGAAUUAACUAAUCAAGCUUCACAAAUAUCCACCUUAGUUGAUUCUGUCCCAGCUUCACCCAGCUCUGGUUCAGAUGGUUAAUAUGCUUGACUUAUAAGCUUCUAACUCCAAUCAAGUUCAGAGAGUUUCUGAACUUGACUGUUGGUAUUGGUUUUGUCAGUGCAUCUGCUGGAUUGUCUUCAGUAGAGAUCUUUACAACAUCCACUACUCCUCUUUCAAUUUCCUCUCUUAUGAAAUGUAGCCUCAAAUCCACAUGCUUGGUCCUCUCAUGAUAUUUGGAGUUUCUGCUCAACUGAAUUGCACUUGAGCUGUCACAAUAGAUGGGAAUUGUAUCCUGAAUCAAACCCAAUUCAGAUAUAAUCCCUCUGAUCCACUUAGCUUCUUUAAAAGCUUCAGUAAGUGCAAUGUACUCAACUUCAGUAGUUGAUAAGGCAACAACUGAUUGCAGUGAUGCUUUCCAACUUACAGCUCCUCCACACAUGGUAAAAACAAAGCCAGUAGUAGACCUUCUUUUGUCUAAGUCACCAGCAAAGUCUGAGUCCACAUAGCCAAUGACUUUACUUGUGACAUUGUUAUCUCUACUAAACAAAAUACCAGAAUCAGAUGAACCACUCAGAUACCUAAGUAUCCACUUAGCAGCACUCCAAUGCAUUUUGCCUGGGUUCUCCAUGAAUCUGCUAACUACUCAUACCCCGUAAGCAAUAUCAGGCCUAGAGCACACCAUGGCAUACAUAAUGCUUCCAACCACACUAGAGUAAGGAAUUUUCUUCAUAUGCUUAAUAUAUGCAUCAUCGGAUGGUUCUUGCUGUUUUGACAGCUUGAAGUGUGUGCCUAAAGGGGUGGAAACUGCUUUAGAGGUAACCAUGUCAAACUUGCCAAGCACCCUUUUGACAUAACCAGCUUGUGAGAGAAAUAGAGUCUUUGCAGCUCUAUCCCUUUUGACCUGCAUUCUUAGAAUCUUACUGGCAGAGCCUAGGUCCUUCAUCUCAAAUUCAGCCCUUAGCUCAGUUUUAAGCUUUUCUAUUUCUUCUAUGUGCUUGCAUGCAAUGAGCAUGUCAUCAACAUAGAGAAGCAAAUAAAUCCCAUCUCCAGAAGGUAGGAACUUGCAGUAUACACAGCUAUCAUAUUGACUUCUCAAGUAACCAUGAGCAAUAAUAAAUUGGUCAAACCUCAAAUACCACUGCCUGUGGGAUUGCUUUAAACCAUAUAAGCUCUUCUUAAGCAAACACACCAUGUCUUCUGACUCCCUUUGUAUGAAGCCUUCUGGCUGUUCCAUGUAUAUCUCUUCUUCAAGAUUGCCAUGUAGGAAGGCUGUUUUGACAUCCAUUUGAUCCAGCUCCAGAUCAUGGUGGGUUGUAAUUGCAAGCAACACUCUUAUUGAGCUAUACUUGACAACUGGUGAAAAGACUUCACUAUAAUCUAUCCCUUCUCUUUGUGUAAAGCCCUUUGCCACCAGCCUAGCCUUAUAUCUAGGGUGUUCUACACUUGUAACUCCAUCUUUAAGUUUGAAAAUCCACUUACACCCAACCAGCUUCCUAUCUUCUGGUUUUCUCACCAAAAUCCAGGUGUUGUUUUUCUUCAAUGAGGAUAUUUCUUCUUCCAUUACUGACAGCCACUUUGAUUUAUCCCUGCUGUUCAUGGCUUGCUUAUAGCUGCUGGGUUCCUCCCCAAUAACUUCUUCAGCAACAUUCAGUGCAUAUGAUAUCAAAUCUGCUAUGCCAAAUCUCUUAGGCAUUUUGAUAACCCUCCUUUCUCUGUCUCUUGCCAGCUGGUAGUUAUCCAUUUCUGAGGAUCUAGUUUUACUGUCACAAGACUUGGACUCUUCAUUAGUGUCCUUGUGAUCAUCAGUAAGCUCCACCUCCAGGUUAAGCUUAUGGUUGGCCUUUUGCUCAUAAAUUGUCAGUUCUGUUUCAACCUUUUGCUGGAGCAGGGAACCCUCAUCAAAUACAACAUCCCUGCUUACUAUAAUCCUUGAAGGUUUCCCAUCAAUGCACGAUAUUCUAUAUCCCUUAACACCUUCAGGGUAACCAAUAAAGAUACCCUUAAUUGCCCUAGGUUCCAGCUUUCCUUGGUUGAUAUGAGCAUAUGCUGGUGAGCCAAAGAUUCUCAUAUUGCUUAGAUCAGGGGGUUUUCCAUACCAAACCUCUUAUGGAGUUCUGAAGUUGAGUGCUGAUGAGGGACUUCUAUUUAUCAAGUAUGCUGCUGUGGUGACAGCUUCAGCCCAAAAAUGUUUUGAGAGGUUUGCACUAAACAACAUGCAUCUCACCUUUUCCACUAAUGUUCUAUUCACCCUCUCAGCAAGUCCAUUUUACUGGGGUGUGUGUCUAACAGUCUUGUGCCUUGCAAUUCCCUUCUCUCUGCAGAACUCAUCAAACUCUUUACUACAAUACUCCAACCCAUUAUCAGUCCUUAGUCUCUUUACUUUCCUGUCAGUUUGGUUUUCAAUUAAGGUCAACCAUUCCUUAAACUUUAGUAGAGCUUCACUCUUAUGCUUUAAGAUAUAAACCCAAACCUUCCUGGUAUAGUCAUCAAUCAAUGUCAUGAAGUACCUAGCUCCACCAUGUGAUAGCACUUGAGAUGGACCUCAUAAAUCUGAAUGUAUAUAAUCUAUUGAAUUAUUGGUUUCUUGCUUCCCAGUCCCAAACCUCUAUCGAGUUGCCUUUCCAAACACACAUUUUUCACAGAACUCAAGAGAUGAAAUCUGACCAGAACCAAUUAGACCUUGUUUGCCUAAUUCUUUCAACCCCUUUUCACUCAUGUGAGCUAAUCUCAUGUGCCAUAAUUUUGUUUUAUCUCUGCUGACAGAGGCUAUAACUCCUGGAGAGGAAGGGGAGCCUAUUAGGACAUAUAACCCAUUUCUUCUGAUUCCCUUCAUUAUAACUAUGCCAUUUUUAGUAACUUGGAGUUCACCAUUUCUGCCUUAAUGCUACAGCUUGACUGGUCAACAGUCCCUAAGGAUAUUAGAUUCCUCCUAAGCUCUGGAACAUGUCUCAAAUUCCUUAGCUCUCUAUCUACCCCAUCAUGUAUAGUUAUGGUAACAGUUCCAAUUCCAGUAACUUUACAGGCCAGGUUAUUUCCCAAUAAAACCUUACCUGUAUCAACUUUCUCAAAAGUCUUGAAGAGUUGCUUGUUUGGGCUCAUGUGGAAGGAGCAACCUGAGUCCAAGAUCCAUUCUUCAGUGGGUUGUCUUUUUGCAGCUACGAGUACAUCUGCACCUUCUGAAUCCCAUUCAUCUUCUGAUGCAAUGGCUGCCUUCCCUGAUGAUUCUUUCUAGAUCUUUUCAAGUUUCUUCUUCUCGAAACAGUCCUUUAUAUAAUGCUCUUCCCUCUGACAGAAAUAACACUUUCUCUUUUUCUUUUUCUUGUCAGCUUUAUCCUUCUUAUUGUUACUUUUCUUGUCAUGAUUCUUCUUCUUUUCAGGUUUUGAUUUGGCUAUCAGGCGUUCACCAAGGCCCUGAUCUUUUCCCUCAGCUCUUUUCUUUAAAUCUUUUGAUUCCAGAGCAUUCUUCACAUCUUUUAACGUAAGGGUUUGUCUCCCAUACAGUAAUGUGUCAACAAAGUGCUCAUAUGAAUCUGGCAGUGAGCUUAACAAGAUAAGAGCUAUGUCUUCAUCUUCAAGAUUUACAUUAACAUUCUCAAGAUCCAGGAUUAGCUUGUUGAAUUCAUCGAGAUGGUCUUUCAUGGCUGUUCCCUCCUUCAUUGAGAAUGUAUACAACUUCCUUUUCAUAUAGAGUCUCUUGGCCAAAGACUUCUUCAAGAAUAGUUCUUCAAGUUUCGAUCAGAGGCUAGAUGCAGAUUUUUCUUUAGCAACCUCUCUCAGCACUUCAUCUGACAGAUGCAAGAUUAUGGUGCUGUGAGCUUUGUUGUUAAUGGACCUUAUGUCUCCACCCAAGCUUGAGGAGCCUUCUGAUUUCUCUUUCUUGCCAAUUUGAUCUUCUUCAUUUUCAAGAGCACUGUCAAGCCCCCGUUGGAUCAAGAUUGCACGCAUCUUGAGACUCCAUAGAUAGAAGUCAUUUUCUCUGUUGAAUUUUUCUACAUCGAAUCUUGUACUAGCCAUUUGCGAACAAGAACUGAGAGCUUUUAGAGCUCUGAUACCAGUUUGUUGUGGAAUUUCUCAAGAUCCACUGUUGUUAAACAACCAAGCUGAGCUAUCGAACCCAAUCAAUCAAGAUCAACCUUUCUUUUACCAAGAAAGUUAACCAGCUCAAUGCAAGUAAUAACUAGAAAAGAAAGAAGAUGAACAAGAAAACAAUGCACACAGUAUAACGUGGUUCAGUACCAAAGUACCUACAUCCACGACCAAAUAAACCCCUCUGGGCUUGAAGCUUUUAUUUAAUAAAGUGUUUACAAUGAGAGUAUUGAUGACAAAGAUUAAAUCUCUCCUAUAGAGAAUUUUCUAUCUCUCACCCUAGCUCUCUCAAAAUCGUGACUUAACCAUCCAUCUGAUCAGCCCUGAACUAUGUAUAUAUAUAUAGCUCUGUUGUCCAGCUGUUAGCAGUAACAAAUUUAACUAACACUGGCCCCACACAAAUGCUGAGUCAGCACGCCACUUAGUCACAUAACAGAAUUAACUAAUCAAGCUUCACAAUUACGUAUGAUCAUUAUAUAUGCUUUUCAUGGUUAGUAAUAUGAUUUAAAUGUUAAAUGAUUUAUUACUAGUUUCUCGCAUAUGGUUUGAUGAAAUCGUGUUUGGAAAUGAUAUGAUUAUUUCUUUUAAAGUAAGAAUUAAUUUUAAAAAACUACUAUCCACUCAUUGAUCUCAUUGAGUUUUAAACUCACCCCAUUUUUAUUAUAUUUUUCCCCUCACUAGGAGGUUGCAGGUACACCAGACUGACCCAGCGACUGUAAAUAUAUUUUGAGUCUUGGCCACGUGAUGGUGUUAGAGGAUAUAGAUGUUUUUUAUAGGACAUCUCAGUUAUCUUGUUCUUUUGGGAUUGUAUAAUUUUAUUAUAUUAUUCUUUUGGAGAUUAAGAAUAAACUGAGAUAUCAAUAUUAGUUAUAAUAUUAUCUUUUGAGAUUCUUGAGAUAUAAAAUUCAGCAUUUUGGUUGAGGGUAUUGAUCACUGGAGUUUGUUGUAUAUUGAAUUAUAUUGGGAGUGUUAUAUUCAUAGUUGUAGAUUAGGAGUGAUAUAUAUAUAAAGGAGACUCUGCCAAAUUUUUGACAGAAUCCUUACUAAUUAGAUUAUUAUCAAGUCCGUUUUGAUGAGACUAGAGUGACUAGCCCGAGGGAUUCGGGGCGGGUCGUUUCAUUUAUCUUCAUCGUUUCCAACAACAACAGUCAGCAACUCGGCUUCUGCAACAGCAACAGCGAGAGUCGUUGUCAAAGAACAAAUUCACACUGAACCAGCACAAAAAUCACCACCGGCAGCCACAGCUGCUGCUCGAGGAAAGCACCAAUCCAGUUCCUAGUUGGCAAGAAAAUAUGCCAUUCUUGAAGUUCAACAAUCAUCUGACCUCACUUCCUCUCUCGAGAGGUCUUGUUUUGUCAUUUCGAUGGAUACCUAUUUGUUGUUUCUUUUAUUUUUUUGGUUGAGUGUUGACCCUUGAUGAUUAUCUCAACUGGGUUUCUAUUUUUUUCAACUAAUUUAGUGACAAAGUUAGGACUUUUCUUUUUUUUCUGAAUUUGUUUUCUGAGGUGUGUCGAUUUUGAUUAUACUUGACAUUGAGUUGCUGCGACUUCUAAUCCACAAUUAGUGUCGAAUAGAAAGAAUCAUUGGGUGGAUAGUUGAUAAAUAGUAAUUUCCCAUCAAUAAGUAAAAAGGUGAAUGUAUAUCAAACAGUUUAGUUGCAGUACUUUUCUAGUCGAAUAGAGCAGGACUAUUGCUGACUUACCCUUCAUUUUCUUAUAUGUAUGUUGUAUUUUGCAAAUUUGUUUUUGGAUGCUGACACUAUUGCAAUUUACAUGCUGACUUCGCUUUGGUUAGAAAACCUUGAUUCCUUUGCAAUGUUCAAUGCCAUUUAGUUUUGAGCCUAAAGUGAUUAGUAUGUUGUUUAUAAUGUUCUAUAUUAAUCGAAACAUGAGAGUUACAGUGUUAAUUUUGGAGGUCAACAAUGACUUUCCAAUGAACAAGUUGGCUAGCAGUCACAUUGCAUAAGCACUAUAGUAUAGUUUGAAUAAGAAGAAUAAAAUAAUCGUAAUUUCAUUGAGUACCUCUCUUUUCUUGACUGCAUUCCUCGUUGGAAAAGUUUGUUAGAUGGAAAUUCUGGUUGUCUUUUAGACUUAAGUUUUAGUGACAAUACAUUUGGUGAAAAUUUUUUUACUUCAUGACAUCAUCUUGAAGUUUUGUUGUUAUGGAGACAAAUAUGUAGCUCAAUUAGCUUGGCAUUAUAAGAUAAAUGUACUUCUUUGCAGAUUAGAAGGGAUAUUAAAGGUGCCAGACUUGAAUGCUAUUUUGCGACAUUUUGGGGAUCUUGGCCGAGGGCAGGAUGUUUUGGAGGUCCUACUACUUUCCUUUUGUUUUGUUUAUCUUUUGUGCACGCCAUUGAUAUUUUUGAUGGUAAAACCUGUUGAGUUUAUUUGUUUACAUUUCUUUAUUCAAAUGCAUGUUCAAUUCCUGAUUUAUUAUUAGUUGGGUUUGCUUACUGAUUAAAUAUCAAUUUUUUGGUCCUGUGUAUGUACCUUUUUUAAUGAUCAUUUUGUACCCAAUUAAGUGUUCUUUCUUAAAUGGAGAUCCCAUUUUGGUAAAACAAAAGCUGUUUCUGUUUUUUAUACAAAUCUCUGCCUUAUGAUUCAAAAAAAUGUAGACACUCCAAGAGAAAUAAGGUUAGCUGAAUAUGGGUGGGAGGAUUAUCUAUAUCCUUCUUCAAUAUUUGUUCAUUACACUUUCCUGAGUGAGCUUUCGCUGGAGAAUCCUCAUUUUUAUAGAUUCUAUAUUUGUUAAUUGCUUGAUUGCAAAAAGUUAUUCUGUAUUAGUAUACAAAAACUACUUUAUGCAUUUGUUUUUGUUUUUAUUAUUAACUUGUUCAAAUUAUGGUUUUGAAAUUAGCCUAUUUCAUUUCAGCUAUAGGGAAGAUCAUUCUCAAAACAGUAAUUGAUUUGCAAUUUAUCAUAAAUAUCAUUCUGAUAAUUUAGUAUGGUUUGUUACGACGGCAUCAACCCAAUUUAUGGCUUGCUACCACAUGAAGUAUCCCAAAAUGCUUCUAUUCUCUUUCCGUCCUAUGUGAACAAUGGUUUACUGAUGCUAAUAAGUACUAUUUUUUUAAUACUUUGUGCUUGGUGUUUCUGCAGCUCUUUGAGUGGAUGCAACAACAUGGCAAGACUAGUAUUUCUUCUUAUAGCAGUUAUAUCAAGUUCCUUGGGAAAAAAGGCAAUUCCCUUAAGGCUCUAGAAAUCUACAAUAGCAUUACAGAUGAAUCGGACAAAGUUAAUGUCUUUAUAUGUAAUUUGAUUCUCAGUUGUCUAGUCAGGAAUGGAAAGUUUGAGAGCAGCCUCAAACUGUUUGAUAAAAUGAAGCAGAGUGGUCUGACACCAGAUGCUGUUACUUAUAAUACGGUAUACCAAUCUGAUCACAUUACAUGGAUUUGAGGAUGUUAAAUGUUUGUUCGAAGUUGAGUUCAGUCAGGCAAAUGAUUAUAAAAUUCUGCCUUUUGUAUGACACUCGGUGUUGUAGUUGACAUGUAAGUUGCACAGUCUUUGAGUGACAGCUUUGUUGAACAACGGGUUUGACACAAGUGAAAGAGUCAACUUUUAUAUGCAUGUAAUAUUCUUUUUCUUUUCUAUGGUUACAUAAUCCAUAUUGUGAAUCUGAUUUGCUAUUUUAUUUUUGAAAGUUCUUCUAAAGUGUGAAUAAGCCAGAGAAAGACAGAAUAAAUGGAUUUGACAUAGAUUUAGAAGAAAUAAAUGUGCUGCCGUGGAAUAGCAUCAAGCUUUGUUGGAAUGAAGUGCCAAGAUCAUUUUCUAACAAAAUGCCAGAGUCUUUUUAACUGUUCUUUAUUACAUUUUUCUUUUGUCUUCCAUAGCUGCUUACAGGUUGCAUUAAGGAUAAAAAUGGCUAUUCUAAAGCAUUAGAGCUGGUUCAGGAACUUAAGUAUAAUGGAGCGCAGAUGGAUGGCGUGAUGUAUGGGAUACUUUUGGCUAUUUGUGCUUCAAAUAAUCUAUGUGCCGAAGCUCAGAGCUAUUUUAACCAGAUGAAAGUUAAAGGCCAUCCUCCUAACGUAUAUCACUAUAGCUCUUUGCUUAAUGCUUACUCCUCUGGUGGAGACUACACGAAGGCCGAUGAAUUAAUUCAGGAUAUGAAAUCUUCAGGGUUAGUACCGAAUAAGGUUUGUUUCAUGUUUAUAUGGCCAUUCUAGUUUCAGGAGUUACUAGGCAUUACUUAACAAUUGAGUUUUGCUCAUCUUGAAAUAGGAAAGAUUGAAAAUCGAUGUAUACAUGUGAAUUUGGUAGAAUAGAGAAUUUGUACUGAAUUUCAAAUGACAAAAGAACACAGUUAUGAUACAUAGUUAUCAUGGUGAAUUGAGGCUUAUCGAACCGUAUUCUGUCUAUGCUUUCAAAAUCAAGUGUAAUUGUUUUGGUGCAGCAAAAAUGUAUUAGUAUUAUGGUACAUGGAUGCUAUCCUGAUUAGGGGAUUUCAGUGAUUAGUUGGUUUGUUUGGCCUUUUUCAGUGGAAGCAAGAAGUUAAGGGAACAAGUCUAAAGGGAUACUUCAUAUUUGGGUUGAAACGGAACUAUAAAAGAAUAAAAACGCACCAUGGGGGUUUGGAUUUCAUGCUAUAAGAGAUUAUUGUAAAGGAAUGAAUUGGUGCUUUUCAAUAUAUGCCAAAUCUAUUUUCAUGGGUAUCUAGGUCAAAAUAGCACAUAAAGUAGUGAGUUUCUUGUUAUCUCUUUUCUUUUUGUUCUGUGCAUUUUCAAUAAUUUGCUUUGUAAACACGUGUGUUGGCAAUUGUGUGCUUUUCUUAUGUUUUGUUUUUUAGGGUAAAUCAUUCUUUUUGCAGGUAAUACUGACAACAUUGCUGAAGGUAUACGUCAGAGGAGGUUUGUUUGAAAAAUCAAGGGAACUAUUAGCUGAACUGGACACUUUAGGCUAUGCUGAAAAUGAGGUACAUUGAUGAAUUUUUACCUUUCAUAUGUAUGUUGAAAUAUCAAUCUUGUUGAAGAUAUGAUAUGUAGUUUUAAUAUUGUGUUUCAGAGUAGAAUGUGUUAUUUAUUACCUUCAGGAUCAUAGCAGAUCUGACACCGGACACAAUAGAUGGGAAAACACAAUGUCACACACCCAAGAAAUAACAAGCUCAAAACCACAGCAAAAAAUUCACCACCUAAAGUUGUUAAGCUAAGGAUACAGGGCUUAAAAUACUCACCACUCAAUGGAAUCCACCAAAGUGAUACAGAGUUUGAUAAUAACUCAAAGUUCAUCCAAUCCCCAAAAUUAAUCUCUAUCCUUUGGUUACAACUACAUAAGCUUAAAUAACUUUCUUGGAACAAUCCUCCAAGCAUAGAUAUACAACAAAGAAACCCUCCAAAUGACUUGACUUCAAAGACCAACAUUAAAGCUAGACAUUAAUAGAACAUUGGUAUGCUUAAAACACAGCAAAGAGCAUUAAAAAAAGUCCAAGUCCAGAAAUAUUCUUCUUGACUCAAAACUGAACAGCCUGCACUUAACUGAUCAUAACUUACUGUACAAAGCUCGAAAUUUGUAUUAGUAAAAUUCAUUGGAAAGCUAACAGAAAUAUCUUUCCAAUGAUGUAUGACUGGAAAAUUAGUUCAAUCUCAUGCAGUACAGUUUAAUUCCCAAAGAUGCCCCUUCUGCACAGAAAUUCUACUCACUUGAUUAAUGUAAGAACUUGAACUGCACUUGGUAUAACUUGAAUACCAAAUAUUUCAAACACCCCUGUGUUAAUCUCCCCUAGUUGAAAAAAAUUCAACCUCGAGUUUUGAUCAUUUUCUUCAUGAUAAGGAGACAAGUCUGAUAUGUUGAAUGUUGAUGAAACACCAUAGCCAUCUGGUAGCUCAAUCUUGUACACAUUAUCACCAAUGCGUUGCAACACUUUAAAAGGUCAUUCAGCCCUUGGUCUAAGCUUAGCAUACUUCCUAGGUGGAAAACGAUCUUUUCUAAGAUGAACCCAAACCAAAUUUCCUUCCUGAAACUUAGCAUUUCUUCGAUGCUUGUCUACAGAUUUUUUAUACUUCUCAUUUUGCUUCAAUAUUCUAUCUCGAACCUGUUCAUGCAUCUUCUCGAUACUUUUAGAGCGUUCUUCAGCCUCUCCACUAAAUUGAUGAUCAGUCAAAAAGUGGAGCCAAAUCCAAAGGACUAAUUGGAUUCUUGCCAUAAACUACUUCAAAGGGACUUGAACCAGUAGUUUGAUGUAUGGAGUGAUUGUAAACAAAUUCAAUCUAAGGCAAAAUAAGAUGCCAUUGACGAAUGUUCUUGCCCACAUAACUUCUCAAGAGAUUUCCCAAGCUUCGAUUCGUCACUUCAGUCUGACCGUCAGUUUGAGGAUGAUGAGAAGAGCUGAAUUUAAGAGUGGUUCCCAACUUCUUCCAAAGAGUGUGCCAAAAGUGACUCAAAAACUUUGAAUCCCGAUCAGAGACAAUGGUUUUUAGAAUUCCAUGUAGCUUCACAAUCUCCUUGAAGUACAAAUCAGCCACAUAAGAGGCAUCCAAUGUCUUGUUACAUAGAACAAAAUGAGCCAUUUUUUAGAAUUGAUCAACCACCACCAUGAUAGAGUCUUUGUUUCUUUGAGUUCUUGGCAACCCAACAACAAAGUCUAGACUAACAUCUUCCCAGGGAGCUUCAGGGACUGGUAAAGGAUUGUAUAGGCCUGUGUUUUAACCAUGAGCUUUGGCAAUAUGACAGAUUUUACACCUCUGCACAUGAUGCACAACAUCUUUAUCCAUAUUUGGCUAAUAGAAAUUACCUUGCAAGCAAGCUAACGUCUUAUCCUUUCCAAAGUGACCUCCAACAGCACUGCCAUGUGCCUCCAUGAUAAUAGAUUCCCGCAAAGAACACUGAGGAAUACAUAAACAAUUCCCCUUGAAAAGAAAGCCAUCAUGCAAUUGGUACUGAUCAUAUGAUCCAUUCUCACAUUCUCUCCAAAUCUUACCAAAGAAAGAAUCAUCUUUGUAUAGCUCUUUUAAAAUUUCAAAGCCUACAACCUUCACUUGCAUAGAAGAAAGCAAGGAAUUUUUUCGACUUAAAGCAUUAGCCACAACAUUUUGAGCACCCGAUUUAUACUUGAUGGUAAAAUUGUAAGCUUGAAGAAACUCCACCCAUCCGACAUGUUUUCUACUAAGCUUUUGUUGACUAUUGAUAAACUUUAGUGCAUCAUGGUCGGAGAAGAGAAUAAAUGGCCUUGAAAGCAAAUAUUGACUCCAAUGGUUCAAAGCUCGGCAAAUAGCAUACAAUUCUUUGUCAUAAGUUGAGUACUUUCUGCAAGAGUCAUUCAAUUUUUCACUAAAGAAAGCGAUUGGUUUCCUUUCUUGCCUAUGUACAGCACCAAUUCCAGUAUUAAAGGCAUGACACUCAACUUCAAAUACCUUGCUGAAAUAUGGAAGUGAAAGAACAUGCGCUUCAAUCACCUUUCUCUUGAUGAUUUCAAAACUCUCUUGUGCUUCUUUAGUCCAUUUGAAACCUUCUCCUUUCAAGCAUUCAGUUACUGGAGCAACAAUUGUACUGAACCCUCUGAUAAAUCGUCGAUAAAAAGAAGUAAGACCAUGGAAACUUUGGAUUUCAUGUAGCGACUUAGGAAUUGGCCAGCUCAAAAUGGCCUCCACCUUGCUUGGAUCCAUUUUAAUUCUAUCUUUCGAUACAACAUAACCCAAAAAGACAAGGCUAUCAGUAAAGAACCUGCACUUUUUCAAGUUGACAUAAAGCUUUUGAUUUCUGAAAAUCUCAAAGACUUGGCGAAGAUGCUCUUAGUGUUGUUUUUCAUCUUGGCUAUACACAAGCAUGUCAUCAAAACACACAACAACAGAUCUACCAAUCAGAGGCUUAAAAACGUGAUUCAUCAGCCGCAUGAAAGUGCUUAGGGCAUUAGAUAGACCAAAUGGCAUAACCAUCCAUUCAUAAAGUCCAUCCCUUGUUUUGAAGGCCGUUUUCCAUUCGUCACCAGGCCUCAUUCUUAUUUGAUGAUAGCCACUUUGAAGAUCGAUCUUAGAAAAGAUUGUAGCACCAUAGAGCUGGUCUAGAAGAUUGUCAAGGCAUGGAAAAGGGAAACGAUAAUCAAUCGUUAUCUUAUUCACUACUCUGCUAUCAACACACAUACGCCAAGAUCCAUAUUUUUUUUGUACCAAUAAGGCAAGAACAGCACAAGGACUUUUGCUUUCUCUCACCAACCCUUUCCUUAAAAGCUCUUCAAUUUGCCUCUAUAAUUCUUCGUUCUCCUUUGGAUUCAUUCGAUAAGCCGCUUUAUUUGGUAGUACAUAACCCGAAAUAAGAUCAAUGCAAUGUUGAAUCUCCCUCAUGGGAGGAAGGCCAUGUGGUAAUUCUUCUAUAACAACAUCUGAGAAUUCUUCGAGAAAAUAUGUAACGACCUGCCCCAACCUCCAUAGGGCGAAUCUUACUGAUAGAUCCUUUUACAAUCCAUAAAAAUUAUAUCCUUGAAAAUACAAAUAUAAAACGCAAACUGUAGCGGAAGAAUUUAAAAUUCAUGCCAAACCAUCUAAUUCCUCCAUUCAAGUCCUUCUCGAUGCUCAUCACGAAUCAAUCCUGAUUUAUGGAAAUUGAAUCACAAUAAACUAUAAUGAGUAUGAAACUCAGUAAGUAAACUAGUUUUACAUGUACCAAAAUACAUAUAUACAUAUAUAUAGUGCAAAUGAAUGACGUGCCAUGGUAUUAGAAAACAUCUUAAAACAAAUCAUCGAAAUCUCAUUAUGUCUUUCUCAAACUUUCACAUUCUCUUUUAAACCACUUACUUGAGCUACCUUCAUUCGAUUACCGCUUAGUAGGACACUCUCUUAACUUUCAUAACUUUCAUAACUUUCAUACUCUUUGGGCUUCUCGCCAAUGCGUCCUUCGCCCACUUAUCUCAUAACUAUAUAAACAUCUAGAGUGUCCUCCACUAAGCCAGUAAUGAAUUCAAACAUCCAAGCUAAAACUAUAAAACCAUAUUUCUUUCUACAAAUUUCGUUUGCUAAAAUCAACUUUCUUAUUUUACAGAAAACAUAAUGCAUUUUCGUGCUCAUGCCAAUGAAAUAUUCACACAUACAUAUGCCCAUGUCUAUACACAUACACAUAACAACACAUCACAUAAACACAUGGGCAAAGCAUAUCAAUUCAUAUCCGUAUAUAUCAAAAUAUGUUUUUCAAACAUGUCAAAUAUAUAAUAUUGUUUAUUGUGAUUCGUUUGGAAACCUAGUUUACUUACCUCCUGGUAUCAUCGAGUAGCAAAUGCACAUCGAUAUUGGCCUAAAAAUAAAUAAAAAUACUCUCAUAAGAAUAAAAUUAAACCAUAAUCAUAAACUCCAAUAUUCUCAAAUUCCUCAAUAUAAUCACAUUCCAUACUUAACCUCAAAUAAUCUUAAUUUAAAUCAUAAAUUAUCAAAAUACUCAUAAUUCUUGAAAUUAUGAAAUUACCCUCAAAUAUCAAAAUUACUAAAUUAACCUCAAAAUCAUAAAUUACCAACUUUAUCCUCAAUUUCAGCAAUUAUUAAAAUACCCACAAAAUCUGAAAUUACAAAAUUAACCUUAGAUUAUGAAAUUACCGAAAUACCCUUGUCGGUCAACGGUCACCGAAGUUCAACUGACGGCGACGGGAAGCUCAGAACUGAAAGUUCAAGCCACGCUGAGUCUAACGGUGGCGGUGGUGACCUCCCACGCGCAGUGAUGGCUCCGGAUCGAGCUCCCAAAGCCGUGACUCCUUCAACGGCUGAUUAACGGCAAAACGACAUCCCUGGCGUCAGUGGUUAGCUGGAAAUGGCAAAGGGAAACAUAAGGAACAAAACCCAAGUGAUGGCUUCACCGGAAACCGGCGAAAUCACGGCGAAUCGAGGCGGCGAUUCCGCGGAACUUCAAAGCCUUGAUCGGUGGUUUUCAGAUCGAUUUCCGGCGGCAAGGACGGCAUGGAUACGUUGCUCGUCUCUCAAGCUUCAAAUCGAUACCAACCUUGUUCGAAAUGGUGGCCAGAAAUGGGAGAACCGAUCGGGUCGCGCUCGCAGGUCGGGUUGGAUCCGGUUCGGUUUCUCCUCUCUUUCUCUUCUCUUCUCUCUUUCUUUUCUCUCUCUCUCUCAAUUUAUAAGAGUGGUCAACAGGAUCAAAAUCGGGUGUGGGGUAUUACAAAAUACUUCAUAAUCAAAGGCUGCUCAUUGCUAUCUUCAUUUUCCUCAAACACCACCAACACGUAAACUUCACUACCCAUUUCCAAUUAUUUUUUACAAUUUGAAACAGUCAGCAACUUGUUUUCCACUCCUUUGAUAGGUUUAGAACUUUUCUCUACCUUUGAAGGACCCAAAAUGACUUUACUUCCAUCUUUAAUGAAAGUAUAAGUAUUCUUAUAACCAUCAUAAACAACCCUUCUAUCGUACUGCCAAGGAUGACCCAAAAGAAAAUGACAUGCAUCCAUAGGGACAACAUCGCACCAAACUUCAUCUUUAUAUUUAUUCCCAAUAGAAAAUGAAAUAAGGCAACGUGUGUUUACCUCAAUCUCAUUUCCCUUUUUAAGCCAAGCAAGUUUAUAAGGCUGAGGAUGCUGCUUCGUUUUGAGCUUCAACUUCUUCACCAUUUCAGUUGCUACCACAUUCUCAAAACUGCCACUAUCAAUAAUGACAUUACAUACAUUUCCAUGACAAGUGCAUUUGGUGUGAAAGAUAUUCUUUCUCAGCCAAUCUUCCUCAUCUUCACAAACAUACUCAAACUCUUUUGAAUAACUAGAGAGUUUCCAUUAUCAGCAUAUGUAACUUCUCUAUCUUUAACAUCCCUUUCAACACUAGGAUUCUCAUGAUCUUCCGCAUCCUCGUCAUCGCUUUUUUCUUCAAUAAGGGCAACCACCCUACAAUUAGGACACUCAGAAGCAAUGUUCCCAUAACCAUAACAUUUAAAACAUUGACGAGAACUAGCAUUCGAACCACUUGCUCGCUGUUUAGAUCCUUCCCCAAUAUCAUUCCUCGUAAUUUUCUUUGUAGUAGAAUUCGAACCAUAAUUAUGCUUAGAAACAGAGCCACUCCCUCGAUUGACAUCACGAACUGUGAACCGAAUACCCCCACCACGAGCAUCUUUUUGUUGCUUUUCCACCUUAAGAGCAAGUCUGCAUACAUCACUAUAAGUCCAACAUGGUUGGAGCUGGACCACAUUACCAAUCUCAGGUUUUAAACCACCCAGAUAGCGUGGGAUCGUAUGCUCUUCUGCCUAUACCAAAUCACACUUCAUCAUUAGGUUGUUGAACUCUGCUGUAUAAUCUUCCACUGACAAUUCCUUUUGCUUGAAGUUAUGGAACUUAAGGUAGAUAUCUUGCAUGUAGUUAUCGAGCAAAAACUUUCUCUUAAGCUCUUUUUUCAUUUUCUCCCAAGUAACAAUUUUCCUCCGUCUUUGUCGUUCCCUUUGUCUCUUAAGAUUUUCCCAUCAUAAAAAAGCAUACUUUUUAAGUUUAAUGGCAAUGAGUUUCACUUUGCGAUCUUCAGGCACAUCUCUGUAUUAAAAAAUGCGUUCAAUAGUAUUAAGCCAAUCAAUAAACUCUUCUGGUUGCAUUCUUCCUUCAAAUUCAGGAAUUUCGACCUUGAAGUCGAAAGGUUGAUAAGAAUUGCGACGCCUAUGAAUUCGAGAACGAGAAGAAGAUUCACUAUUGGAGCUUUGUUCCUGAUGGAAGGGAUUAUAAUCUACCCCAUCAUUGAUUGAGCCUUCUUCUUCCAAACUACCAUUAGGAGCAGCUUCUUGAGUUCCUUCAAGGUGUUGUAAUCAUUACUGAAGUUGUUCUACUUGUCUUCUAAGAUAAUCCCUUUCUAUAUCACCCAAGUCCCUCUCACGAAUAGGAGGCUCUGCAACUCUUGCAUUACGCCGACGUCGUUGAGCCAUAAAUUUUCAGAACCUAAAGCUCUGAUACCAAAUUUGACACCGGACACAAUAGAUGGGAAAAUACAACGUCACACCCCCAAGAAACCACAAGCUCACCACCACAGCAAACAACAAAAGGAUACAGAAAAAAAAUUCACCACCUAAAGUUGUUAAGCUAAGGAUACAUGGCUUAAAAUACUCACCACUCAAUGGAAUCCACCAAAGAGAUACAGAGUUUGAUAAUAACUCAAAGUUCAUCCAAUCCCCAAAAUUAAUCUCUAUCCUUUGGUUACAACUACAUAAGCUUAAAUAACUUUCUUGGAACAAUCCUCCAAGCAUAGAUAUACUACAAAGAAACCCUUCAAAUGACUUGACUUCAAAGACCAACAUUCAAGCUAGGCAUUAAUAGAACAUUGGUUUGCUCCAAAUUUAGAUUAGUAAAAUUCAUUGGAAAGCUAAUAGAAAUAUCUUUCCAAUGAUGUAUGGCUCGAAAAUUAAUUCGAUCUCAUGCAGUACAGUUUAAUUCCCAAAGAUGCCCCUUCUGCACAGAAAUUCUGCUCACUUGAUUAAUGUAAGAAUUUGAACUGCACUUGGUAUAACUUGAAUACCAAACAUUUCAAACACCCCUGUGUUAAGAUCCUGAUAAGGAAGUUGGGAAUUCAGACAGAAAAGAGCAUAACAAAUUGGGCUGAGGUUCAACAUGUUCAAAAUUUUUUGUUUCUUUGCUAAACUUUAUUUUUUUAAUUCAUAGGUUGGUUUUACGAUUUAUAAUAACGCAUGAUUCGGCUGGAUCUGUUUAUUCUUCUUUUAAUUUAUUUUUAUUUAAAUUCUAAAUUUUAAUUUUUUAAUAGAAAACUGAAAUGAUUUAAGUGAAAACGAAAUACGAAAGUGAACCAGACUAGUGGGUAAUUUAUUAUAACAGUCAUAAAUUUCUUUAAGAACACUGAUCCUUUUUGAGGUUUUCGAGUGAAAAACAGACUUGCAAACAUCCACAUUGUUGAUUCAUUGUUAUGUGGUGCAAAUUGCAACUUGAUUUGUUUAUAAUGAUUUUGCUUGCCCCAAUAUUGGCACACGUUCUUCUUCAUCUAACGUAUAACCUUGGCUUUGUUCAUAUGUAUCUAUAUUCUCAUCGACAAUUUUUUUUUGAAAGAAUUCUUUGGAAUAACUCUUCUGCAGCUUAAGGUACACAUGCCAUUUUGCAGAUGCCCUAUUGUUUUCUUAUGGAUGGUCUUUCUAAGGCUGGUCGUUUAGAUGAAGCAAGAGUAGUUUUUAAAAAAAUGCAGGAAAAAUGCGUUAAAUCUAGUAUGUUUCCCAUUUGAUAAGGGACCUUCUAGCAAGCUGUUAGUUUCAAAUAUUUAUUAUUAUUAUUUUUUCUCUUUACCUAAGAAACAAGAACAUUCUCAAAAAUUAAAUCAUUCAUUUGACCAUUGUUGACAAAUGCAGUGUUGUACAUGUCAUUUCAAUGCCAUGCCAAAAGAAUGGGGAUUGCUUUUGAAAUUAAGUUAAAUUUCUUUUUCCUUAAUCUCAAAGAAAAAUAAACUAUCUGAUUCUAGUUAUAAAGCUUUAUUUUCACCUUAAACACACAUUUGUUUUAGUUCUGUCUUUAAUUAUUUCUAAUGCCCCGAGAAAAUCUAACUUCUAUGUUUGUUGCACAUGCUAUGAACUCCCUAGUUGCCUUUUCCUAGAUUUAAAGGCUAGGGAGAAACAUUGUUAUUCCUAUAUUAGAGGUGAGUAGCCUAUAUAAUUUGAUUAGUUCACGUCUGUUUUACUUGAAUCAAGAAUAGAGUGGCCUAAUCUGAUCUCUGUCGUUGUUGGCAUUAUUUAUGCGUUGAAGAAUGCUGUAUUGAGGUAUAUUCAUUGUAUUUUGCUAAAUAAAUUUUGUUAGACUUGACUUGAAGUCUGAAAAAUACUUGCGAUGUUUUCUUACCUAAUAGCUUAAGCAUAUGGAUCAAUGGAUUUUACUAACGUGUGUUGCUCUAUCUCAAUUAAUUUUCAAAAGGAUAUCUCUUUCAAAUCAAGGUCCUUGCCUUAUGUCUUAAGCUUUUAGGUUAAGCACAAAUUUUGUUUCCCUCACGCAGAUGGCUAUGCCCAUAGUAUCAUGAUUUCAGCAUUCUGCCGAGGUGGGUGUUUUGAAGAGGCAAAGCAGCUGGCUAGGGAUUUUGAAGCCAAGUAUGACAAAUAUGAUGUUGUUCUGUUAAAUUCAAUGCUUUGUGCCUACUGCAGAACUGGUGAUAUGGAGAGUGUAAUACAUGUCAUGAGGAAAUUGGACGAAUUAGCAAUUAGUCCCGAUUACAAUACCUUUCACAUUCUAAUCAAAUAUUUCCGCAAGGAGAAGAUGUAUAUGCUUGCUUAUCGGACAAUGGUGGACAUGCAUAAGAAAGGCCACCAACCUGAGGAGGUACAUCACAUAAAUUUAUUACUCCUUGUCAAGGAUUUACUCUAGUCCCUUGUAAUUCUAGAGGCCUUCGUUACUACUGUGAUUUUAGAUAAUAAAAGUGGUCAUAAACAAAUGAACUUUCACUUUGGGACUGCAACGCGAAAGACUUAUCACAUAUAUGCUGUUUUGCAGGAACUCUGCUCCUCCCUAAUUUUUCAUCUUGGUAAAAUGAGAGCACACUCAGAAGCUCUCUGUUUACAACAUGUUAAAGAUAUAGCAAAAGAUCGAUGUGCAAUGCCCUUCAUGAGAAAAUUCUUCAUAUUUUAAUAUCCGAAAAGCUCCUCAAAGAUGCUUAUGUAGUAGUUAAGGUCUGCUAUAUUGUCUUACCAUUUUAGAUCGAUUCUUCAACUAUCCUUUAUAUGCUUUUCAACCUAAAUUACUCUUUUUUCAGGACAAUUCGUAGUCAAUUUAUCAUCCUGCUAUUAAGAAGUUUGCAUCUGCAUUUGUGAGGUUAGGAAAUAUUAACUUGGUUAAUGAUGUAAUGAAGGCAAUCCACGCAACUGGCUACAUGAUUGAUCAAGUAAGCAAUCAAGGAUUUGUAAAGCAAACACAAGCUCGCAUGCGCGUACGAGCGCGCACAUACACACACACGAGUAAAAGUAAUAAUUUAGAAAUAGCAUGAUAUAUAGCAGAACGUGAGAAGAAGGAAUUGCUGCACAAGUUGCUAGAAUGGAUGACGGGUCAAGGUUAUGUUGUUGAUUCUGUUGUGCGCAGAAUGCGAAAUCAAGCGCACUAAAUAAUUACUGAAAAAUAAAGGACACAAAAUUUACAUAGUUCGGUAAUUAAACCUACAUCCACGGAGGCAAGAAAGAAUAAUUGUUUAUUUAACAAUUAAUAGAGUAACGAAUCUCACUUCCCAUAAACCCAAAUAUACCCAAUACUCUCACACUCUGCAGGAAAGAUAAAUUCCCAAGACACACUUCUCUCACUCUCUCAAAAGCUUAAAAACUUAUAAGCUUAACAAUUUUGGGAUGUUAAACAAAUGAAGAAUGCUUAGCUAUUUAUAGGAAAAAUGUUGACACUAUUCAUGAAACAAAUAUCAAGAAAAAAACCGCAUUUCAAACGCGUCCAAACCGUGUCCACACCGCGUGCAAACCGCGUUCAAACCGUGUGCAAUGAGUGUUGCCACCACAUGGAUUUGACUUGACUUUUCAACAAAUCUCCACCUCGGCGAAAAUUUAUCCAAAUCUGAGCCGAUUGACAAUGAUCCUCCAAACUUCAUCCCUCACAUGAUCCUCAAAAGGAUCCACAUUGGUUGCAUCUAUCCGACUGCCUACGUACCCAAAGGUUGGGAUCAAGCCUGCCGUAGUUCCUGUUUCCCAAGGAAACGCCUCAACAUAAUCGAAGGAUCUGAAUUAAUUUCAAGCAAUGUUGAAACUUAAUUCCUGAAAUCACCUUUGUCAACAUGUCUGAUGGGUUAUCUCUAAUAUUGAUCUUUUUUAAUAACACAUCACUGCUCUCGAUAAUCUCCCUUACACAAUGAUAUUUCACAUCUAUGUGCUUCGUCCGAGAAUGAUACGUCUGAUUCUUUGCAAGGAAUAUCACACUUUGAUUAUCACAAAAGACCUUAAUGUUCUUUUGGAUAUUUCCAAAAUCACCCAACAAGCCUCUCAACCAUAUAGCCUCCUUGACAGCCUCAGUUAUUGCCAUAUACUCUGCUUCCGUAGAGGACAGAGCAAUUGUUGAUUGUAAAAUCGACCUCCACCCAAUGUAAAUACGUAGCCCGUUGUUGAUCUUCGCUUGUCAAGGUCUCCAGCGAAAUCAGAAUCACAAUACCCAACAAAUUGUUGACUACAAUCCUUCUUAAACAAUAACCCAAUAUUAACUGUCCCAUAUAGAUAUUAGAGAAUCUACUUUACUACAAGCCAGUGAUUUUUACCCGGAUUGUGUAUGUAUCUACUAACCAUGCUCACUGCUUGAGAUAUAUCAUGCCUUGUGCAUACCAUAGCAUACAUAAGACUACCCACAACACUAGCAUAUGGAAUACGAGCCAUGUAAUCACGCUCCUCUUGAGAUGUAGGACAUGAAGAAAAACUUGAUUUGAAAUGAGGAGUUAGAGGUGUGCAUACCAGUUUAGUUUUGUCAUCUAUAUCGAAUUUUUCUAGCACUUUCGUCAAAUAAGACUUUUGAGUCAACCAUACGCUCCCAUUCUUCUUGUCUCUAUGAAUCUCUAUCCCAAGUAUUCUCUGUGCAUCACCCAAGUCUUUUAUCUCGAACUCAUAAUCGAGCUGCUUCUUUAAUCUUUCGAUCUCAUCUCUAUUCUUCGAAGCUAUAAGCAUAUUAUCGACAUAGAGUAACAAAUAGAUGAAAGUUCCAUCUGGUAGUCUUCUAAAGUAAACACAAUGAUUGUGUUCACUUCUGGUGAAUUUAUGCCCUUAUAUAAAUUGAUCAAAUCUUUUGUACCACUGCCUUGGCGAUUGCUUCAGUCCGUACAAAGAUUUAAUCAACCUAAACACAUGAUUCUCCUUUCCAGCAACUCUGAAACCACAAGGCUGAAUCAUAUAGAUUUCCUCCUCCAAAUCUCCAUGUAAGAACUCGUCUUAACAUCCAAUUGAGCCAACUCUAACUCAUAUUCUACAACUAAGGCAAGUAUGAUACGAAUGGAAGUAUGUUUUACAACUGGAGAGAAACUUCAUUGUAGUCAAUACCUUAUGUUUGAGCAAAACCUUUUGCCAUGAGCCUUGCCUUGUAUCGAGGAAUUGUUUAAUUCGGAGAUCUUUGCUUUUUAGUGUAGACCCAUUUAUUGCCAAUAGCCCUUUUCCCUUUUGGUAACUUUAUAAGUUCCCAAGUUUGGUUUUAAUGGAGAGAUUUCAUCUCUUUCUCCAUGGCUAACUUCCACUGAUCACUUUCACUGCUGCAUAAUGCUUCACCGAAAGUGUUGGGGAUAUCAUCAUCAAUAACUGGAAGUGCAUAGGCUACCACCAUAUCUUUAGUAAGCCAUCAGGGUUUCUUUAUCUCUCUUCUUAGUCUCCUUGUUGCUAUAAAAUCAUCAUUAUCUACAUUAUCAAUUGUUUCUUCAUUUUGUGGGACAUCAGAAGAAAUAACCUCUUCUUCAACUCUAUGUGUCACCUACAUAGUUGAACCCUUCUUUGAUGUAGAACUAACUGGUACAUAUAGAGUUGUAUUAAACUCCACCCGCUGCAAUACCUCUUUCGUCUUGUUCUCCACCUGCUAAGAACUUGAAGCUUCAUCAAAUGUGACAUCUCUGCUACACACAAACUUUUUGUCUUCGAGAUCCCAAAGCUUGAAGUUCUUUACUCCACAUUUGAAUCCCACAAAGAUAACUUUUCUAGCACGAGGAUCCAGUUUACCAUCUUUGACAUGAUAAUAAGCUGGACACCCGAAUAUACGAAGGGAAUCAUAGUCUUGUGCAGGCUUUCCAGACCACAUUUUCAUAGGAGUUUCACCUCCAAUUGUAACAGAAGGCAACCGGUUUACCAAGUGACUUGCGUAGCUCAUAGCUUCAGCCCAAAACUUUUUAUUUAAACUAGUAUUAGAUAACAUACACCAUACUUUCUCCAGUAAAGUACAAUUCAUACGCUCAGCCACACCGUUCUGUGGCAGAGUAUGUCUCACCGUGAAAUGUCUUUUAAUACCCUCGUUCUGGCAUACUUGCAAGAAUGGAUCAGAAGUAUAUUCACCCCCAUUAUCAGAUCGUAAUACUUUGAUCUUUCUGCCAGUUUGAGUCUUGACCAAUUUCUUCCAUUUCACGAAAAUCUCUAGAACCUUAUCCUUUGCUCGCAUGGUGUACACCCGCACACGUCUAGAGAAAUCAUCAACAAAUGUAACAAAAUAAUGGCUUCCACCAAUUGAUCCAGUCUUGGUUGGUCCCUAUACAUCACUAUGAACAUAUUCAAGGAUCUCACGAGUAUCGUGAUUAGCUGUACCAAACUUGACCCUUGUUUUCUUGCUUACUACACAAUGCUCACAGAAAUUUAAUUUAUAGGUUUUGGUACAUUUUAAGAGUCCAUGUCUCAUCAAAGUUUGUAAAGACUUCUCUCCAACAUGUCACAGUCGUACAUGCCAUAGCGUGGUGGUGUCACUGUGCGCCUCAACAGUUGUCCCAACAUUUACUUUAUCAGUUGUACCUCCCUUCAAAUAGUAUAGAUUGUAACGCCGAACCCCUUGCAGAAUCACCAUAGUCCCAUGUGUAAACUUCAUUAUGCCAUCUUCAAUGGUAACCUUGUAGCCUUUAGCUUCCAAAGCACCCACAUAAAUUAGAUUUUUCUUUAAAGUUGGAACAAAUCUAACCUCUUUGAGUUCUCUGACCAUUCUAUCAAACAUUUUGAUCCGAAUUAUUCCUAUCCCCAUUGUGCGACAAGGUUGAUCAUUCCCCAUCACAACUGCACCAGAUUCCAGAUUACGAUAAUCUAUAAACCAUUCCUUAAUAGGACACAAAUGAUAGGUUGCUCCAGUAUCAAGUAUCCACUUGCUCGAACUAGCCACGUAUGCUGCAGGAGUAAUACUUAGUGAAUAAUCAGAGCCCUCAUCUUUCCGUGCCAUGUUUGCUGCUGCUGGUUUCUUCCCAUCUCUCUUUUGAGCCUUUGGACAAUCUUUCCUCCAAUGGCCCUUUUCAUGACAAAAGGCACACUCGUCUCGAGCUAUAUUUCUGCUUCUCGAUUUGGAUCGAGAAUUCUUUCCACCACGCUUCUUCUGUUUCUCCAUCGCCCAAUCUCUACUCACCAAGACUUCAGACGAUGCUCGUUCAGAAUUUUUAUCAUUAUUCCGAAUCUUUAAGCUAGUCAAUGUUGUGCAAACAUUUUUAAAGACGAUCACACUCUUUCCAUAUAUCAAAGUAGUCACAAAAUGGCUAUAUUCCUCUCGUAGUAAGUGUAACAGAAUCAUAACCUUGACUUCGUCCUUAAUAUCUUCAUCAAGAUUCUUCAAAUCAGCAAGUAACUUUUCAAAUCUUGAGACAUGAUCGUGCAUUGACACCCCAGGCUUUAUUCGAAAGCCAUAUACUUGGCUCAUUCCAUGAACACGAUUUUCACAACUUUUCAGCAGCUACAUCUCCUCCAAUGUACGCCACAAAGUCACCGCACACUCCCCAUCUUUCACCAAGUAUUGCACCUCCUUAGUCAAACAAGAUCUGAUCUGACCACAAGCUUUCUCGUUCAUACAAUCCCAAAUUUCUUCAUCAUACAAAUGUCUUUUAUUUUUCAGAACAACAUCGAGAUCGAUUUAAAUAAGGGCAUCCAUAACUUCGCGCCUCCACAUGCCAAAGUUGAUUUUCCCAUCAAACUUUUCAACAUCGAUCUUUUGACCUCCUAUAACAGGUGCUGCAUAGCGAUUUGACAAAUCUCGCCUCGCACCUGAAGUGUCUUCUAAAAUAGUCUCGGUAGAUCUCUGAUUGACACUAAAAAGUGUACAUUUAAUAAGAAUAAAAUUAUUAGUUUUUCACUUAUUGUGUCGAUUAAUGCGUUCAUUAUUUUUAAACUAUUUUAAUACUCCCCAAAUAUAUUUUAUGUUAAAUUAAUUCGUAAUUUGUUAAUUUUUAUCUUGUAAAUAUUUUUCAGGAAUAAAGAUGGAAUUGUAAUUGAAAGCGGGAACAAAAAAGAACUACUGGAACAAAAUUGAAGAGAUGUAAUAAUAAAUAAUAAAUAAAUAAAAAGAACAAAAGAACAAAAACGUUUUGGUGAUGGUCAGGAGGCCAUUACGCCUCCUGACCAUCACACAUUUCAACACACUUAUAUAUUUUAAAAUAAUAAUAAAAUAAUAAAUAAGUAAUAAAAUAAAAUAAAAGUUAAAGGCAAUUGUUGCCUAUAAAAAGGGGACGCGAGGGAGAAGUUGGGGCGGAUUUUUUCAAAAGUAGAGAGAGCUAAUUUGAGAGCUGAAGCCGAGACUGAAGAUUUUCUUUCUUUCUUUUCUUUUCUUAUUUCCAUUUGUAUCAAUUUUCUUUGUAAUAUGUUUCAAAAAGUUUAUCAAAUAAAAAGAGUGUUGUGUUUUCUUUCAAAAUGAGCAGCUAAUUUUAUUAAGCUGAGGUGAAAGGUGAAGCUCAAUGUUUUAAACUAUUAAGUAUUAUUUUCUCAAAUGAGUUUUUAAAGUUUAUUUAAUUCUUUUCUAAUUAUUUUUAUGUCAUGUUAAUUUAUAAAUCUCACUGGAUUUUAUGUUAUUUUGACAUAAUAUCGACACAUUAAUAUAAUGUGGCACAUUAGGUAUUUUAUUCUAUAUUUAUCCACACACAUAGAAUUAAAUGAUAUAAUAAUUAAUUAGUAAAAGUGAGGCAAAAUAUAAAUGAGAGAGUAUUAAAAUUAUAGUUUGAAUACAGAGAGUGGAUCCUAAACCUUAGCUUAUUUUUAAAUCAAUUUCAAAUAAUUUCUUUGCCCCGCAAUUAAUUUUCUUAGUUUUACUAGAUUUAAAACUCUAUGUAGUUCGACCCCGUUCUCACCGGGUUAUAUUAUAACUAGACACUCUUAUACUUGAGAGUAAUACACUUUUGAGUCGUGUCAAUCUCUCCCCAAUUCUGGAAGUUUUACCUUCUACCAUUUUCUCAACAAAUUAUUUCCACUUGAAAAAUAACCUCUAUGAUGUUAAUUUCGCGUGAAUAAAUGCACGAGGAAAGUUCUCAGGAAACUAGACGGGAACUUGGUCCCAAUUAAAAACCAGAAUCCUUAGACUCUUAUCGCCUUUUUUGACAGAACUUUCCUAGACAUGCAAAAAUACACACUACUUACAAUAGAUUGUCUUUCAAGUACAAAUGGCCGUCUCCACCGUAUUCGUGAACAGUACCGUAUGUGAAUAGUGCCGUAUACGUGAACAGUACCGUAUCCCCCAAGUACGAACCUAGCUCUGAUACCACUUGUUGUGCGCGGAAUGCGGAAUCAAGCGCACCAAAUAAUUACUGAAAAAUAAAGGACACAAAAUUUACGUGGUUCGGUAAUUAAACCUACAUCCACGGAGACAAGAAAGAAUAAUUGUUUAUUUAACAAUUAAUAGAGUACAAAUAUUUGAGUAACGAAUCUCACUUCCCAGAAACCCAAAUAUACCAAGUACUCUCACAUUUUGCAGGAAAGAUAAAUUCCCAAGAAACACUUUUCUCACUUCUCUCAAAAGCUUAGAAACUUAUAAGCUUAACAAUUUUGGGAUGCUAAACAAAUGAAAAAUGUUUAGCUAUUUAUAGGAAAAAUGUUGGCACUAUUCAUGAAACAAAUAUCAAGAAAAAAACCGCAUUUCCAACGCGUCCACACCGCGUUCAAACCGUGUGCAAUGAGUGUUGCCACCACAUGGAUUUGACUUGACUUUUCAACAGAUUCAUCAACAAGAAACCUGAUACUCAAAAACUCACACUUAUUCGGGCGGCAGCUCAUCGCUGAUAUACUGUCCAAGCAACAUAUGAAGUCAAAAUCGUCAAGAACUCUGAAAGAAUGAGCAAUUUGAUAUUAAUUAAUGCUCGAGUUCUAGAUAAAGAAAUGAAUAUGGCUUACGUUUUACCCUAUCAUGCUAUAAGCUAGCAUGUCUCUGUUAUGUGUUAAAAGUUAAAACUCUAAUAUUUUACUACAUAGAGCGGUUAAUCAAAAGAUAAAAGAAAAAGGGGGGGGGGGGGGUGUUGUUGGAAAAGAAAGAAAUCAGACAGGGAUUAAAAAGAUCUAGCAUUGAAGGUGAUGAAAUCCUACUAUACUUGGAAAUUAUGAAUUUACCCUUCAUCUUCAAGCUCCCAAGGCCUGCAACUUAGGUCUUUAACUUGCAAAAGACAGUUUAUUGCUACGCGCAAGUUAGCAUUUGGUUCAUGAGAAAAUUUGUCAAUAAAGUGUAAUGAAGCUGUACCAGAGUUGUAGCAAGAAUGUUUCUCUAGAGACCUACUUAUCGUCUUCUCUUUCUCUCCUUGGAUGGGAGAGUGUUUGGAUUCACUUAUUUUUUUUAAUUUUUUUUUUAUUUUUCUGGUAGAGUCGCUUGGAUCCCUUUAUUAAUAUCCUAAAUCUGGAUUUAUGGUCCCAAUUAGUUUGACACUUUUAUUUGUAACUGCCAUAUCAAGUAAGUUAUUAAUCAUUACAGAGAAAAUUGAAGCACUGAGAUCCCUAGUUUUAAUAUUCUAAUUAUAGUUGUUGCUAAGAUUACUAUCGCUAGCUUGCAAUUAAUUCAGCUUAAGUUGUCGAUUUCCUACAAGCAAAAAAGAUGGUCAUUGAGCGUCCUUGUAAGGACACUGACACCUCUGUAAAGGAACUUGGAGACCCUCAUAUUUUCUAAAAAAGGAUACAGACCUCUUUUUGGACAUACAAAAAAAAGUUUUUUUAGACAAACUACAGACCUCUUUUUGGACAUACAGAAAAGUUUUUUUAGACAAACUUUGGGGUUCAAUGUGAGACGAUGAUUGUAUUUGAACACAAAAGAUAUUUAAAAAAGUACGUCCCGAAUAAUUGCUAUUUGUGGAGGCUCAUUUUCAAGAAAUUGUUAGAAGUUUUAGGAAAGGACGAAAUCUCUAGUCGUAAGAGAGCAUUGCCAUUUAUGGAUCAAUGUCCAAAUGAAUUUAGAGGUUCACCUCAGAAGGCUUUUAUAAUUUCAGUAUUUAUUUUAUAAUUUAUUGAUUUCAUCAAUCAUUCUAGGAAUUCCAGGCUGAGUCGCAAAUGUAGUCUCAAUCAUGUGACGGUGUCAUGAAAACUUUUAUUCUUUUUCUAUAAUUGGGAGGAGAUAUUUUUUCUCUCCAACAAGACUCGUGAUAAUAAAGAUACCAAAAUGUACAUUAUUAGUCAAAUGUAUUUCUAUUAUUGAUCAAUAUAAGGAUCAAUAAGAGAGGAAAAACUGUGGUGCAACUGUGGUACCGUGCCACAGUUACACUCAGCCAUUGGAUUCUAAUGGACCCCACUUAUCCAAAUGGAUCUAACGACUGGAUACAAUUGUGACACGGUACCACAAUUGCACCGUAGCCAGACCCCAAUAAAAGAUGUUUUACUUGAAUUAGAAGAAAUUAGUGAAGAUUCUAAAAUAAAGAGAGAAGUUAAGUGCUUAGCAACAUAUGAAUUAAAAGAUUUUGAAUUCAUAUUAGAUGUGAUUAUUUAGUACGAUAUUAUUUGCUGUUAACUCUGUAAGAUCGAUCUUGCAAAAAGAAGAUACGCAUAUUGAUAUUGCUAGAGAUAAGUUUAAAGGUCUUUUUUCCUUCUUCGAAAGAAAAUAGAGAAAAUGGGUCCAUGUCUGCUAUGAUUUGAGCUAAAGAAAUUGCAAGUUAAAUGGAAAUAGAACCUAAAUUUCAUGAAAAAUGUAUAGCUCGUAGUAAAAGAACAAAUUUGGUGAAAAUAUUAGUGAAGAGGAAAUUUUGCCUCUCAAAGAGUCUUUUAGAAUUAAUUAUUUUAUAUACAUAAUAGAUCAAGCCAUCUCUUCAAUAAUAAUAUAUUUGAAUAAUUUCAAAUUUAUGAUAAUUUAUUUGGGUUUUUGUAUAAUUUCAAAAAAUUACAACUGUUAAGUGACUAUAUUUUAAAAACUUAUUGUUUUAAUCUUGAAAAUACUUUAAAACAUGAUACGCUUUUUGAUAUAGAUAGUUUAAAUUUGUUUUGAGAGUUGAGAAUUUUAAACAAGUUUUUCAAGGUGAAAAAAUACUGCUUAAUUAUUUAAAAAAAUUUGAUUCUUUUCCAAAUGCAUAUAUUACUUAGAGAAAAUUAUUAACAAUACUAGUAAGAAUUGCUUCUGUAGAAAGAAAUUUUUCAAAAUUAAAAUUGAUAAAAACUUAUUUAAGAUUAACAAUGAUACAAGAAGAUUAAAUGGACUAACUAUAUUGUUUAUUGAGAAAAAUAUAUUAGCAAAAUUAGAAUAUAAAAAUUUGAUCAAUAUUUUUGCAUCUCAAAAAAUUAGAAAAUUUGAGUAAAAUUAAUACAUGUAUUUAACCUUAAUUUUUUUUUGAAAAGUCUAAUUGAAAUAAUUCCCCUAAAAACCCAUAAUUGAUUGAGCCGUUACUGUCUACAAGACUCUAAAAAUAAAGAUACCAAAAUGUACAUUGUUAGUCACAUGUAUUUCUAUUAUUUUUAUUUUUCAUUAAACUUCUGAAGUUGUGAUUUGAUGGUUGAUAAUUUACUUCAUCUUGUGUCAAAAAAGAGAGGCUCCCCGAACAAGCCCACACCAACUAGUCUAAUUUUGUAAGCGCAUGUGAUUAUGAAUUGCUCAUUGAUGUUGUAUGUUAUCACUGUGUCAAAAAGGAGAGGCUUUGACUCCCUGACAGGCCAAUACCGACUAGACUAAGGGUGCGUUUGGGAUUGAAGUUGGGCAGCUGUAACUUUUAAACUACAACACUAAAGUGUUUGGUAAACACUAACUGCUGUAGUUUGAAAGUUAUAUUAAUAUAAUUUUUCACUUGUAUAAUAGAAAAUCUAUUAUAUCUUUAAUAAUUUUGUCAAAAUUAUUAAUUAAAAUUUAUAUUUAUUACAUAUUAUUAAUUUUUAUUUCAUAGUCACAACUUUUUUUUCACAGCAGCUGUAGCUUAAAAGUUACAGCACCUCAAUCCCAAACGCACCCUAAUUUUUCAUAUGCAUGUGGCUCAUGCACCGCACUACAGUGUAAUGCAGCAAAAUUAAAAGGAAAAAAAUGAAAUAUGUUGUCUCUUUUUUAUGAGAAAUUCUAGCAUAUGUGUAUUUAAAUUUUAUAUAACCACUAAUUAUAUAUCAGUUCUUUCAAAUAAAUGUACUUAUAUUAUAUAAUUAUUUAUUUAUUAUAUAAAUGACAUAAUAUCUUAAAGGUAUUUUAAAAUUUCUUUUCUAUCCUUCUUGUCAUUUUCGACUAUUAUUCAAUGCGGUGGCAUUUUACAAGCUGAUAUGGUGCCUCACAAAACUCUUUUGUUUUGAGUUUGAUGAUCCUUAGGAAAUGGCACAAAUAUCUCUUCUAAUGGUAUUUUAUAGGCUGUUGAUGAAAAGUAGCAUGUGUUUUGGAAGACUAAUGGUAUUUGCAUUUUGUUUGCAAAUUCUAAUAAAGUCGGGCUACACAGGAUUUUUGAAUAAAAGCUUGUUUAAUCUCUACAUUUUGGGGUUAAUGUCUUUUUAGUCACUAUAUUUUUAGAAGCAUCUCAAAACAUCCCUAUUAUUAAAUUAUUGACAUCUUGCCAUUAUUUUUGUUCCUUUUCGCUUGCUUUUAUAUACUACCCUCUUACAAUAAUAUUUAUUUUUUGGAUAUUAAUAAAAAGAAAAAAAUAAAUUACCUAUUUAAUCCUAAAAAAUUAAUGUUGAAUACUCUACUGAGGAGUUACUAUAUUAAUUUUUUUUAUUAAUGUCCAAAAAAAUUGGUAAUUUAUUUUUUUAAAUAUUAAUUUUUUUGACAUACAUGAGCUUCCAGAAAAAUUAAUAUAUAUAUUUUAUUUUUAGGGUUAAAUUGAUAAUUUAAUUUUUUUUUUUAUUAAUGUUAAAAAUUUUUGAAAUUUAUUAAUUUGUUUUCCGCAAAAGUACUUUAUAACUGUAACAAAUAGAAUUUCGUUGUUAGUCCUCAACAUUAAGAUAUUGUUUGCAACUUUCUGUUCCUUUUUUUUCUUUAAACUUACUUUGUGUGAUCUUAUUUCUGCAUAAAACAAGAUUUUAAUGUAAUAAAUAGAACUUUUAUUGGUAGAAUUGAAUUUAUGAAUUUCUUGUCAUUUCUGUGUGCAUUUAUUGUGUAGUUUAUGGAAAGACUCUUUAAAAAAUUUGUAUGCAGGAAAAAAAGAAAAAGAAAAAUAAAUAAAGAUUAUACAACAUUCAUCCGAAUGUGCGGAUGAUGUAUGUGUCUUCUGUCACAAUAUUGACCUCGUUCGCACAGUAUGAUGUACGCCUUCCACCCCCCCUCCCCCCCCCCUCCCCCCCCCCCCAUGUGAAUAAAAUACUUUGUACGAUUAAGACUUAAAAAUUAAACGCUUUCAAAACUCAGAAAAAAAUGAGUAAGAAAAAUAAAUCACAUGAACUUCUCUGCCUAUAUAUAUGUAUAUGUAUAUAUAUAUAUAACCUCGGGCAUCACCACAAACCAUAGAAUAAUUUGAGAAUCUUUGCCAAGCAUAACUGUAAGCUAGCUUACAGUACAUCUUAAUAUCCAAUGUCUUCUUGCAUUAAUCCCCCAACCUUGGUUACCUCUGUAAAUGGUUUCAAAUGUCUUCCUCUUGCAACAAAUAGAGCAGCCGUCAGAAUCAUGGCCAAAAAUAAGCCAGUCCAAUGCCUUGUCCGCGCCAAAUAUGACAAUUUGACAGUUGAUAGGAGAUCAGCAAACUACCAACCUUCAAUUUGGGACCAUGAUUUUUUGCAGUCAUUGAAUAGCAACUAUACGGUAUUCUUAUUAUAAUUGUUAUUAUUACGUAUUAAUUUCCUUUGUUCAUUUCAAAUUGGCACCAUGAAUAGCUAAAAACUAAAUGCUGUGCGUGUACAGGAUGAAUCAUACAAAAGACGAGCAGAAGAGCUGAAGGGAAAAGUAAUGAUAACGAUUAAGGAUGUAACCGAGCCUCUGGAUCAGUUGGAGCUGAUUGAUAACUUGCAAAGACUUGGAUUGGCUCAUCGUUUUGAGACUCAGAUUAGGAACAUAUUGAAUAAUAGCUACAACAAUAAUUAAGAUUAUAAUUGGAGAAAAGAAAAUCUGUAUGCAACCUCCCUUGAAUUCAGACUACUUAGACAACAUGGCUAUCCUGUUUCUCAAGGUACAUUUCAUUAAUUCGCUUCCUUCUUCAUGCACAUGCAUGAUCUGAAUACUUGAAUCGAUCUCUCUGUUUUUCUUUCUUUUUUUUGAUAAUGUAAAGAAAUGGACGAAACCCAAAUCAGUUUUAUAUCUCUCUAUGUCCUGAGAAUUCGAACUCGACAAGGGCGCCGCUGGGGAUACUUCAAUCGUUCUCUAAUUAAUAUAUGGAUAAAAAUUUUUGACGAAUGUAACGUUUUUUGGUUGAGUGCUGCAGAGGUUUUCAAUGGUUUUAAAGACGACCAGGGAGGCUUCAUUUGUGAUGAUUUCAAGGGAAAACUGGGCUUGCAUGAAGCCUCGUAUUACAGCUUAGAAGGAGAAAGCAUCAUGGAGGAGGCCUGGCAAUUUGCCAGUAAACAUCUUAAAGAAGUGAUGAUCAGCAAGAGCAAGGAAAAGCAUGUAUUUGUAGCAGAACACGCAAAGCGUGCACUGGAGCUCCCUCUGCAUUGGAAAGUGCCAAUGUUAGAGGCAAGGUGGUUCAUACACGUUUAUGAGAAAAGAGAGGACAAGAACCACCUUUUACUUGAGCUCGCUAAGUUGGAGUAUAACACUUUGCAGGCAAUUUACCAGGAAGAACUUAAAGACAUUUCAGGUAUCCAUUUGAUUGCAUAAAUUAUUCUUAGGUGCAGACUCCACCUUUUACAGUAAAGGCAUGAGUUUGCACUAUAUAUAGUGCAGGCAUUUGCACCAGAAAAUGACUCCAAGAAAUCUCAGGUCAGAGGAUGACUCUAUAUAUAAACAUAUUGUAAAGCCACGAGUCAUGCGCUUUGUAAAGUGCGUAUGUCUGCAUUAAAGAAAGACUCUUCAGAAUUAAGAGCUGACUCCAUGUAUAUCGAUAAAUAUAUAAUAUGUGCCGGAAUAUUCGUUUUAGUUUUCCUAUGAAGGUGGUGGAAGGAUACAGGCCUUCAAGAGAAAUUGAGCUUCGCGAGGGACAGCUUGGUAGCAUCUUUCUUAUGGAGCAUGGGGAUAGGGUCUGAGGCUCGAUUCGCCUAUUGCAGGAGAAUAGUUACAAUUGCAAUAGCUCUAAUUACAGUGAUUGAUGACAUUUAUGAUGUUUAUGGAACUUUGGACGAACUUGAGCUAUUCACUGCCGCUGUUGAGAUGUUUGUUGGCAAACUAAUGUUAUAUCUAAUCGAUUAAUUCAAUUGCUACUCAAAUUAGUAGACCAUUUAUAAGAUUUUUUUUUCUCUUUUCUACAGGUGGGACAUCAAUUAUGCUUUGAACCACCUUCCGGACUACAUGAAAUUGUGUUUUUUUGCGCUUUACAACUUUGUUAAUGAAUUUGCUUAUUACGUACUCAAACAACAGGAUUUUGAUAUGCUUCGGAGUAUUAAAAAUUCAGUAUGUAAAAUGUUAAUUUCACCUCUCCCGCCGUUCCGUUCCUUUGAUUUAUCCUUUUUAAAUUACGAUGUUUUUGUCUAAAAAAUAAUAAAUUGUAACUAGCUUUAUUUUCUAUGUCAUGUGCAUCAGUGGCUUGGCUUAAUUCAAGCCUACUUAGUGGAGGCAAAAUGGUACCAUAGUAAGUACACACCAACACUGGGAGAAUUCUUGGAAAAUGGAUUGGUAUCAAUAGCAGGCCCUAUAGUAACAAUGAGUGCGUACCUUUCUGGUACAAAUCCAAUCAUUCAGAAGGAACUAGAAUUUCUAGAAAGCAAUCCAGAUUUAGUUCACUGGUCGUGCAAGAUUUUUCGUCUUCAAGACGAUUUGGGAACUUCAACGGUAUGUUUUCUUUUAUUUUCUUUUGAUUCUUAAGAAGAUAGAAAUUGAAUUAAUCCUCUAUAUACGAAUUGAUUGUGUAUUUUUUUUCCCCAAUAAUUCAUCAGGAUGAGAUACAGAGAGGGGAUGUUCCGAAAUCAAUCCAGUGUUACAUGCAUGAAACUGGUGCCUCGGAGGAAGUUGCUCGUAAACACAUCAAGGAUAUGACGAGACAGAUGUGGAAGAAGGUGAAUGCAUACAGAGCUGAUAAAGAUUCUCCCUUAUCUCAAAAUACAGUUGACUUCAUGUUGAAUCUUGUGAGAAUGUCCCAUUUUAUGUAUCUACGUGGAGAUGGGCACGGUGCUCAAAACCAAGAGACUAUGGAUGUAGCUUCUACAUGGCUUUUUCAGCCCAUUCCCUUGGAGGAGAAACACAUGGCUUUCACAGCACCAAAGGCUGAUGAAUUCCUAGAGUGCAGUCUCAGUUGAUGUUGGCCAGACUUUUCUUUCUAUUGGGGGAUCGCUUUUCUAUAAUAUAAUAAACUCCCCCAUUCAUCGAGGCCUAUAAAUGAAAAGAAAAUGAUAUUUAUAUAUGUUGCUUUUAUUGAGAAUAAAAGUCUUCAGUAUAUGCAUAUACUUAAGUCAGGCUCAUUCCAAUUCCUACAAGAUAAUUAUUUGCUAGCUAAAACAUGAGGAUGGAUGAAUUUGUUAAGUCUGCAGUUAUACUCGAUCAUUCAAGCAUGGUUCAUAGCAUGUUAAGCACAAGGGCUACUUUCAGUAUACAUGCAUCACCCAUUUAAAUCGCAUUUGACAAAUCAUACCGAUUUAAAUUAAAUGAGGAUAGAAAUUAGAGCUGUGGCAUUUAAAGAAAAAAGUUACAAGGAUCAAAAAGUAAAUAUAACAAAAAAAUGAGUUCCUAAUUAUUGGGUUAGCUUAGAGACAGGAGCGCCUAAUUAUUGGAUUAGUCCAUUUUAAUUAUCUUCUAUUAUCAUAUUCAUUUCUAGAAACAAAUAUCCAACAAUGUCGUUUGUGUUUAUAAAAUAUGAGCGCAGAGACUUGGGUUCAAUCUUUCUAGCCCUCUCAAAACUUCGCCUUUAGCUACACAUAAGUUAGGACUUAAAUCAAAAUUCAAAUAUUGAAAUCUUUAUUUUUAUUUUUAUUUCAUUAUUUGUUUUAUGCCAAUAAGAAAAAUACAAAUAAUUUCUUUUCAUGGGCCCGACAGUUGACUCUGUUGUACUGGAAAUUUACAAAGCAAUGAGGUUGAUUGUGACUGCUGCCAGUUAACCGAAGUCGAAAAGCCACAUGCAGCACCGACUCAAAACUAUUCUAACUAAAGGCUACGACUACUACGCACCAGUUCCAUUGAUAAACCCCAUGGAAUUAAAUAUAUGGAAAAAAAUAAUAACCAUAGGAUUUAAAGCAUCGUACAAUCAACGGUUGAUGUUGAUUGAGGGAACCGGAAGAACUAGGAGGUGGUGGUCCGGUUGAUGUUGAAGAGGCAAAUUGGCUGGGUAUUUUGAAGUCAAGUAUGACAAAUGUGAUUUAAAUUGCAUGCUUUAUGCCUACUGCAGAGCAGGUGCUAUGGAGAGCGUAAUGCAUGUUAUGAGGAAAUUGGACGAAUUAGUCCGGAUUAAAAUUCCCAUCAUGUUCUAAUCAAAUAUUUCUCCAAUAAGAAGUUUUAUAUGCUUGCUUAUCGGACUAUGAUGGACAUGCAUAGUAAAGACCACCAGCCGGAGGAGGUAUGAAAGUGGUCAUAGACAAAUGAACUUUUACUUCGGGAUUGCAACGCGAAAGACUUAUCACAGCUAUGCUGUUUUGCAAGAACUCUGCUCUUCCCUAAUUUUUCAUCUUGGUAAAAUGAGAGCGACACUCAGAAGCACUCUCUGUUCACAACAUGUUAAGAGGCAGCAAAAGAUCGAUGUGCAAGGCCCUUCAUGAGAAAAUUCUUCAUAUUUUAAUAUCCGCAAAACUUCCCAUGUCUUACCAUUUUAGAUCGAUUCUUCAACUGUCAUUUUUAUGCUUUUUUUAAUUAAAAAUCUGUGGGGCCUGGAGUAGUUAUAUUCUGUUAAGAGUGAAUGACGUGGCGUGCUGAGCUGGUAUUAGUGCGACCAUCUGCUGUUAAAGUCAUUAUUAUGUAUAACAACUCAUGCUUUUACUCUUUAAGAGAUAUAUAAGAGGUAUUGCAGCGUGCAGACUGGGGUCAAGAGAGUGAUGAUAUGAUAGUCCUAGUGAGAGAGGGAGAAAAAAUCUCAAUAGAGAAGAUUUAAUCUCUGUAAUCUCAAGAAUCUUCUGUAACUCAUAUCUUUCUAAUAAAGUUUCAAAGCAGAGCUGAUUUCAACCGUGGAUGUAGGCAUCUUGUUGCCGAACCACGUUAUAUGAUCUUGUUAUUUUUCUUUCCUUUUCUUUUAAUCUCUUGUUUGCUCGUUGUUCUGGUUUAUAUCAGUUUCUGUUUUCUUGGUUUGAUUCAGUCUUGGAAAGACUUUCUUUUGUUCAGAACUUAACAAACUGGUAUCAGAGCUAGGUAUUUAGCUGAUCUUGGAUCUACAACGGCUACCACCUUAUUUGAUCUUGAAAAGUUCAAUGGGGAGAUAGCGAAGUGUUGGUGAGAUAUAUGGCAGCUAGGGGGAUUUGUCUCGGUAAAAGGAGUCACAGAUGGUGGGCAAUAAGUGGUGUCUGAGUUUUGGUUGUGCUUGUGCGUACUGGUGCCUGAGGGGUUCGGUGGCAGCGGGAGGGUGAGAGGCUGCUGACAGCUGUUUGGAGUACAAAAGGUUCAAAGGUGGUUCCGUCAGCAAGUAAUCGCCACCAACGGAGACAGGCAAUGUGGCGACAGCGUGGAGCAUAUUUUGAAAGGUUUGUUGCAGUCUAAGGUUUAUGGUUUAAAGUGUUAAUAGUUGUUGUGAGGGCUGCUGAUCAGUGGGGAUGUCGCCAAAAAUUAGAGAAGGUUCUGGCGGUAGAGAAUCACUACAAGAAAACAUGCAAUAGAUAACAGACAGUUUAUGACAGAUUCAACUUAUAUCAUAAUAGUAUGACAGACUCGUGAUAGAAUUUUCAAUCUAUCAUGAAUUAAUGAUGAUUUUGUGACAAUAUUAUUUUCUAUCACAAAUUUAUGAUGUUUUUAUGAUAUAAUUAUUGUUUAUCACAAAUUUAUGAUAGAAUCGUGAUAAAAAUUUUCUUUGUCAAGAAAUUAUGAUAAAAAAUUUACUUUGACCAUGUUUGACCUAAAGUUUAAUAUUUUAUUUUAUUUAAAAAAAGGGUGCAUUUUAAUAAUUCAAACAUGAAAAAAAGAGAAAAGAAAAACACUAAUGUCUUGACCCACCAAGCCCCAAAAUCACUAACACUCACACCCAAACACUCAUCACUCUCUCACGGCCAAACCCUAGAAAUCAACCUUGCACUCAAUCGAUCGAGCAAAACGCCAUCCUUUCGCCGCCAUUCAAUUAUAUUGUAACUAUGCCGGCAAUGUUGUUUAAAAAUUGUAGCCCGUUGCUGUCGGCACCAUUUUGCUAGUAGUACUAAAAUGCUGGGUUUGUUGCUACUGUGUCGCGCAGGGUUCGAGUGGCUGCUGGUACGUCGCGUGAGAGUGGUUGCUACUACGUCGCGCUGCUGAUGCUGUUGGGUCGCUAUUGCAUCGCGUGCCGCUGGGUUGUUGAUGGGUGAUGGCUGUAAUUGUUGUUUGGGUGUGUGAGGCAGUGAAGGUGUGGCUGUUGGCUGUUGUUUGUUGUUGCUUCACGGAUGGUAGGGUGAGUGAUUUUGGGGAUUUAGGUUUUUGGCUGUUGCUUCGUGUGAGAGAGAGGGCGGCUGAGGGAGGCAAUUUGGUUAUUUGGGGAUUUAGGUUUUUGGUUGUUUUAUUUUGCUUUGUUUUUUUAUUUUCUAGUUUUUUUCUCUUUCAAUUUUAUAUAUAUUAUAAAGCCUCUUUGUAAAUAAAAAAACCAAUAAUAUAUGUCAUCGACUACAAUGGUAUUCUUUUACACCAUUUUUUUGACAAUCGAAUUCCUCUUUUCAUCUUGGCUUCCACUUGUGAAUUUCUAUCUGGUUCAUGCUUUUCUCGUUACCUGUGCUAGGUGGUGAAAUUUUUGGUAGAACAGAACAACAAUAAUGCUCUUCAUGGUCAAGUUACAAUUGGAACACUUAUUUUACAGGUACUGUUUAAAAAUAUAUUAAUGAUAUUCGCUUACAAUUUAUGGACACGCACUAGUAAGAUUCAGGUUUUGAAGCAUAUUUAGCCAUUUCUUGACCUUGGGUUAUUUCAAGAUUGUAAAUAGUUUAGUUAAUCAAGUUCUUGGUGUAGAAUGUAUAUUCUGUAGUUUAUGCAUUGGCACUCUGAGUAUUUCUUCUUCUAGCUAUAGUCAUUCUAGUUACUGCUAAGGAAAGUAAACAAAUAAAUAAUGGCCAGUUGGUAAUGUGUACGGGGACACUUAGUUCAUAGGCUAUUUUGACAGGAUUUUCUUGGAAGUAGACUGGAUGAAUAUAAAAGGAUGCAUAAAGGUGAUAUAAUGUUGAGUGAGUAAAUUAAUUCGAGAAUGGUUGUGGUACUGCUUUAGUUCUGAUUUGAUAAAACCUAUGGUAAUCAGUCCAACAAUACUUCACUACAAAAUUUAGUUUUUUUUUGUGAAAGCUGAGAACUUUCACAUCAAGAGAUUUUGAAGAAACCCUAGCCUAAAAAAACAGUAUGUUCCUCUUUAACUUUUCCAUUUUUUUAACUAUCAGUCCCUCAUUAUGAUAUUAACUUUCUAAUGAAAAGUUUUUCAUCUAGCUCAUUAAGCGUAGGUGAAUUGGUAGAUAUUCAGUAAACUACUAUUAGUUAUUAUCUGAUAGAGAUUCUUGUGGUGUAUUUGUUCUUCUGUUUAUUUUGCGAUCAUUAUUCCAGGUAACAAGUUCCUUUUUGUUUCAUUCAUCACAGGUUGAAACUUUUGCACAAUUUGGUGUUGUCUUCCUUCUUUUGCUUUGGGGCUAGAGUUUUCUUUGACAAAGGUACAUCAUUUUGUGCUUGGAAAGUGUAUGAUAAUUAUUGACAACAUUUUCCUUCUUUGUUCAUAAAAUCUGUUCCAAUUCCAUAAUUCAUCAUCAAUGCAGUUAAAAGCAGUGGGACAUGUCGCUGUUCUUGGAGGCCUACUACAAAUUGCAAUAUUUAUGUUCUUGUGUGGCAUAACGGCUGCAGUAUGUUGCUUAGCCUCUGAUUUGGUUUUUGUUACAAUUUCUGUUGGUUGAGAUAAGCUUGUCAAAGUUGGUUGUUUGGUUUCCUUUUCAUUGGUUGAUCAGUUCAGCUGGAUCUGGAUGCCAUUGCUUUUUAUGACUUUAUGAUUUAUUUUUGUCUCCUCACACUGGUCUACUGUUGUGGCUUCCUUUGCAUUUUUAGCUAGCUUGCUGAUUUUGAUGAAUUCCCAUUCACCAAAAGUAAUUUUAAUCCAUUGAGUAUGUACAUUUUGCUCAUUCCAUAAAAGUGAAGUCAGUUUAAAUCAAAUAGAUUACUAUAUUUGAUGCACACAUGUAUUGCAGCCUCUUAAUUUUCCGUAUUCUGCUUGGUGUUUGAAUCAAUUUUGUUCAUAUGAAGCUUGUAAGUCGCUUUGUAAGUUUCAAUUUUCGUUUAGAGUGCUAUCGGAAGAUGAUAUUGUUGCUGGAAUUUUUACAUGAAGUCUUGCUAGAAAUCUUAUUGUUGGAGUACUUGCAUUAAUCUUGGGAAGUUUUGUUGGGUAACUUGGCUUGGUGGCUGGAAUUCUUAUUGCUUUUCUUAGAGUUUGAUUGGAAUUUGACUGCAAUUUUAUAUUUUGGGAUGACUUUUUUCAAUUUUGGAUGUUUUAUUAUGUAUUAGUGGAGAUCACAUUGGAUAUUAGAUGUAUUUCUUUUUAAAUUAAUUUUUGGAUUGAAUGAUUGUUAAUUGAUAUUAAUUUUUUUAUGAUUUUUUUUUAUUAAUUAAUUAAAUUUGUAAACAGGAAUUCAUUAAAUAAAUUAUAAUAUAAUUUUAGAAAAAAAUCAAAACUUUAUGAUGGAAAAGACAUCAUAUAUUCUAUCAUAAAUAAUUUCCUGCCAAAAUUGAAUAAUAAAUUUUCAAAUAAUAAUUGAAUUUCUCACUAAAAAAUUAAAAAAAUGGCACGAAAAUUUAAAUAAAUUUAAUUAGUUUUUUACAUGAAAAUAUUAUGUGACAGAUAUAUGACUAUGAAAUGCUAUCAUAAAUUCAUGACGGAAAAUAUUCUGUCAUAAAUUAAUGACAGUGACAUAGAUGACGGAUGAACUGUCUGUCAUACACCCCCUUUUAUGACAGUUAUUUCCUAUCAUCUAUUGCAUGUUUUAUUGUAGUGAAUCACCGCCAUUGGCGAACGACGUGGUCAUAGGAAUUAUUGCUUUCUAUAAUACGAUACUUGAUGCUUUUCAACCGUAGUUAUUCUCUUUUCAGGACAAUUUGGAGUCAAUUUCUCAUCGUGCUACUAAGAAGUUUGCACUUGCAUUUGUGAAGUUGGGCAACAUUAACUUGGUCAAUGAUGUAAUGAAUGCAGUCCAUGCAACUGACUACAUGAUUGAUCAAGUAAGCAAUCAAGAAUUUAUAAAGCAAACACAAUCUCGCUUGCAUGCAGACACAAACACAUACACACGAGUACUAAAAAUAAUAAUUUAAAAAUGUCUUUUAAUUCCUUUUCUUCUAUUAUCUCGGGGAAUAUUUCACAUAGCUAUAUCAUGCUAUAUAGCGAAACCUGAGAAGAAGAGAUUGCUACUCAAAUUGCUAGAAUGGAUGAUGAGUCAAGGUUAGGUUAUAAUCUUUUGUGAAUGUGUGAUGCGUGUGUAUGACUGCUUUUUUAGAAGGGUUAUGGUCGGGUUGAGUUGGGGGCAAGUAGAACCUGAACUCUGACCCGAAUUUGAUUGACCUGAAUACUUAAGCUCUAACCCGACACUUAAUCCUUAAAUUUUGAUCAAAACUUGAAAUUUUCAGGGCGGCUCAAUCGCAUAAAAAAUGGAGUAGGAUUUUUUUUGCCAUCCCUAAUACAGACACCUCUAUAGUUUAGUAGGGUAAAAGCCCAUUUAGUCCAUAUAUUUUCCAUUUACUCCAUGUAUUUUUUAAAAUGUCUUGAAAUAUCUCUGCCGUUAAAGUAUUGAUACCCCUAAUGUUACUUUUUAUUUUUUUUUACUUACUUUUACAAUAUUACCCUUUUAAAAAAAAUUUGUUUGGACAUUAAUAAAAAGAAAAUAAUUAAACAAAAAAAUUUAACCUAAAAAUAAAAAAAUUAUAUUAAUUUUUAAUUGUCAAAAAUUAAAUUGUAAAAAAUUGUAUGCAAACUACCAAGUGUGCAAAUGGUGCUUGCAAAAAAUUAAUAUAAUUUUUUUUAAUUUUUUAAGGUUAAAUUGGUAAUUUAAUUAUUUUCUUUUUAUUAAUGUCCAAACAAAAAAAUUAUUAUAAAAGGAUAAUAUUGUAAAAGUAAGCCAAAAAAAAUAAAAAGUAAUGGUAGGGGUAUCAAUACUUUAACAACAGGAAUGUUUUGAGGCAUUUUUAAAAAUACAUGGACUAAAUGGACACUAAUCUUAAAAUAUAAGGACUAAAUAGGCUUUUACCCUAGUUUAGUAACAUGGAUAUAGAGACAACCAUAUUCUCAGAAGUAGUAUACAAACCCUUUUUUGGACAUAUAAAAUCUUUUUGUUGUAAGGAUACAAAUGUUAUUAUGUUAGUACUUGAAAUGAAAAAUGCAGUAUUUAAUCAUGUUAAGAAUUUAAAUCUAUUUUAAGAGGUGUAGGCAAACUAAAACACUAGAUAAAUUAAUUACCUUAAUUUAUCAAUCUUGAAAUUACUGGUCAUAGAUUACUAUUCAAGUGAUACUAUUUUACGACUUACUGUUUACACAAUAAUGAUUAUAGUUACUAUUCAUAUGAUAUUGUGUAUGAGUCACUAUUUAUCUUUACAAUUCAUCUUAAUUGUUUAUCACACUGUUCACAUUGUUGUUCAUUCACCCAAAAUCUAUCAAAUAUGCUAGAAGUAGUAAACUAAAGAAAGUAAAGCAUACAAAGUAUUUUUGCAUUGUUUGGAUCACAAUUCUACAUCCACGUGGCACAUUUGGGCAUCAAGCAAUUUAGUAAGUAAUGAAAAAAUUACAACCUAUUGAAUUCUUACACAAUUUCAAACUCCAUCUUACUUUUGCCGUCACCUUGUUAAAUGUAACUUAGUCAACCUUGCUUAGCGAACACCACUCGUCUUCAAUUAUGUUUGCUAAUUCCUUGAGAUCUCCGCAUCACAACAAACAACCCCUUCAUUCUGAAUGUCUAAUGAAAGACUUGAUAUGAGGAAGACUAAAACAUUAUAAAGAUAUGAAGCAUCAUAUGCGACUAGAUAAGGUUUCUUCUUGUUCUCUGCGUUGGAUGCUUCUCUAGUAUAAAAUAUGCUAUAUCUUUCAACUUUCAAUAUGUGAAGUACUUCCCUUCAUAGAGGUGUAGGGUUUCACCCAAACCCUAGUAGAGGAGUGCUAGGAUAUACUUUCUUAAGAGUUUAAUAUUCCAUAAAUACUUGAUAUACUUAUCAAUAUAUUAGUUAUUUUUAUUUGGAACUUUUGGUAUAAAAUCCUACUAACACGCCAAUUUACUUCUGUACUAUAAAAAUAUUCUUCAAUAGUCCAUAUAAUCUAAUCUAAAUAAUUCCUAAGACUAGACAAAUUCCUAAUACAAGGAAUAAAUAGAUUGCAAUAUUAUUGACACAAUGAUGCCAAUAAUAAAAUCCCUAACAAUCUCUCCAUUUGGCAUCUCCUUGUGGUUGAAACAUAAACUAGCCAAUUUUCUAGUCUUCAAAUGGCAUGCGUAGAAGCAAGGUAGAUCAUGAGCAAUAACAUACACAUAGAUAGAUCAUACGCAAUAACCUACAUAUAGAUCAGAAGAACACACAAAGGAUUAACCAAAACAAAAAUUAUUUGUCACCAUUAUUUCAGGAUAAAUUAUUCUCUAGUAAAUAAAUGCUCAUGUCUAAGAUUCAAUUGAGAAAAGUAACUCUCCCCUUGCAAUCUCAUAUCAAUGUAUUUAGAAAGCAAUAAUACAUGUCAAAGAAAACAAAAUAAUUAAUAAAGAUCAUAUGCAAAUAAAAAAAACCCCCCUUAGAGAAAGAAUGAAUAAACUCCCCCUACAAUUGAAAACAAAUUGAAAUUGAGUUUGAAAACAAUAAAGAAUUCCUAUCUCAAAAAAAAAAAAAAAAAUCACUCUCCCUCUUUUAGGAUGCAAAGGAAUAAAUUCAAAUCUACUAUCCCCCUGUUUGACAAAAGGUGCUAAAGAAAGGUAGAGAACAAAAAUGAAAAUUAAAAGAAGUUAUGGAGAUAUAGGCUGCUAUUUAGGUGAGAAAUAAUGACGAAAAGGAGUUAAGCAAUAGCCCUUAAAGGAUCACCAAAUGACUUUUUGAAUUUAAUUCUUCAAAUAUUUAUUUGCUUACAUAUGUGACAAAUAGAAGAAUGAAAAAAUUAGCCAUCUCCGAAAAGAGUCUUCUAAUAUAUAAUUUCAAUCAAACUUUUUCUCCACCAAAAUAUAACGAUUAUAACACAUCUCUCCAUUCAAGAAUGAAAAGAUAUAAAAAGUAAUAUAAUACUAAAUUGAAAGGACAGAAGAGCUCUUUAAGUGAGAUUCUUUAAAUAAGUUUGUUUUUCUCUCUCUUCAAUAUUAUUUUAAUCAAGCUUUUUUCUCUACCAAAAUAAUAACAUUUAUAACAUAUAUGCCCAUUCAACAAUGAAAAGAUAUUGAAGAGAGAGAAGGACAAUCUUAUUAGAUGAAUCUCAUUUAGAGAGCCUUUCAAAUGCUUUUUUAUUUAUUAUGUGCCUCUUCAAAUGAUAUGUAAAAUUUUAGUCGAAGAGUAUUUUAGUGAUGUACUUGUAUAGAGAUAUAAACCUAGACCUUAUUGAAGCAGGAAAGUGUAAUUUGUGUGGGAAUUGAUUACUAUGCUUUCCAUAAAUAAAAAAAAAACUCAAAUAGGUAAUAGAAUGCUUGUAUAACUAUAUUAACUAAAAUAUACCUAAAAUAAAAUCAUCAAUAUGGAUUAUAUCCGAGAAAAGUCGUAAGAAUGGCAAAAAUAAUGCAAAAUCAUGUCAAAAGGAUUGCAUUAUCAAUCACAUCAAAUUUUGGGAAAGAUCUUAAAUACAAGAAAGUUGUAUGCUCAAUAAUAAGUUCACUUACAAGACAAUUACGGAUAGGUCCAUAAAGAUUGCAAAAUGUAUGAACAGCCCUAAAUGGCUAAUUUUCAUCAAUUUAACCCCUAACUCAUGAAAAGCCCUAAAAAUGAAAUGCAUGCAUACAUAUUUCAUGCAAUCAUCCAUGCAAAAAUGACCUGAAUGCCCUUUUGAUGAAUAAUGCACAAAAAAUUAUGUGAUGUCAUAAUUAAAUUACUACAUCAACGCUAUGAUAAACAUAAAUUUUAUAAAUUACAUAUAAGAUUAGUAUAUAAAAAGUAAAACAAGUAAAUUUAUAUAAAAUUGGUAAAUUUAUGUUUUAAAAUUACAAUCAAAACAAACACUUAUAAAAUUAACCUUGUAAAUCAACAUUACAUUUUAAUUUAAAAAUAGUUUAUUUAUUAAUUUAUUUAAGCCAAAAAAAUUCAUUGAUUGAAAAAAAUUGAAAUAAGUUUUAUAAAUUGGUCUAACCAUAAAUUGAAUUUCUAUGCCAGGUCAUUUAUUAAUUUUUUUUUUCAUUUUCUAUCAUAAUAUUUGUUUUAUAUACAAGUUAAUUAAGCAAAAUUAUUUUUCUUGUGGAUCAAGUCAAAAUAAAAUAAAAAGACAUUCUUACAUUAUUAGAUAUAUAUGAAAUAUCAAUAAAAUUGGAUCCAAUUUUUAGUUUUAAACAGAUUUCAUGUAGUUCAAGCUUUACUUCUUACUUACAUUAAAAGAUCAUAUAGAAUUGUUGUCGAAGAUGUUUAGAAGGAUCAAAAUCACUUAGCUAAAAAUAUAAUUUUUUUUUCAAAAUUUGAUUUAGAAAAUAAAAUUUAUCCUUAAUAAAAUUUCACAUAUAUCAUCACAUAUAUUACAUAAACCUAAAAUUAUCAUUAUUCAAUUUUGAAAUAAAAACAGUAAACAUGUAUGGUAAUUAUUAUUAUAAUGAGUUUUUAUUUUACAUUUGUAGGUUUUUUUUUUCAGUAACCCUUAUAAUAUUUACUUGUUUUUCAUUUUAUUUGUAAGUCUUCUAUUUUAUUUAUAUAAUUUACACUUAAUGUUGAUUUACAAGUUUUAUGUUACAUCUGUAAGUGUGUGAUUUGUUUACUGAUAAUACAUCAUUUUAUCACUCAUAUGUUAAUUUUACUUGUUUUUUAUUACUUAAUUUAUGUUUUAUUUUACACUUAAUUUUAAUUCACAAGUUUUGUAUUAUACAUGUAAGUUUAUAUUUUGUUUAUCAACAAUACAUCAUUUUACCACUCUUGUGCUAAUUUACUUGUUUUACAUUCAAUUUAUAGGUCUUAUGCUUUAUUUACUUAAUUUAUCUUUUAUUUUAUAUUUACUGUUAAUUUAUGACACAGGGCAGAAGCGAUACUAGAUUUCGUUCUGGUGUACGUUCUUAAAAACCCAAGAAAGUGGGCUCUCGCAAAGGAGAAAAUAUCUCAAUUGAGAAAUACUAAAUAUUAUUAAUGAAAAAGCUUGCGUCAAGAAACAAGCAUAAUAAGCCUAUUUAUACUAAUUAGGAUUAUCUUAUCUUGAUAAAAUUAUGACUCCUUGUAAGUAAAAAUAAUAUGACUUUAAUAAGAAAAUAUAAAGUAAUUCCUAAUUAAACUAGAAAACUUAUACUCCCAUUAUACUCUAAUAGGAUAAAUCCUAAUAGAGUAUUAAGUAUUUAAUAGACUGAAAUACUUUAAUUUUUGAUAUAUUCCAUCUUAUAUGCUUCCUACAUUAGUCUCCUCCUCUUCGAAAAAAACUCGUCCUCGAGUUUUACUGAAAAUAAAGGACAAUCUGGAGGAUUAAGCUUGUAAUGAAGGAGUAAUUGAUCUUACGAUGCAAAAAUGUAGCACUUUGCAUAAACUUUUCUUGAAAACUUCAAUUUCUUCUUGUUUUUUAGUAUGGCUCUUCUAAAAAUUGUAGACUUGUAGGAGAAAACCAUUAGAAGUUCUCUUUUAAUUUGAGUCACGGGUAAGUUGGGUAGGCUAGCUCCGGGAUAAGAUCAAUAUGAUGCUGAAUAAUCCUCAUAUGAGGUAAUUUGUUAGGAAGCUCUUUAGGCAUGAUAUCUUGAAAUUAGAGAGUAGCGAUUGGACUUGUUCAGGCAUCGAUUCUACUUCAGUUACCUCUUUUGGUACUAAAAGAUAGGUUCAAGAAAUAAGGUUUGUACAUUGUCAAGAGGCAAAAAUCGUUCUCUUAGUAGGUGAUGUACGUGAUGCCUUAUCUUGACCUUUCUUUUUCCUUAUAGCACAGGAGAAGUUUGUAGAUUGUCCCACCAAACUGCAGCAGCGCCUUUGAGUUUAUACUCUAUUGCUCUGACUUUCUUUGGUUCUAAAAUGUCCAUUGUUUCAAAGAAUCUUUCAACAACUAAUAGCCAAUUAAGAAACUGUUCAAUGCCUAAUUGUCAACUGAAUGAUAGGAGGUCAAUUCUGAUGCAGUAGUCAUUCUCAUGUGUUUACUGUCAUUCAUUUUUUAUCUCCUCCUCAUCUUAAUCAUCUAAACUUGGAAAAAAUGGAGUAGCUUUUGUAUUCCCAUUAGAGCUACCUAUUUCUUUUGUUCCGUUGGUCUUCUUACGCUCACCAAAAUUAUUUCUUGAAUUAACAAUGUCAAUACUCUUUUCUUCUUGAUUACUUCUUUGGGCAAGGCUAAUCUUUUUUAAUUCUUGUCUCACACCAAGUAAUGAUUCUUUCAUCGUCGUAACAUGGGUUUGUAUUUACAGUAGGGCUUUCAUUGUUUCUUUCCAUGGUUCUGCUGAAUGGGUUUAUGAUUGUUCGAGUCGCUCUAUCCUCCUUGUGAUCCGAUCUUCAAAUUGAACCCCGCUUUCUUUAGAAACUAUUGUGUUUUUUUGUUUUUUUGUUCUUUUUAUUUUUUAGCUUUUUUGGGGUUUUUUAAAAAGAACAAAAAAUUAUAAGGUAAUAAUGUAAUCAAAGAAAAGUAAUGGGGUAACAUUAUAAAUAAAUAAACAUUUGUGUUGCCAGCGACGAUGAUCAGAAAAUGGAGCAAGGAUUGUCGAAUCUGGAAGAUUUGAGGUUGGUGAGUGUAAUGGUGGUGGUGGUUUGACUCAAAUUGUUGUGAUUUGAUCGAAAAAUUGAAUUGAAGUGGCGGUUAGAGGCUAGGUUUCGGUUAGAGGUGAAUGGGCCGGUGGUUGGCAACAAGAGUGGGCUGGAAAGAAGGACUGAUGAUGGUGGACAAAUUGGUGGUGGUGUUGGCUGUCAAAUCACGAUAGAUUUUGGUGAGUCGUGUGGUGCCUUGUGUGGCGGUUGAGCGACUGUUUGGUGCUGUUUACGGUGGCUACGUUGGUGGGAUGGUGACGUUAGUACCUUGGAUAUGUUUGGUGGCGUGUGGGCUUUCGGAUGGGAGAGAGGAUCAACCAGAAAGAAGAAAAAUGGCGGCAGCGGUAGCCUUGUGUGGUGACUGUAAAGGUGGUUCGGGUUUGGAUUUUUUUUUUGGAUAUUUUUAAAUUGAUGGAAUUAAUGGAUAAUGGAGGAAGAAUUUGUGUAUCAAGGGUGAUUGAUGGGCAGGAAAGCUUUGCUUGGCACAGAGAAAGGCUGGGAUACCACUUGACGCUUAGCAAAAGCGAUACUAGAUUUCGUUCUAGCAUACUUUUUUAAAAACUCGAGAAAGAUGGCUCUCACAAGGGAGAGAAUAUCUCAAUUGAGAAAUACUAACUAUGAUUAAUGAAAAAACUUGUGUCAAGAAACAAGCAUAACAAGCCUAUUGAUACUAGUUAGCAUUAUCUUAUUCCUAAUGAAAUUAUGAUUCCUUAUAAGUAAAAGGAAUAUGACUUUAAUAAGAAAAUUUAAAGUAAUUCCUAAGUAAACUAGAAAACUAAUACUCCUAUUAUGACUGGAGCAGGAUAAAUCCUAAUAGAAUAUUAUAUUAAAUUGACUCAAAUACUGUAAUUUCUUAUAUAUUCUACCUUAUAUGCUUCCUACAUCAAUUUAAAAGUUUUAUACGAUAUUGAUAAGUUUUUAUUGUAUUUCCCAAUGAUACGUCAAUUUACCACUUCUAUGUUAAUUUUGCUUAUUUUUCUUUUCAUUUAUAAGUCUUAUGUUCCAUUUGCAUUAUUUAUAUUUUAUUUUACACUUAAUGUUGAUUUCCAUGUUUUACGUUAAUAUCCAUAAGUUUUUUUUGUUUUAUUUACUGAUAAUACCUUAAUAUACCACGCUUAUGUUGACUUACUUGUUUUACCUUACAUUUACAACUCUUAUGUUCUAUUUGCACCAUUUAUGUUUGAUUUUACAUUCAAUAUUGAUUUACAAGUUUUAUAUUAUCUCUAUUUUUUUUGGUUUACUAGCAAUAAACCAAUUUACUACUAUGUCAAUUUACUUGUUUUACAAGUCUUAUGUUCCAUUUAAAUAAUUCAUAUUUUGUUUGACUCGUAAUGCUGAUUUACAAGUUUUAUAUUAAAUUUACAUUUAUUACAUUUUAUUUACAUAAUUUAUAUUUAAUUACAAUAUUAAUGUUAGGAUUCUAAUCAUGGUAUUAUAGAAUAACCCAUAAGACACAUAUUAAAAACUUCAUGUAAUAAGACGCAAUGAUUUUUUUUGAAAUUUUAAACAAAACAAACUAAUAUGCAAUUUUUUUUUAAAAUUCAUAAAUAUUCAUACAAUACAAAAUCAAGAUAAUCAAACUUUAAUUACUCAAAUCAAUAGAAGAUUAGUGAAAUUUCAAUUUUUAUAUGUGCGUACAAAUCCAUCAGGACUCAAUCUCGAUUUUUCUCAAAAUCAAAAACUUUUGUAACAAAAAAUAGAAUGAACAAGUCAAACUAAUCUUAUCAUCUUGAUCUCCAAAUUGAUCGCUUCAAUGCAACAGACAAUAUGAGAAGAGAUUGUAGUAAGAAAAUUCUUCCUUCUACUACAUAUGUAAACUUUUCAAGAUUUUCUUCUUCAACACUCAUAUCAUUUUUUUCUUUUCCUUUUUAAGUGCUUAUAGUUAGUAGCUUUUACUCUACUUCUUAAGAUAAUCUUUUUCCCAUGGUAGUUUAUCCUCAGUCAUAUUUGUGAUAUGCAAACUGAGAUUACUUGUGUAUAGCUUCACUCUUAGGAGUUAUAGGUGGCUAUUUCUAACCGAGGUGCCUAUACAUCUUGAAAUCUAUAGUAGAGAUAAAAGUGAAAAAUAUAUAAUUAAUGUUCAAUCCAUUUAAUCUCAACAUCAGAAGUCUCAAAAUUGAAAAUCAAGUUAGAAUCAAGACUUCAAAAAUAUAUGUGCACAAAGAUAAGUCUAAAUUAAACCAAUCAAAAAUUGUUUCAAGCUUUCAAGUCAUUGAAUCAAGACUUUUAUGUACAUCGUAAUUUGAAUAAAGAGCACAUAUGCAAAAACACAUGCAAACAAUGUCUUAACCAUAUCAUGAGAAUCAAAAUUACAUGACAUAUAGAAGAUGUUGUACAACAUGACUACAUGGAACUGAUACCUAAAGUUUUUUGUUUUUUAAGGGAAUCAAAUCUAGAUGCACCCAAAGCUUUCUUAAAGAUAUCUGCAAGCCAAUUUUCUAUUUUAAUACAGUCUAGAGAUAAAGUUUUGCUAUCAACUUAGUCAUGAAUAAAAUGAUAUCUAAUAUCAAUAUGCUUAAUUGUAGAAUGUUGAGUAGGAUUGUUAAAAAUAGGACUUGUGUUAUCACCAUGUACUAUAAGAAUAUCUUGAACAAUAUCAUAAUUUUCAAGAAUUUGCUUCAACCAAAUUAAUUGAGUACGACAACUGCUAGCAACAAUGUAUUCAGCCUUGGCAAUAGAUAAAGAAAUUGAGUUUGUUUCUUAAUGUGCUAAGAUACAAUAUUGUUAUGAAGGUAAAAACAAUCUUAAGUGGUGCUCUUUUUAUCAUCAGUAUUACCUGCCUAAUCAGCAUCUAUAUCCGACGAGACUUGAAUUAGUAUCUUUAGAAUACCAAAUACCAUUAUUAAUAGUACUAUUUACAAAAUGAAUGAUAUAUUUAACAGCAGAUAAAUGUGAUUCUAUUAGAUUUGCUAGUUGCCCAACACAAACAACUACAUAGAACAAAUACCAAGUCUCUUGUAAUUAAAUAAAGUAAGCCACCAAUCAUACUUCUAUAAAGACUUAGAGCAUCAACCCCUAUCAUCUUUUGUGCUCAUAAGUGGUGUUCUCAUGUGUGAUGCUGAUUCUAGUCCCAAAUUUUUCACCAAAUGUUUGGCAUACUUACUUUGAGAAAUGAAAAUGCUAUUUCCAAGUUGUUUCACUUUUAAUCUAAAAAAAUUGGUUAGUUUGUCAACCAAGCUCAUUUCAUAUUAAUUCUUUAUUUUAUCAACGAGUUCCUAAACAUACACUAGAGAAGUAGAGCCAAAAACAAUAUCAUUUAUGUUAAUUUGACCAAUCAAUAUUCUAGGAUUAAGAUUUUCAAUAAAUAAAGUCUUUGAAAUAAUAACUAGGCAACCCAAGAGGGGGGUGAAUUGGGUUUUUAAAACUUAAGCUAAGCAACUACACAAUAAUUUAAUCUAAUGCUUUAAUGAAAUAAAAAAUAAUAAAUUUAACAAUGCUCAAAAAUAAAAAGAGUAAGGGAGGAGAGAGCAAACACAAAUAUUUUUACGUAGUUCGGCAAUCCCCGCCUACGUCCACGCCUCCAAGCAAACUAAGCUUGAAGAUUUCACUAUCCAAGCCUCCCAAGGCUUCAAACGCUUACAAUUGACUUCCAAGGUGCCAAUGGACCUUUACAACAAGAGAUUAUCUCCAAUCUCUUCACCCAAGUUUAUCCCAACACUUACAACCUCUCAACAUGAUUUUACAAAAAUGAUUACAAAUAAAAUUCCCUCACACAAUGUGUUUGAUUACAAAUGAAAGCUCAAUGUGUGUGAAUGAAUUAAAUGAAUACAAAUUUUCUGCUCAUAUUGCAGAGGAUGGCUCAAUGAUAACAAUGGUUGUAUCUCUUUGAUUGAAUUUGAUUUGAGCCAACUUAUAGUAGAAGAAGAAAACUAGACGUUAUCGACUUUUUGGUUAUAUCUGGCUUGCAGCUUUGUGUUAAUCGGUGUGCCGCUUUAUGUUACCAUUAUGUUCAAAGAUUUGAAUUUUUGCAAACCCGGUUUGUCAUUUUUCAUUUCCGGUUAGCCGUUCUUACUCUAGAGAGCUUCUGCUUAAUAACCGAUUUACCGCUUUUGUGGCUUUUAUUGUAGAGAGCUUCUGCCCAUAACCGGUUUACUACUUUGAUAAAUCAGGCUGGCCGCUUACUAUAGUGAAACAACUAUUUUCUAAAAUUACAAUUUUACCCCAACACUUUAUAGAAUUAUAUUAUGGCCUGAAUAUUUCUAAAACUUUGCAAAUAGGUCCAUUUCUAGAAUUUUAAAACAAUACUUGUUGAUUUCAAAGUUGUUAAAAAUUUUCCAUUUAAACCAUAAAAUUGAAAACAACUAAUUUCAUAAAAUCAUUUUCUUAUUAUAAAAGCAUAAUGUGUAGUUCUUUAUUUAUCUAAAACAUGUGGUUUAUUAUUAUUAAAAUCAUUAUUUUAUAGCCAUAUAGGCUAACAAUCUCCCCCUUUUUCAUAAUAACAAAACACAUUAUAAAAGUUUGAUUUAGCUAUGAAAAAACCCCUCUUUAUAAAUGCAAGAUUAAAAACUGAUUUAAAAAACUCCCCCUACAUGAAUGCAUAUUUUUCAUAACAAACAGUUACAUAUCAUAUCUCUUCCUUCAUCAUCAAAAAGAGUAGAAUGCUCCCCUUGAGUAUAUUAUAAGUUUAAACAAUUUGCCAAUCAACUAAAUUAACAACUUUAAAUACAUGUAUUCUUCUCCUCCUUCAUCAUAAAAAAGAAAACUUAGUGGAAAAGAAAAAGAGUGGCAAAUUUGUUACCCAUGUUGUCCAAGUAGAAAUUUCGACAAAAUCUCCCCUUAUCAACAAGCAUCACCUCAAAUACAAGUUUAGUAAUAUCACUCCCAAAUUAUCAUAAAUCAUAAUACAAACCAACUUCAUACACAAAUCAUCACACAAUCCAUCAACCAUAAAAUGAUCAUGAACCAUCAUUCCAUCAAUUACCAAAUCAGCAACUCAUAACAUAAAAUCAUCAUAUAAAACAACCAUGUAAUCACAUCAUCAUCAUAUCUCAAAAUCAUCACCAUAAUCAUAUAUCAACCAUCAAAAGAAUGCUCAAAGUGCAUGUUAUUCUCCCCCUUUUGACAUCAUCAAAAUGGUAUAUUACUUUGUCUCCCCCUUUCGAUAUCAUCUAAAGCAAGUAAUGUUUAUUCAACAAUACAUCAAUAAAGUACAUAAAUGCAUCCAUUUACCAAUCAUAGAUUGUAUAAGAUCAAACUUCAUCAAAUACAAUGUAAUCAUCAAAGGACAUUCCUUAUCAUCAAAACUUAAGUAAAGCAUAAGUACUUAAUGACAAUAUAUAGAUCAUCCUAAUCAAAUAAAGGCAUCAUGAUAAGUUGACAUGCUACCAUCAUAUAUAUCUAUCCAUGCAUCAUGAUUACAGACAAUAAUAAUUCAAUUAUGUAAACAUACGAGAAUGCUUUUUUAAAUUCAAGCUAUUAUCCAUCCAGCAUGAUCUGUUCAACAAAAUUAAUAUGGCAAGAAUUGUUACCAAAACAAUUAAAUCAUUUUACCAAUCAUUUUCUCUUAUAUCAUGGUUAAGUGAUUAUUCUCACAAGUUUUCAUUGAGGACCUCUCCACCAUUUCUUGAUUAUGGUAACUACAAAAAGUAUUCAAGUUGUGCCUUUUGGUAUCCAAAUACUCUUGGGUCCUUGAGUGUUAGGAAUGGUUCCUUUUGGAACCCAAACAUAUUUUACUUCAUAAUAUGUAUUUCUUUUAACUAGACAUCUAUACUUUAUGUGACCAUUUUGAUUACAAUGGUGACAUAUAACUUGAUUAUUAAUGCAGGUACACUUUACAAAAUAAUUCUUAUAAUAUUUUUGUUUCAAAAUUGGCUUAUAGCUAAAUACCUCCUUUGUCAAACACACAUUUUUGUGAGUUAAGCAAGUUAUCCAACAUCUUUUGUCCAUUUAUAAAUUUUAAGACAACAUCAUUACAUUCUAUAUUCUUUUUCUUGAGCAUUUCAUUUUCUUUCAUCAAUUCAUCAACAUGUGAUUUUUCAUGCUCAUACGAAAUACUUUGUUUACCUUUAAAUGAUACAAUUUUUUCAUGCAACAUUUAAUUAUCUAACUCUAGUCCUUUAAUAUUUUCAUUUAAUGAAUUGUUAAAUUUUUGUAAAGCAUCCUUUUCAUUUGAAAGUUUUAUCAUUUUCUUUUUAAGACAUACAUUCCUUUUACCAAUUUUCAUCCAAUUAUCAUGCAAUUCCUUAAAAGCACCAUAUAAUUCAUCAUAGGUAGGAUGACUUACCUCAUCAAGUUCGUCAACCGAUUCAUCUCCAAUUGCCAUAAGUGCCAAUAUUAGUUUCAAACAAAUUGAAAUUGGAAAAAGAUUUACCCUUUUUUGUAGGUUACAACUUUGAUUGAGAUUUUUCUUUCUUUUUGCUUUUUCCAAAUUUUCCUAGCAUCAAUUUUUAAAACUUUUUGGUCAACACAACCAGAGAUUUUUGUGUGUAUUUUAUUUUAUCAGCAUCAUCACCAUCACUCUCUAAAUUCGGCAUCUCAUCUUAAAGGCAAUGUUUUUUUCUCUUUUUUUUUUCUUCAAAUGACUAGUCUCAAAACUCUAAAGUUCACUAGCCACUUGAUUCUAAUCAUGGUGCUAAUAUCACAUUAUUGUUCAAUAGCUCUAACGUUAAUAAGAAAUUUUUCUGACAAAUAUCUCAAAAUUUUUCUAACUAAUUCUUCCUAAUAAGUUUUUUCACCAACGAAAUAUGAAGUAUUAGCAAUCUUAAGAAGUUUAGCAUUAAAGUCAACAAUUUCUUCAUGUUUAUCCAUCUUAAGAUUUUCAAAUUCAAUUGCAAGUUUUUGAAGUUUAGAACAUUUUACCAAAUUUCUCCUUUGUCAAUGUCUUAAAGAAUGUCCCAAGCUUCCUCAUAGUUGUACAUAUCAAUAUUAAAUCAUACUAAUUGAUGUCAACUCCAUUGACAAUAGGUGCCUUGGAAGUAAAGCUAGAUUCUUGAACUUGAGCAUUGGAAUAAUCAUUGACAGGCUUAAGAAUUAUAUUUCCAUCUUAAUCAGAUUUGAUGAGUAGAGAAUAGCCUUUUGUAACACAUUCCAUAACUCUUAUGUCAAUGGUCUCAAUAUGAAUUGUCACCCUUUGCUUCCAAUAACAAUACCAUCAAACAAAGGUGGAUAGUCGGUAGAUCCUUCUUCUCUCUGCAAAUUCAUGUCUAUAAAAAUAUAUCAAGAUCCCAAAAUCUCACUAACGAAAUUGUUAGUGAUACUGCUACCACUUGUUAAAAAUUUAAAUCUAUUUUAACAAGUGUAGGCAAAUUAAAACACUGGGUAAACUAAUUAUCCUAAUUUAUUAAUCCUUUAAUUACUGUUCAUAAAUUACUAUUCACUCGAUACUGUUUUAUGAUUCACCAUUCGUAUGAAAAUGUUCACGGUUGUUGUUCAUGGGAUAUUGUAUACAAGUCAAUGUUCACAAUUAUUAUUUGUCAUAAGUAUUUAUCUCACUGUUCAUGUCACUAUUUAUUCACCCUAAAUCUAUCAAAUAUGUUAGAAGUAGUAAAUUGCAGAAAGUAAAGCACAUAGACGAUUUUUAUGUGGUUUUGGAUUACAAUCCUACAUCCAUGGAGUCAGGUUUAGAGACUAAGCAAUUCACUAAGAGGGCAUUUAUUUUUUAACUUAAUGACUUAAAGUGAGUUAACUUAAUUAAUAAAAUUAAUUAGAGAUGCUUGUUUUUAUAACUUAAAGGGACUUUUGGGAUAAUUUUAUCUUAAUAAAAUAAGUCAAUGUUUUUGGUUUUUACUGAAUGCAGAAAUCUGAAUAAGCCAACUAUUUUCUAAUAUCAUAAGUAGCCCUACUUAAUUUAUUUUUCAUGCCUAUCCCAAAAUCCACUUAUACACAUUUAUCCCACUAAUAAUCUCAUCUUAAUUUUUUUUUUGGAUGGGCAAAUUAACUAUUUCAAGCAUCUUAUUAGUUUUUCUCCUCAUAUUAUGUACUAUUAUUGAGAAUUUGUGAUGGAAUUUAAAAUUUAUGGUAUUUUGUAUAUUAGAAUUCCAAAAUCAUUUUGUAUUUACUGAAUAUGAUUUUGCUCAUAUAUGUUAAAAUAUUAUGGUGCUUAUGUUCCUUGUGAUAUAUAUUACUUAUUUAAAAUUCAAAUUUAAUGAAUGAGAAUGUACAUAUUUUUAAUUUUUAAGUUUAAAAAAUUUUAAAAACUUAAUACUUAUUUUUAGAGAUUCAACAAAAAGAACAAAUAUAUUAUUCAGAUUCAAACAUUCAACUUUAUUCAGAGUGCAUAUUAAUUCAGAUCUAUUGAGAUUUCAGACCAAAAAAAAAAAACAAAAACCACCUAAGCAAUGAAAAGAUUACAUCCUGAAUUCUUAAAUAGUCUCAGACACUCUCUUGCUCUUACCACCACCUUGUUGAAUCUACCUAGUCGAUCGUGUUUAGCAAGCACCACUCAUCUUCAAUUGUAUUUGCUAUGUUACGCAAAUUUUAUUGAACUCGCAAAUGCACGAAUCUAUUGUAGAAUAGAUUAAUGGUGACGAGUGUCGAUCCCACGAGGAGGUGGAUUUUAAUUAUAUGUAGAAUUAAUUUUGUAUAAGGGUGGUUGGAUUUAUGGUGGAAGUGAUUUAAAUUAUCCUAAAAUUCAAAAGAGCUUUGAAUACUUUGUCAAAAGAGCUUUGAAUGCUUUGUUACAAAAGUAGGCACUACCAUCACUGAUUAUCGCUCGAGGGAACCCAAAGCGUGAAACAAUAUUGCUUUUCAAAAAUCCUAUCACCACCUUGUGAUCAUUGGUUCUGCAUGGAAUUGCUUCUACCCAUUUCGAUACGUAGUCAACAGCAACCAAUAUGUAUUGAUGGCCAAAAGAAGGGGGAAAGGGUCCCAUGAAGUCGAUACCCCAUACGUAAAAAAUAUCAACAACUAAAAUUGAAUUUAGUGGCAUCAUGUUCCUUCGAGUAAUGCUCCCCAUACGUUGACACCUAUCACAUAAAGAACAGAAAGUGUAAACAUCUCGAAAUAUAAUUGGCCAAUAAAAAUCAUAUUGUAAAAAUUUAGUUGCUGUUUUCUUAGCACUGAAAUGGCCUCCACAAGCUUGUUCAUGGCAGAAUGAAAGAAUAUUCUGAAUUUCAUUUUCUGGGACACAUCGUCUAACAAUUUGAUAUGCACAGUACUUGAACAAAUACGGGUCAUCCCAAAAGAAAUUCUUUAUUUCUGCAAAGAAUUUAGUCUUGUCUUGUUUGGUCCAAUGCUUUGGAAGUUUACCUGUAACAAGAUAAUUAACUAUAUCAACAUACCACAGUAAUACUUUCACAUUCAUUAAUUGCUCAUCUGGAAAUGACUCAUUCAAUGGUAAUGGUUCAAUAAUUGUAUCAAAAUGGAGGCGAGAGAGAUGGUCAGCCACAACAUUCUCUGUGCCUUUCUUAUCUUUAAAUUCCAAGUUGAAUUCCUACAAAAGUAACACCCAACGAAUUAAGCUAGCUUUUGCAUCUUUUUUUGUGAGAAGAUAUUUAAGCGCAGCAUAAUCUGUGAACACAAUUAUUUUACAACCAAUGAGAUAGGAUCGAAAUUUUUCCAAUGCAAACACUACUACUAGCAUUUCUUUUUCAGUAGUUGAAUAGUUUAACUGUGCAUCAUUCAAUGUCAUACUAGCAUAGUAAAUAACAUGAGGAAUUCGAUCAACCCUUUGUCCUAAUACUAUUCCUACUGCAUAGUCAGGUGCAUCACACAUGAGUUCAAAUGGUAAGCUUCAACUUGGGGGCUGAAUGAUGGGUGAUGAUGUCAACAAUUGCUUUAAGUUUUCAAAUGCCACAAAACAUAAAUCAUCAAAGAUAAAAGAUACAUCCCUAGUAAGUAGAUUGCAUAAGGGUCUAUAAACUUUACUAAAAUCUUUAAUGAAAUGUCUAUAAAAACCAGCAUGCCCAAGGAAAGAUCUUACUUCUCUGACUGUUUUGAGUGGAGGAAGAUUAGAAAUGAGAUCCACAUUGGCUUUAUCAACCUCAAUACCUUUGCUCAAAAUGAUGUGAUCGAGAACAAUAACUUGUUUUACCAUAAAAUAACAUUUCUCACAAUUUAAGACUAAGUUCUUCUCGAUACAUCUCUGCAGAACUAGUAUUAGAUAAUGUAAACAUUGAUCAAACGAGUCACCAAAAACAGAAAAGUCAUCCAUAAAGACUUCAAGGAAUCGUUUAGCCAUAUCAGAAAAAAUGCUUAACAUGCAUUUUUGAAAUGUAGCAGGUGCAUUACAUAAUCCAAAUGGCAUCCUCCUAUAUGCAAGUGAAAGUAGUUUUCUCUUGAUCUUUUGAUGCUAUGGGAAUUUGAUUAUAUCCUGAGUAGCCAUCUAGAAAGCAAUAAAAUUCAUGACCUGCUAAUAUAUCAAGCAUUUGAUCGAUAAAUGGUAAAGGAAAAUGGUCUUUACGGGUGAUAGAAUUCAACUUUCUAUAAUCAAUGCAUACACACCAUCCUGUAGUCACUCUAGUGGGUAUCAAUUUGUUAUCGGCAUUCGUAACUACUGUCACUCCCGACUUUUUAGGGACAACUUGCACAUGACUGACCCAUGAACUAUCAGAAAUGGGGUAAAUGAUACAUGUAUCUAAUAUCUUAAGAACUUCAGUUCUAACAACUUCUUUCAUGUUAGGAUUUAACUGACGUUGCAUUUCCCUAGUAGGUUUAGCAUUUUCAUCAAGGUAAAUAUAAUGCAUGCAGUCUACUGGGUUUAUACCUUUUAUGUUUGCUAUGGUCCGUCCUAAUGCUCCUUUGUGCUCUUUUAAAACAUCCAACAACUUACUUUUUUGUUCGUCAUUGAGGGAUGAUGAGAUGAUUACCAGAAGAGUACUUUCUUCUCCCAAAAAUGCAUAUUCCAAAGUAUUGGGCAAUGGUUUGAACUCGAGUUUCGGUGUUGAUUCUGAUGAUGGGAUGAGUUUUUUCUUUGAUGGUGCUAGUUGUUCAACUCUUGACUUCCAUUUAUUAGUGUCCAUGGAUGGUGCUGAGUCAAGUAGGACAUUGACCUCAUCGAUCGAUCUUUCAAUAUCAAAAUCUAAGCCAAAGUGAGUUAAACAUGUUUGUAAAGGAUCAUCACUAAGGUUUGAAAGAAAAGUAUUAUCAACUAAUGUUUCAAUUAAAUCCACAUCAACAAUUCCAUCAUCUGCAUUAUGAGGUUGUUUGGCAAUGUUAAAAAUAUUCAGCUCCAUAGUCAUGUUGUCGAAGGACAACUGUAUAUUUCCAGUUCUGCAUUGAAUGUGAGCAUCAGCAGUUGCCAGGAAAGGUUGGCCUAGAAUAAUGGGGAUGUGCUUCCUUGAAUCAUGUAUUGGUUGAGUGUCAAUUACAAUGAAAUCAACAGGAAAACAAAACUUGUCUACCUGGAUAAACACAUCAUCCACUAUACCACGAGGUAUUUUCGUGGACCGAUCUACAAGUUAUAACACCACUGGAGUUGGAUGUAAUUCUCCAAGUCCAAGUUUCACAAAUACUGAAUAAGGAAACAGAUUUACAAUAUCUCCUAAAUCCAACAAAGCAUUCUCAAUUGUGUGGUUCCCUAUGCUACAUGAGAUAGUGGGGGAACCUGGAUCUUUGCAUUUUAGAGGAAUUUUAUGUUAGAGUAUAUAACUAACGUUUUCUGUUAAAAAUGCCUUCUUUUGAACAUGAAUGUUUCACUUUUUAGUACAAAGGUCUUUAAGAAACUUGGCAUAAGAUGGAACUUGUUUAAUAGCAUCAAGUAAAGGGAUGUUAACACUUACCUAUUUGAAGAUUUCAAGAAUCUCACCUGUGGAUUUUCCUUUCUUUCCUUUAGCUAACCUCUGAGGAAAUUGAGCUUUGGGAAUGUAUUCUCUUGGGUUGGUUUCUUCUUUUUCUUCUGAUGGUGAGUCCUCAACAUUCACAGGUACAAUUUGAUUUUCUUUUGUCACCGGCAUCUCCACUUUGUUGUCGACUUCUUUUCCUUUUCGCAAGGUCAUGACUGCUUUGACCUCUCCAUGUUGUUGUGGUGAACUUGCUUCAUGUACUCCUUUAGGAUUAGGCACUGGUUGACUUGGAAACUUGCCUUUCUCAAUAGUCAUUGCCAAGGUCUGAACUGAAGAAGCAAGUUGUCCCACCAUCUUCUCGAGGCUUGAAACUGAUUGGGCUUGUGAGUUGAAGCCUGCUCUUAACUCAUUUCGUAGUCCAUCAAUGGUGCGGUUCUGUUGCUCAAUCGUGGAGUGAGUAACAUUCUUGAGAUUCUGGAAUGAAUCCUCCUAUGGUCUGGAUUGAGAGUAGUUCUGGUUAUGAUUGUAUGGUCUAAAUGGUGGUUGAGAGGCUUGAGGAAUUUCAGGAAUUGGUUGCAUUGGUGGAGCUAGAGCUGCUGGUCCAUUCUGUUGGAAUCCUUGAGACCAUAAAAAAUUGGGGUGGUCUCUCCAUCCAGGGUUAUAUGUGUUGGAGUAUGGUUUGUAAUUUGAUGGCUUUCUCAUUACACCUAUGGCAUUGGCUUGAUCUGGGUAUAAGUCAUGGUCAUGUUGUUCUGUUGAUUUAGCAGUCAAUAACAAUGCUAUUUGUCGAGAGAGACCUUCAAUUAUCGCUUUGACUUCUUUAAUUUCUGAACUUUACUCGCCAAUGUGAACCUCAUUUACUCCCUUAAUUCUUCUAGUAUUCCUGAGUGAUUGACUCCGUUAUUGGGAAUUAUCCGAUUGUCGCUCAAAGGAUUCCUAAAUCUCUUAUGCACUUUUUGACAUUAGCUCUCCUCCACUUGUUGCCAUUAGACAUUCUUGCACAUUCGGCAAUAAUCUCUCCAAAAAGUAUUAGUAUUGGUGCCAUUUCUCGUACCCAUGAUGUGGACACUUCAAGAGUAGCCUAUUGAAUCGCUCCCAUGUUUCAAAAAAUUGCUCGUCUUCUCUCUGGGUAAACUCUGAGAUUUCCCUACGAAUAGCAUUGGUUUUAUGCACUGGGAAAUAUUUAUUCAAAAAUUUCGUUACCAUUUGUUCCCAUGAUGUAAUGCUAUUAGCAGACAAUGUAUUGAGCCAUGAACGAGCUCUAUCCGUUAAAGAAAAUGGGAAUAGUCCGAGUUUAACAUCAUCAUCUGAAAAAUUCUCAUAUCUAAAUGUUUAACAAACAGCAUGAAAAUCAUUCAAAUGAUUAUAUGGGUCCUCAUUUUCUAAGCCAUAAAAUGUUAGGAGACAAUUUAGCACACUAGGUUUUAACUCAAAACUCCUAGCAGCUACAUUUGGGUAUGUUAUGCAUGAUGUGCUCAAAUUAGCUAAAGGAUUGAAAUAAUCCUUAAAUGGCCUCUCCUAUGGUGCUUGUUGUUGUUACAAAUCCAUUUUAUUUUUAACGUGUUUGUGUGUGCGAAGUGUUUUUUCUAAUUCAAGGUCUAUAGGCUCAAGAUUAGGUAAUAAUGACCUACGACCAUGCAUGCAAAGAACAAAAAAAAUAAAUGGGAACAAAACAAAUAAAAAUAAAGAAGAAGGAGAAAUUACGGUACUAACCUUAUCACGCUGUUACAACCUUUCUACAAAAAUACCCUAAAAAUACGUUAAAUAAAUUAACUAAAAAUAAAUUAAUAAAAUAAAAAAAUUACAAAGAAAAAUAACAUAAAAAUUAAAUUGCAGAAUUGAAAAGAACAAAGAGAGAAAAGAAAUUAUUACCUCUAAAUGUAGAUUUACUUUUUUUUCUUUUUUUUAAAGAAAAAAAUACAAGAAAAAAAUUAAAAGAAAUUAUUCACAAAAAUUAAUUUUAUGAAUUAAAAUUACUUUAUCUCCCCAGCAACGGCGCCAAAAACUUAUUGUACAAAUUUUAUUAAACUCGCAAGUGCACGAAUCUAUUGUAGAAUAUAUUAAUUGUGACGAGUGUCGAUCCCACAAGGAGGUGGAUUUUAAUUAUAUGUAGAAUUAAUUUUGUAUGAGGGUGGUUGGAUUUAUGGUGGAAGUGAUUUUAAUUAUCCUAAAAUUUGAAUUAAAAUGGCCAGAAGAAAUUAAAGUGGAAACUAUAAUAAUUGAAGUGCUUGGGUAUCUGGAUCCGUAUCAACAUGCACCAUGGGCUAAAUAUUCCUUAUUAAUGCCAAUUAAAUCAUGAGGGGGAAUCCACACCUCAUGAACCACACUCUAAUCAAUAUGGUGCUAAGGGCUUAUCGUGCCAAAUAAUAAUAACUUUGUACUAGGGAGCCGGUGAAACUAGGGCGGUAUCUAGACAAGAUUAGUAUUAUUUGUCGACGAAAAGUCAAAUCAUCCACAAAAAUUAGAGGGGAAGAGAAAAUAAAUUUACCAAAUAAAGUCCAUGACACAUGUUGAGACUUCUUCACUUUCAACCCAAACUUGAAAGAAAAUUAGCUACUCAUAAUUGAACUAGGGGCAAAAUGAGAAUUUAUUAAAAUACAUAGAAAAUACAAGAUGGAGAAGGAAUUAAAGAAAAUGGAGUCCAAAAAUGGAUUCAGAGAUAUCAAAUUUGGGGGGAGAUGUCCCCUUUUUAUAGAUACAUUGAGUAAAUCAUGGCCAUCAGAUUACAAACAGUUUGGACGCUCAGGAUUGUGCCACGUCAUCAGUCAACAGUACGUGGUUUGACCACGCAGUUUGAACAGUAACACGGUUUGACCCGGCUUGAACAGUGACGCGGUUUGGUUGAAAAUAAUCCUGUGUAAUGCAGUACCGUACGCGAGAUUUUUAGACCACUGAUAUGCUGCCAUGUCACCAAUCAACAGUGCAUAAGAAUUUUAGUCCAACAGGAUUGUGACACCUCAUCAGUCAAUGUCACAUCAUCAGUCAAUGCCACAUCAUCGAUCCAUCUAUGUGAACAGUGUCGUGAACAAUAACGUAGACAGUACCGUACAUGUGAAUAGUACUGUACAUGUGAACAGUAAGGGUGUUAGUAAAACUUGAAGUGUAAAAUGACGAUUUUCACCUUUAUAAAUAUACAUUUUCUAACACUCAACAUGCUACUUCCUUGAGAUUCCCUCAACACAACAAAUGACCUCUUCAUUUUGAAAAAAACCAAAUAAUAAUAAAGAAUGUCUAAUGAAAUGCUUGAUAUGAAGAAGAUUAAAACAUUAUAGAGAUAUGAAACCUCAUAUGCGACGAAAUAGUUUUUCUUCUUAUUCUUUGCAUUGGCUAUUUCCCUAAUAUAAAAUAAGAAAUGUCUUCUUCAGUCUUUAAUGUGUGAAAUACUUCCCUUUAUAUAGGUGCAGUAUUUCAUUAGAACAUAUAUUAUUUUAGAGUCUAAUAUUCCAUAAAUACUUAAUAUACUUACCAAUACAACGAUCAUCUUUAUUUAGAAUUCUUUAAUAUGUAAUCCUACUUAUAUGCUGAUUUGCUUCUUUAUGCCUCAAAAAAUAUUCCCCCAUAUUCCACAUAAUCUAAUCUAAUUAAUUCCCAAGACUAGACAAAUCCCUCAUAAAAAGAAUAAAUAAAUUGUAAUAUUAUUGACACAAUGAUGGGAAUAAUAAGAUCCCUAACAAAUAAGAAGAAAAAUAUUUUUCAAUUAUAUUUGAUUGUACUUCAUAUACAAACCAUGAAGAACAAGUGUCUGCUAUAGUAAGAUGUGUAGAUAUUUUAGCAAAUCCAGUAGAAAUGGAAGAAUAUUUUUUCAAAUCUUAAAAGUUUACCAUUGUACUAGUAAAGGGCUCUUUAAUGAACUCAUAGAACUAAUAAAAAUUCUUGAACUUGUCAUUGAUAAUAUACGAGGACAAGGAUACAAUAAUGGUUCUAAGAUGAAAGGAAAACACCAAGGUGUAAGAUAUUAUAAACAAAUUCUAAAGCAUUUUAUACAUCAAGCGGUUGUCAUGGUCAAAAUUUAGUGGUUUGCAACAUGGCUAAUUCUUGUCCUAGAGCAAUUUCAUUUUUUGGAGCUAUGAAACUUAUUUAUUCAUUAUUUUUCUUCUUCAAUGAGGUGAUGGAAAAUCUCACAAAAUAAUAUACCCAAAUUGACUGUCAAAUUAUUUUGACACAUACAUUGAGAAAGUUGUAUUGAAAGUGUGAAAGAAAUAAGAUUUCAAACUCCAUAAAGUAUGAGAUGCUCUACUUGAAUUAGAAGAAAUUAGUGAAUUGAAAAAUUUUAAUUUCAUAUUAGGUGUGAUUAUUUAGUAUGAUAUAUUAUUUGCUAUUAACUCUAUAUGUAAGAUGUUGCAAAAAACAUAUGCAUAUUUAUAUUGCCAUAGAUCGACAUAAAGUUCUUAUUUCAUUCUUUGAAAGCCAUUGAGAAAAUGGAUUUUGUGCCUGUUGUGAUUUUAACUAAAGAAAUUGCAACCAAAAUGGAAAUAGAACCUAAAAUUCAUGAAAAACACUUAAUUCAUAGAAAAAACAAUUUUGAUGAAAGUAUCGGUGAAGGGGGAAUUUUAUCUCUUGAAUAGACUUUCAGAAUUAAUUAUUUUAUAUACAUAAUAGAUCAAACUAUUUCUUCAAUAAUAAGUAGAUUUGAACAAUUUCAAAUGUAUGAGAAUAUGUUAGGAUUUUUGUUUAAUUUCAAAAAAUUACAAUCGUUAAGUGACAAUGUUUUAAAAACUUAUUGUGUUAAUAUUGAAAAUGCUUUAGAAAAACGAUAUGCUUUCUGGUAUAGAUGGUUUAGAUUUGUUUUCAGAGUUAAGAAUUUUUAAAGAAGUUUUACCAGUUGGAAAAUUACCCCGCUUGACAUACUGAAUUAUUUUAAAAAAAUUGAUUCUUUUCCAAAUGCAUAUGCUACUUAUAGAAUAUUAUUAACAAUACUAGAAGCAGUGCUUAUGCAAAAAGAAGUUUUUCAAAAUUAAAAUUGAUAAAAACUUAUUUGAGAUUAACAAUGUCACAAGAAAGAGUAAAUGGAUUAGCCUUAUUGUCUCCUAAGAAAAAUAUAUUAGGAAAUUAUAAUAUAAAAAUUUGAUUAAUAAUUUUACAUCUAAAGCUAGAAAAAUUGAUUUUAAUAAAUAAUGUUUUAGUAAAAUUAAUACAUAUAUUUUACCUCAAAUUUUUUGAAAGGCCUAAUUGAACAAUUCCCUUAAAGCUCCCAAUUAAUUGAGCCGACCUUGCCUAUAAGGCUCGUGAUAAUAAAGACACAAAAAUAUUAGUCACAUUUAUUUAUAUUAUUUUCAUUUUUCACGAGACUUAUCAAAUUGUGAUUUGAUGGUUAAUAAUUUGUUUCAUAUUGUGUAAAAAAGAAAGGCUUCCUGAACAAGCCCCACACCAACUAGUCUAAUUUUGACUUCGCAUGUGCUUGUGUAUUACACACGGUUGCACUCUGUUAUCAGUGUGUCAAAAAGGAGAGGCUCUGACUCCUUGACAUUACGUAUACCAACUAGUCUAAUUUUUCAUACGCAUAUGGUUCAUGUGCUACACUAUAGUGUGUAAUGCCGCAAAACCAAGAAGAAAAAAAUGAAUGCUAGUUCUUUGUUGUGAGAAAUUCUAAACUAAAAUAAAUAAAUCAGUUUAAUUAAUAUAUGUAUAAAAUGUAUAUUUAAAUUUAAUAUAACUACCAAUUAUAUGUCUGUUCUUCAAAAUAAAUGCAUAUAUACUAUAUCAUUAUUUACUUUUUAUAUAACUGAUAUGGUAUAUUAGAGAUAUUUUAAAAUUUCUCUUCUACCCUUCUUGUCAUUUUCGACUACGAGUCAAUGAAGUCUCUUUUGUUUCAAGACAGAUGAUCUCAAGGAAAUGGGGCAAAUAUCUCUUCUAGUGGUAUUUUACAGGCUGUUGAUGAAGAGUCGCACGUGUUUUGGUAUUUUACAUUUGCAUUUUGUUUGCAAAUUUUAGUAAGGUCAGGCUAUACAGGAAGUCUCUCCAGUGUUCUAUGACUCAAAUGGAAAUAUAACGUUGAUUAUUAAACACAUGCUUCCGCACGUUUCUGUUCUCUGUAGUACUAUUAUAAACAAAUAUCGACAUCGUUGAUUACUAUAAACACAUUCAUUGGCGCGUUAGAAUUCCCUCGUGAAAAAAUAUGACUACAUUUUGCGUUCUGGUUUGAGUUCAUAUUUCCUUUUCUUCAUUCUUAAUUUUUAUAACUUGCACAAUUAAUUUCUGUAGUUGAAGCAAUAUUAAAUUGUACUCUAUAUCGCAUCAAAAAAAAAUUUGUAAUAUAUAUAUAUAUAUAUAUAUAUGUAUAUGUGUUUGUGUGUGUGUGUUGCUUAUUACUUUGGAGGACUUAGGAUGUUUUCUUUGUAUGGAUUAAUCCUAACAUAAUUCUGACGUGUUUUUAGUUACUGCAAAAAUUCUAACGCACUUUCACUAACCGUUGUUAAAUGGAUUUUUUUUUUUGAAAUUAUUACAAUGUGAAAAUGAGGAUUACCUUCUAUUUGUCUAGGAAAAUUAAGCAAAACCCUGUUGGAUCAUAAACUUGAUCCAAGAUGAAUAAAUUCAAGCCAAACUCAUGGAAGAUUCCAUGAGUAUAUAUGGUUGAUGAGGUUUGAAUUAUUUGUGUUAGGUGUGUUAGGUGUGGUAGGUGUGGUUGGUGAAGUAGGUGAGUGGUAGGUUUUAAUAAAUGGUGAGGAUUUAUGUAGUAGUUGAAUAAAUGAAUGGUUGUGAUUAGUUUGUAUCAUGUAUAAAUACCCCAUCUCCCCUUUGGUUUAAGUAUCAAGUGAAAUAACAAAAUCUCUAAGGUGUAGAGAGUGAAAAAUAAGAGUUGUAAUUGGUGAGGAGUGUUGUUGAAGAAAUAAAAUAGUGUGUUUUGUGUGUAAAUUCUCCAACAAAGUGGUAUCAGAGCUAGUGCUUGAUGCUAUAAAUAGUUAUAUAGCAUAUCAAAUCGAAUAUCUCGACGAGAGGAACGUGACGCCGCAAAACUUAUCCUGAUCCGAGACCGAACGAGCCCACACUUGUCGCCGAAAGUUUUCUAUCCUGAAGUUGAGCCAACUCACCGAGUUGAACCAAGCUGAGCCGAACUGAACCAAGCCGAGCCGAGCUAAACUGAAUCAAGUCGAACUGAGCCAACUCGAGCUGAACCAAUCCGGACCGAACCAAGCCUACCAAGCCGGUGUUGACCGUUGACCGACGUUGAUAGUUGACCAACGUUGAUAGUUGACCAACGUUGACCGUUGACCAGCAUUGACUGUUGACCGAAAGUUGACUCAAGUCCUUCCCAAAGUUUUUCGACGUGCCGGAUCCAUCUGUGCUUUCAGAAUCUCCAAAUUCUCACUCAAUUUGUGAGUUAUGACAAAUGGUGGUAUGAUGUCAUUUCAAGUUCCACAAUUAAAAGGAAGUAAGUUUGACAAUUGGAGUAUUAAAAUGAAGGCUCUGUUGGGCGCACAUGACGUAUGGGAUGUUGUGGAGAAAAUGAACCCACUUUAACUGCGGCGUAGAAGGAGAAUUUAAAAGACUUGAAGAAGAAAGAGAUUAAAGCAAAAUAUCUCAUCUUUCAAUCAUUAGAUGAAGAUGCUUUUGAAAAGAUUGCUAGUACAACCUCCUCAAAAGAAGCAUGGGAGAAACUAGAGACCUCUUACAAAGGAGCGGAGCAAGUUAAAAAGGUUCGUCUCCAAACAUUAUGAGGACAAUUUGAGUCCUUACACAUGAAGGCGUCAGAGUCAAUUUCUGACUACUUUAUUCGGGUUGUAACCGUUUCCAAUGAAUUAAAAAGAAAUGACGAGGAGUUAAAAAAGAUAAGGAUCAUUGAAAAGAUACUUCGAUCAGUAGACUCGAAGUUUAACCAUAUUGUUGUGACAAUUGAAGAAACAAGAGAUCUGGAGGAUAUGACGAUCGAGCAACUUUAAGGAAGGCUGCAAGCCUAUGAAGAAAAAUAAAAAAAGAAGUAAGGAAUCGAAGAACAACUUCUCAAGAUGGAAGUCAAUCCAAAGAAACGAGAAGAAAACUCCGACAAUGAGAGAAGGCACUAUGUCCGAGGUAGAGGUCGAGGACGAGGUAGAGGUCGUGGUCAUGGACGAGGUUGGAAUUUCAACAACAACAACUCCAAUUAUGCCAAAGGAGAAAGCUCAACCAGAGGACGAGGCAGAGACAAUCCAAGAUCGAGGUAUGACAAACCCCAAGUACAGUGCUAUAAUUGUCAAAAGUUUGGGCAUUAUGCUUCAGAAUGCAGAGCUCCAAGCACCAGAAUUGAGGAGAGGGUGAACUAUGCUGAAGAGAAAAAUGGUGAAGAUGGCACACUUUUACUAACACGCAAUGACACAAGUGGAGGUCAAGAAAAUACAUGGUAUCUUAACACAGGUGCUAGCAAUCAUAUGAGUGGAAACAAAAGGAUGUUCGUGCAACUAAGUGAAUCUGUGAAUGGCAGUGUUGCUUUUGGAGAUGAUUCAAAAGUACCAGUGAAGGGUAGAGGUAACAUUCUUUUUCGUGCAAAAGAUGGUAGUCACCAAAUAAUUUCGAAUGUUUACUAUGUGCCUAAUAUGAAAAGCAACAUCCUUAGUUUAGGUCAACUUUUAGAAAAAUGCUAUGAUAUUCACUUAAAAGAUUAUAGUCUUUUCCUAAGAGAUGAUAAAUGAAAUCUAAUUACAAAGGUGAGAAUGUCGAAGAAUAAAAUGUUUCCAUUAAAAAUUCAAAAUGAUGUUUCAAAAUGUCUCAAAGCCUGUCACAAAGAUCAAUCCUGGACUUGGCAUCUUCGAUAUGGGCAUCUCAGCUUUGGAGGACUGGAGCUACUAUCUAAAAAGAACAUGGUGAAAGGCUUACCAUAUAUCAAUCAACCUGAUAAACUUUGUGAAGGAUGUUUACUUGGCAAGCAGUUCAGAAAGAGCUUUCCAAAUGAGUCAAUCUCAAGAGCUCAGAAGCCACUCGAGCUCAUUCAUACUGAUGUGUGCGAUCCAUUCAAGCCAAACUCCCUUGGUAAAAGUAACUACUUCCUUCUCUUCAUAGAUGAUUUUUCAAGAAAAACUUGGGUGUAUUUUUUAGAACAAAAAUAAGAAGUCUUUGAAGCUUUCAAGAAGUUUAAAGCUGCAGUGGAAAAAGAAAGUGGAUACCAGAUUAAAGCCAAGAGAUCUGAUCGAGGUGGAGAGUUCACUUCCAAAAAAUUUUUAGAGUUUUGUGAAGCAAAUGGAAUUCGACGCCCUUUGACAGUUCCAAGAUCCCCCCAACAAAAUGGUGUUGCAGAAAGGAAGAACAGAACCAUCCUCGACAUGGCAAUAAGCAUGCUUAAGAGUAAGAGGCUACCUAAAGAAUUUUGGGCUGAAGCUGUUGCAUAUACAGUCUACUUAUCCAAUCGAUCUCCAACAAGAAGCGUGUGGGGCAAUAUGCCACAAGAAGAUUGGAGUGGAAGAAAACCCGGUAUGCCAAGCUGGAUGACAAAAGUGAGAAGUUCAUCUUCAUCGGCUACAACAACAACUCCAAAGGAUACAAGCUUUACAAUCUAAACAACGAGAAGAUCGUGAUCAGUCGAGAUGUAGUUUUUGAUGAAGAAGGAGAAUGGGAUUUUGGCUCUGGUGUGGAUAACUUCAACUUCUUUCCCAUUGAAGAAGAUGAUCAUACACAGAUAAAACAAGUAGAUGAACAACAACAUGCUACUCCACCUAUCUCACCAGCAUCAACCACAUGCGGAGAUUCACUGUUGUCUUUCUUAAAUGAAAGAACAGAAGAACGUACAAGGAGUCUUCAAGAUCUCUAUGAGGUAACUGAGAGACAUGAUAAUCUCACUCUCUUUUGCCUCUUUGCUGAUUAUGAGCCAGUCAACUUCUAAGAAGUUGCACUGGAUGAGAAGUGGAGAAUUGCAAUGGAUAAAGAAAUCAAAGCCAUUGUGAAGAAUGAUACUUGAGAGCUUACUACUCUUCCCAAAGGUCAUAAGACGAUCGGUGUCAAAUGGGUGUAUAAAACAAAAAGAAAUGCGAAGGGAUAAAUUGAAAGGCACAAGGUGAGGCUAGUUGCAAAAGGCUAUAGUCAAAAGGCUGGCAUAGACUAUGACGAGGUAUUUGCUCCUGUAGCUCAACUUGAAACUAUUAGACUUAUUAUUUCUUUGGCUGCUCAAAAUAAAUGGAAGAUUUUUCAAAUGGAUGUGAAGUCUGCUUUCUUGAAUGGAUUCCUUGAAGAAGAAGUUUACAUCGAACAACCAUUGGGUUAUGCGGUGAAAAGACAUGAAGACAAAGUUUUGAGAUUGAAGAAAGCUCUUUACGGGUUAAAGCAAGCACCAAGGGCAUGAAAUAACAGAAUUGACAAGUAUUUUCAAGAGAAAGGCUUCACCAAAUGCCCAUAUGAACACGCUCUCUACGUCAAAGAAAAAGAUGGAGAUAUUUUGAUUGUGUGCCUGUAUGUGGAUGAUCUCGUCUUCACUGGAAGUAAUCCAAGCUUGUUUGAAGAGUUCAAGAGAGUGAUGAUCAAAGAGUUCGAGAUGACUGACAUCGGACUGACGGCAUAUUACCUCGGCAUUGAAGUCAAACAAAAGGAAGAAGACAUAUUUAUCUCCCAAGAAAGCUAUGCAAAUGAGAUUCUCAAGAAGUUCAAGAUGAAUGAUUGUAAGCCUAUAAGCACGCCAGUGGAAUGCGGAGUUAGAUUAUCCAAACUUGAUGAAGGCGAAGAUAUAGAUCCAACAUUCUUUAAAAGUUUGGUUGGAAGCCUACGUUAUUUGACAUGCACAAGACCAGAUAUCGUUUAUGCUGUUGGACUUGUGAGUUGAUACAUGGAGAAUCCAAAGACCACCCAUUUUAAAGCUGCAAAAAGAAUCCUUCGCUACAUCAAAGGUACAACUAAUUUUGGCUUAUUAUACUCAUUUUCUAAUGACUACAAGCUUGUUGGAUAUAGCGAUAGCGAUUGGGGUGGAGAUGUAGAUGAUCGAAAGAGCACCACAUGAUUUAUGUUCUUCAUGGGAGAUACUACUUUCACAUGGAUGUCAAAGAAGCAACCAAUUGUCAUGCUAUCAACCUGUGAAGUUGAGUAUGUAGCUGCCACAUCAAGUGUUUGUCAUGCAAUUUGGCUCAGAAAUUUGCUGAAAGAGUUAGGUUUGCCACAAGAAGAGCCAACAGAGAUUUGUGUUGAUAACAAAUCAACAAUUGCCCUAUCCAAGAAUCCAGUCUUUCAUGAUUGAACCAAACACAUAGACACUCGCUAUCAUUUCAUAAGAGAGUGUAUUACAAGAAAAGAAGUGCAAAUCAAGUAUGUAAAAUCACAAGAUCAAGCAGCUGAUAUCUUCACUAAGCCACUCAAGCAAGAAGACUUUGUAAAAUUCAGAAGUUUGCUUGGUGUCACAAGAUCAAGUUUAAGGGGGGGGGGGGUGUUAGAUCAUAAACUUGAUCCAAGAUGAAUAAAUUGAAGCCCAACUCAUGGAAGAUUCCAUGACUAUGUAUGGUUGGUGAGGUUUGAAUUAUUUGUGUUAGGUGUGGUAGGUGUGGUUGGUGAAGUAGGUGAGUGGUAUGUUUUAAUGAAUGGUGAGGAUUUAUUUAGUAGUUGAAUAAAUGAAUGGUUGUGAUUAGUUUGUAUCAUGUAUAAAUACCUUCUCUCCCCUUUGGUUUAAGCAUCAAGUGAAGUAACAAAAUCUAUGAGGUGUAGAGAGUGAAAAAUAAGAGUUGUAAUUGGUGAUGAGUGUUGUUGAAGAAAUAAAAUAGUGUGUUUUGUGUGUUUUAUUUGUAAAUUGUCCAACAAACCCCACCUUAUUUUUUAAUAGAUUCAAAUCUACUACAAUUAUAAUGGUGUUAGUUUUAUAUAUCAUUUUACUAUUCUAUUAUUACUAUCGAUAUGAGUCAGAAAAUUUAGAUAUUUUGAGAAUUUUUUAAGCAAAAUGACUUAUAUAUCCUCAACAAUUAAAUAAAUUUAUUAACCUAUUAAAAAGCAUGAAGAAAAAUUACAAUUUACAAGUAGAGGAAAUAUCAUAUAUACCCCUCAUAAUUAUAUAAAGUAUUUGUUUAAAUGAAUGUAACAAUUUUGAUAUAUUUAAUUUGCUUCUUAAUCUGGCACACGAUCAGUUGUUUUAUUGGAGAAGCAUAGGCUAGGCCAUACCGUUGCAAUUGUAAUUGUUGUUUGCUUACUUGCUUAUGCUAAUUAAAUGCUCUUAAUUAAUUAUUUCUCAUCAAAUAGUUGCAAGUACGUGUAAUUUAUUGUUUUGUUAGUAGUUGCUUAUAUAUCCCUUUCCUAUAGUGAUUCUUUUUCUUUAAUUUAUCAUAUAUUAUUCAUUUGUAGUCUGGGUGAAUUUAUUGCAUUCAGUCCAAUUAUCUAUUUGUCCUUUAUUUGAAUGUAUAUUUGGAUAUUUCCUUCAAUUGUUUUAUUUUAUGUUUUCAGAGAUUUAUUUAGAAUCUUGGACUUCAUACACUUAGGACACAUUUAUACAACUAGUAGGAAUUAUGUCAUUUCCCCUACUUGUAAUUUUUCUCCAUAAUUUGCAAUUUGUUAUUAAAUUAAUUUAAUCGUUAAGGAAAUACAAGUCACUUUGCUUAAAAGAAUAUCUUUAAAAUAUUUAAAUUUUAUGACUAAUAUCAAUACUAGAGAUAGGAUAGUAAAAUGAUAUAUAAAACUAAUACCGUCAUAAUUACAGGGUGUUUGGACCUUUUUAAAAUAUGAAAGGAUUUCGCUUAAUUUAUCUAAACGAUAGGGUUAAUCCUCAUUUUCCUUUAUUACAGUCUAUAGAUAUAUUAUUUAGAUACAUACAUUUGCAGUACAACCGAGAUGCCCUUAGGCAUGAGCUCAAAAAUCUGUUUUCACUAAUAUGAGGGAGACAUAUCUAUCCUAUCCAAUCUAUCUUUUGAUGGUAAUUAUUUUGAAAUAUAUAAUUUUUUUUUCAAAAGUACUUUAUAACUAUAACAAAUAAGAUUUUAGUUACAUUUGUUAAAUAAAACAGGUCUUUAUCUUCUUUUAUAAUUUUGAUUAUUUUGAGUAUUAAUGCUUAACAUUAAGAUAUUCUUUGUAACUUUGCAUAUUCUUAUUUUUAUGUAAGUAAAACAAGUUUUUAAUGUAAUAAAUAGGACUUUUGUAAGCAAAGUUAAAUUUAUGAAUUUUUUUGUCAUUAAUAUGUGUAUUUAUUAUAAUUAUAUGGCUUAUAGAAACAGUCUUUAAAAAAAUUUGUAGCGAAAAAAAUGACAAAUAAAUAACAAUUAUACAACAAGCCAGCCCCCUCAAGGGCGUGGUCGGGUUGGUUGCAUUGCAGCUGUAACCUCUACCAAAAUCCGGGUUCAUUCUUGUGGAUGAUAAGGGGGUUAAAAACUGUAUUUGGGUUUGCCCACCCCCCUUACCUUUAAGGAAAAAAACAAAACAUGACAGCGAAUGUACAUAUUUGAACUUGCUGGCACGUUAGAAUUCCCUCACAAGAGGGAAGAUGUACUUUUUUAUUAAUGAAUAUAAUAUCUUUGUCCUACUAAGACUUACAAAUUAUAUGCUUUGAAAAUCUCAGGGAAAAUGAAUAAGAAAAAUAAAUCGCUUGCACUUCUCUGCUGCCUAUAUAUAUAUAUAUAUAUAUAUAUAACCUUGUGCAUAACCACAAACCAUAGAUUAAUUUGAGAAUUUUUGCCAAGUAUAACUGUAAGCUAGCUUACACUACAUCUGUAUGUCCUAUGUCUUCUUGCAUUGUUCCAUCAACCUCGUUUACCUCUGUAAAUGGUUUCAAAUGUCCUCCUCUUGCAACAAAUCGAGCAGCCACUAGAAUCAUUACCAUAAAUAAGCCAGUCCAAUGCCUUGUCAGCGCCAAAUAUGAUAAUUUGACAGUUGACAGGAGAUCAGCAAACUACCAACCCUGAAUUUGGGACCAUGAUUUUUUGCAGUCAGUGAAUAGCGGCUAUACGGUAUUUAUUAUUAUUCAUUUCAAAUUGGGACCAUGAAUAACUAAAAACUAAAUGCCGUUCAUGUACAGGAUGAAACAUACAAAAGACGAGCAGAAGAGCUGAAGGGAAAAGUAAUGACAACGAUUAAUAAGGAUGUAACCGAGCCUCUGGAUCAGUUGGAGCUGAUUGACAACUUGCAAAGACUUGGAUUGGCUUAUCAUUUUGAGACUGAGAUUCGGAAAAUAUUGCAUAAUAUCUACAACAGUAAUAAAGAUUAUAAUUGGAGAAAAGAAAAUCUGUAUGCAACCUCUCUCGAGUUUAGACUACUUAGACAACAUGGCUAUCCUGUUUCUCAAGGUACAUUUCAUUAACUCGCUUUUUUUUGUCAUGCGCAUGGAAGGUCUGAAUAUUUGAAUCGAUCUCUCUGUUUUUUUCCUUUUUUUUUUAAUUUAAAAGAGUGGACAACACGCAAAUCAAUUUUUUAACUCUCAAUCUCCAGAGAAUUCUAACUCGACAAGGCUGCUGAGACACUUAAAUCAUUCUCUAAUUAGCAUAUUGCGAAAAUUUUGAUGAAAUAGUUCUUUUUGAUUGAGCACUGCAGACGUUUUCAAUGGUUUUAAAGACGACAAGGGAGGCUUCAUUUGUAAUGAUUUCAAGGAAAUAAUGAGCUUGCAUGAAGCCUCGUAUUACAGCUUUGAAGGAGAAAGCAUCAUGGAGGAGGCCUGGCAAUUCACCAGUAAACAUCUUAAAGAACUGAUGAUCAGCAAGAGCAAGCAAGGGGAUGUCUUUGUAGCAGAACAAGCAAAGCGCGCACUGGAGCUCCCUCUGCAUUGGAAAGUUCCAAUGUUAGAGGCAAGGUGGUUCAUAGACGUUUAUGAGAAAAGAGAGCACAAGAACCACCUUUUACUUGAGCUCGCUAAGUUGGAAUUCAAAAUUUUGCAGGCAAUUUACCAGGAAGAACUUAAAGAUGUUUCAAGGUAUCCAUGCUUGGUUGCAUAACUCAUAUUUAUGUAUCAAAGAUUUGAGUUUAUGAAAAACAUAACUUGUACAAAUUAAUCAUAUGCAUAUUAAAUUAUUCUCAGGUGCAGACUACACCUUUUACAGUAAAGGUCUGAGUCUGCACUUUACAAAAUACAGACGUUUGCACCAGAGAUUGACUCUUAAGGAAUCUCGGACUAGAAGAUGACUCUGUAAUAGAUGUAUUGUAAAGCUACGAGUCAUAAUAUUCGUUUUAAUUUUCCUAUGAAGGUGGUGGAAGGAUAUAGGUCUUGGAGAGAAACUGAGCUUUGCGAGGGACAGCUUGGUAGCAUCCUUCGUAUGGAGCACGGGGAUAGUGUUUGAGCCUCAAAUCGCCUACUGUAGGAGAAUACUCACAAUCACGUUUGCACUAAUUUCAGUGAUUGAUGACAUUUAUGAUGUUUAUGGAACUUUGGAAGAACUUGAGCUAUUUGUUGAUGCUGUUGAGAGGUUUUUUGGCAAAUUAAUGUUAUACCUAAUUGAUUAAUUCAACUGCUAGCUAGCUGAUUGCUACUUCUCAAAUUAAUUGACCAUUCAUAUGAUUUAUUUUUUUCGUUUUCUACAGGUGGGACAUCAAUUAUGCUUUGAACCACCUUCCGGACUAUAUGAAAAUCUGUUUUCUUGCGCUUUACAACUUGGUUAAUGAAUUUACUUAUUACGUACUCAAACAACAGGAUUUUGAUAUACUUCGAAGUAUAAAAAAUGCGGUACGUAAAAUAUUAGUUGCACCACUGCCGCCAUUCCUUUUCCUUUGAUUUAUCCUUUUAAAUUACGAUGUUUUUGUCGCAAAAAAAAAAAAAGAAAUUAUAAGUUGUAACUACUGCUAGUUUCUUUGUCUUGUGCAUCAGUGGCUUCGCAAUAUACAAGCCUACUUAGUGGAGGCGAAAUGGUACCAUGGUGAGUACACGCCAACGCAGGGAGAAUUCUUGGAAAAUGGAUUGGUAUCAAUAGGAGGCCCUAUGGUUACAAUGACUGCAUACCUUUCUGGGACAAAUCCAAUCAUUGAGAAGGAACUAGAAUUUUUAGAAAGUAAUCAAGAUAUAAUUCACUGGUCAUUCAAGAUUCUUCGUCUUCAAGAUGAUUUGGGAACUUCAUCCGUAUUUUUUAUUUUUUCUUUUUUU